UUAACUUGUGCUUAGAUACAUUAAGAAGUAAUAAAAAACUUGAUGGUACAGCUGCAACAACAUUUACAGAUAUAUUGAAUAAAUAUGAAAUAGCAAUAAGAAAUGAAUUUAGUAGUAUGACAACAGAAGUAGAAGAACUCCUAAUAACAUUUCAAUUCACAUGAAGCAGAAUCUUAACAUUAAAGGGUCAGGAUAUGAAGACAGCUCAAACAGCAAAAUCCAGUUAGAUAAGGAAUCUGCCACGUCAAACUUGAAUUAACCUUUCGAACACCAUUAGCAUUUACAAUAUUUUGAAAAGAGGCAACUUAUUCAACGUUGUUUACAAAUGAAAUCAGAAAAGCGGCAAAUCAAGAAACUUCUCAUUAAAACAGAUCUUACAAUAUCUUGAAAGAGAACGUACCUAAUUACGGAAGGACGAGAUUUAGAAGACAAAAAAGCCAAAUAACGAUUGAAACAAAAAAUUGGAGCUCAGCUAGCAACGUGGGAGCAACAACAACCAAACAACUCCACUUUCCGAGUUAUAUCCAAACCCUAACCCCAGCUAAACACUCUAAUUUUGAGCUUUUCGAGUGAUGAAAAAGUUCAUUGAAGGCUCAGCUCUCCAAUUGAAUUUUUAAGCUACUUUCAAUUCUCAACAGCUUUCGUUUCUGUAUUUUUUGAGAGAAAUGCAGUGUAAUAUGAAGAGAGAUUUGUGUGCUCGAGAGAAAAGCAAAAGAAGCGGCUGAGUUUUUCGUUUUGAUGAGGAAGAAGAUCAAGAGCCAAAGGAAUCCUUCUGCGUCGUUCUUCUAUAUGCGUCCAUCUCUCAUUUUUUUAGCUCCCCUUCAGAUAAUGUGUAUUUAGGCUAUAUAGAGGGGAAGGGUUAAUGGGUCAAUAGUCUGGGCUAGGUAGGUAUAAGGUAAUUGGACCAUUGGGUUAAAUUGACUUGGGUUAUGAGAAUUAAAACGAAGCAGCCCGAAAUAUGAUUUCUCUACUUCUUUUUCUUUUUAAUUUUUCUUUCUUUUUCUAAUUUAUUUUAAGUAAAAAUUAAAAUUGACACCCAAAUUAAUUCCUAAUCAAAUUAUUUUAUCAAAUUAAAUUAACUAACUCCAAAUAUUAACUACCAUAAAUAAUUAAGAACCAAAUUAAAGGAAAAACCAUCAAAGUUCAAAAAUUUAAAUUAAAAGUACAAAAAUAACUAUUUUUGUGAUUUUUCAGAUUCUUAUAAAAUAACUAAUUUACUACUUAAUUUAAAAAUGUAAAGUUAAACCCUAAAUGCAAAUGCAGCAUAUUUUUGUAUUUUUUCAUUAAUUAAAUAAGAUAAACAUGCACAGACAAAUGCAAACAAUUGACAGAAAAUGCCACAAAAAUCCACGAAAUGGCAAACAAUGGAAAAAAAUUAUUUUGUUUUGAAUUUGUGGGAGUAAUUCAUAUAGGGCAAAAAUCACGUGCUCGCAGCUGCCCUUCUUUGCACAGAAACACGAAGAGUUUUCGUGCAAAGAUAAAGUGAGCGGAUACGAGCGAUUUUUGCCCGUUUGAAUACUUCGUGGGAAGCAUUUUUGAAAGAUUUGACCGCACCGUGCUCCAGAAGUUGUCUACAUAUCCUUGGCUAUAAAGGAAUCAGGUCAGUGUAGUUCGGAAAGUUUUGGUAGCUGGGACUACCAUGAAGCUGUGAUUUCACUGUUGCUGCUGCUGAUGCUACUGCUUACUGAACUCCUUAUUACACCAUGACAAAAUAAAACAAGCUAUACUAAACUAUGAUAUAUGCAUUACCAUAAUCCUAUCUAUAUCUUCAAACUUGAUCUUGCAGUUACUGUUUCUUUGUCGUCCCGUACUAUCCACGUGAAAUUCCUUUGUUGCUAACUUGAAUUGUAUUCUGAGAUGCUUUUCCUUUUCUCUAGGUGGAUGCUUGACUGCUGAACUUGACCGUCUUCCUUCGAACAUUGCUUCUUUCCCUUCGUUCUUCAGGCGGGCUCCUGAUUAUCAACACUUAAAUUGCAGCUUUGUUCUCUAGGUGGGUUCCUGAUUACCGACACUUGAAUUGCUUUAUUCUACAGAUGGGCUCCUGAUUGCUGAACUUGAACUAUAUUCCCGUGCUCUCCAGGUGGGCGCCUGAUUGCUGAACUUGAAUUGUAUUCCCGUGGUCUCCAGGUGGGCGCCUGACUGCUGAACUCGAAUUGUAUUCCCGUGCUCUCCAUGUGGGCGCCUGAUUGAUGAACUUAAAUUGUAUUCCCGUGCUCUCCAAGUGGGCGCCUGAUUGCUGAACUCGAACUACUUCUCCCUGUUCUCCAAGUGGGCGCUUGAUUUCAACAAAAUAGACAAAACAAAGAAAAUUUUCUGCCCCAGUAUGGUAGCUGGGCACAUCUGUGAGUGUUAAACUGAAUCAUGUUACCAAACAUUAUCAAGAAUUUGAAAGCUAGAUCCCGUUAUCCAGGAGGGUCCUGAUAACUCCUAUUUAAAUGACAAUUUUAAAGCUAAAUUAUGUCUUCUGAAGGAAUGUCUUAUGCUAAGUCUUGUUAUCCAAGCAAGUUUUAAAACUACAUCCCAUUAUCCAGGAGGGUCCUGAAAACUCCUAAUUGAGUCCUAUCUUAAACAUGCAAACUUUGAAGCCAACUUAUAUUCCUUUGGGGUACAUUUAUGAUAGAUUAUGAUACUCAUGAUUGUUUUGAAUUUUAAACUAGGUCCCAUUUUCUAGGAGGGUCCUGAAAAUUUAUGGUCAAACAUGUUUGGUGCUUGCUUUUCCUUACGGAGGGUUUGUUCGAAACAAACGAAAUUUUCUUCCACUGUUUCAAUCAAAGAAAAAUCUUAUUAUUUUAAAAUGCGGUGGUUGGUUUAUGGCCUUGACUUUGAGGGCGAUUGCUCCUCCACUUCCCAUGAUAACUUUGAAUUCCACUCGAAGACCUUGCUAACCACUUUCUAUGUCAUACUUAUCACAGAAAAUACCUCUUCUUCAUUCAGACCCAAUACCCUAUAUCUGUUGCAUUGCUCAUAAACUGACAUUUACCAAACCUUUGUAUCUCACAUGAAUGCCAAAGCACGUCAAUUGCCACCCACUCAGUGCGUAUGCUGUUCUUUCUUGACUUAAACCACUGGCCUUGGCCUUGAGGUCUAUUGCACCUUCACUUGCCAUGUUCGCUUUGAUUUCUGCUUGGAAGAACUUGCCUGUCACUAGUUAGCCACUUUCUUUGUCAAUCUAAUCACAGAGAAUACCUUUUAUCUGUUCACCCUAACCCUCCAUCCGUUGCAUUGUUCAAGAAUUGAUAUAUACCAAGCCUUUGUAUUUCACAAGAAUCCCAAAGCAUGUUGAUUGUUACAAACUCAGUGCGCUUGCUGUUCUUUCCUAACUUAUGCUACUUUGAUGUGCCAGCCAGAUCUUGUUUUGUGCAAUUGGAAAGCUGGUGGCAANNNNNNNNNNNNNNNNNNNNNNNNNUUUUGACCAAACAGACUCAGGAAGAGGAAGUAAACAAGACAAAAGGAACAGAGUAAAGGACAAAGGAAAGAGGUGAUUCCUAACAAGUAAACAACAAAGUAGAAACCUAUCAGAUGUGGAUACCAACUCUAAUGACCAUGACAUGCACCUGUGGCCUAUUCUGUUGAGCAAGUCUGAUGUUCAACUCCUGUCAUACCCCUAAACCGUGAAACUGGGCUUCAAUGCUCCGAUUACCCAAUAUGAUUCAUAAUCCUUAUUCGACUUGUAGUGCCCGAAGAGUUUUUACCAUCAAGCCUCUCUAAUUUUGUUCUUUCUCUCAACUUACCGUCGCCUUACGGUACUAGUGAGGGUUUUCACCAAUAAGACUCUCAUUUUUGAUUUCCCUCAACUCCCGUCGCCUUACGGUGCCCGUGAGGGUUUUAACCAUUAAGACUCUCUCAUUUUCAUUACUUUUCUGCCUGGACCAGAGUGUUGCUCCUGAUAUGAAUUACUUCUCCUUGCUUGACUUGACAUCUCUCGAAGAUUGAUCGGAAGGUCUUUCUUUGGACCGUAACGUGGGCUUUUGGAUAUGAUUAAAAAGAAAGGAUAUCAAAGGCUCAAAACAAUUCACAUGGGUUAAAAAUUACAACUUUUGGAAUCAGAUUUCUUACAACAACCACAACUUCUAUCCUAGUUUCUUGCUUGGGGACUUUUGGAUUUUUAUUUUGAUGGGACCGAACCGUGAGGCUGCCUACGUAUCCUUAAAAGGAAUCAGGUCGAACGUAGUUCAUGUCAUAUGAAUUGCUUUGUUGUUGUGAUUUUUUUUUCUCUUUCUCUUUUAUUUUCUUUUCUUUCUUCCUUUUUCUCUUUUUGUUGUUUUGUUGGUUUUUCUUUAUUCUUUUUCCUUUUUUCGUCUUUUUUUUUUCUUCUUUCUUUUUUUCCAAUUUUCAUAUUUUCUUUUCUCUCUUUUCCUUUACUUAUCUUUCGCGCUUGCGUUUCUGAUCUUUGCUACCGAUUCCAAAAGAGGGGUACGAAAGGUAGUAAAUAAGGCACAAAUGGGGUAACAAAGGAUAAAGUGUUUAUAUAGCAGAACAAAAUGACUUCGUCAUUCUAAUCUUCAAAGCAUGCCAGAUGCAAACGGCACAAUAAAACAAACCAAAGAAAUCACACAUAAUAUCUUUUGACUGCAUCAGAAUUGAUAGCCAUAUCCACACAUUUGCCUUCUACAUUUGUUAAGUACAAAGCACCAUUGGACAACACUCUCACUCUCAUUACCACUAACGGCUCCUGUCAAUUUGGGCAAACUUGUCUUUAGCUUCAAUCCAAUGCGGCAUGAUGCAUUUCAAUAGGGUUUCUUUAUGUUCUAUCUGCCUCAGUUUCACACAAUUCGGGCUUGAACUGAUCUCAACAUGCCUUUACUUAUUUCCCUGAAAUGUCCCUACAUCUUCAACAUUGUUCCACUGCUUCGUGAUUAAAUUAACUUUUAAAAUCGGGAUGAGAAUUACGCAUGCAUGUCAUGUCACUAGAGUCAACAGGAAAAGAACUAUAAAAAGAAAAUAGAACUAAACGAAAAUGACUAGAAAUCACAGAAAAUAGAAAAUUGCAUUAGACAGAUGGUGAAAGGGUUUGGACAACAAAACAAACAAACUAAAUGGGGGUUACAAACCUAGAACAAAACUAGACAACACUAAACGGGCUACUACAACUAAACAAACUACGCAAAAUAAAAGGAUAGAAGGGUUUGAGUCACAAGACAAUAUCCGGACUACAACCCUUAAAUAACCCGGACAGCAGAAAUGACAACAAAAUAAACCACCAAAACUCCUCCCUGGCUAACCAAGAAAAAAGCGUCUUUCCAAUCAUCGAAAUUAACAUCUUAGCCACUGACUUCUGCAUCAACAAUACUAGGACCUUCACAAGUCUCCAUCACAUUGUUCUUAACAGAUUGCCUUUGGGUUCCCUUUGCCUGCUCGUUCUUAGGAUCAACCUCUAAUAGCGCUGAAAGCUUCGUAGCACGUGGACCUCCGAGGAUCCCAGAAGAAUUCUCACAUUCCUUUCAAAAAUAUAUCUUACCCACCAUAUGCGUCUCAUUAUGCACAAGUGACGGACUUUGACUAGUGUCUACUGCAUCUGGAUUUUGCACGAUAAUGUCCCUUGCAUCAAUAAGCUUCUGAAUCGCAUUCUUCAGAUUCCAAUACUUCUCUAUGUCAUUCCCCGGGGCAUAUGAGCAAUAUGCACACCUUUGAGAAAAAUCAAACUUCUUUGUAAGAGGAUUUGGCAUUUUUAUCUGGAUCGGCUUCAACAUGUCCAAUUUCCUUAGCCUCUAGAACAGACUAGCAUAUGACUCUCCAAAUGGAGUGAAGGUUUUUUUCUUCCGCAACCUCUCAUUCUUAAAUGCUUGAUUGGGAUGUAAACAUUAUCCAAGGGGGUUUCAGUAAGCUCGUGGGGGCGGGUAAGACAUUUGGGGAAAUGGUGUGGGCCAUCACGGUCCUUAUGGGUGUGGAGCAUAUGGUGGUGCAUUGUGGACAGGGUACUGGGAAAGUGAUGUACAACUUUGGGAGUUUUGUGAAGAGAAGUAGCAUUGGGGAGGCUCAUCUGGUGCACAAGGAUAUCCACGGGGACGAUGUCGAGGUUGGAAGUGUUGAGCAAGAAAGCCCAUCGGAUCAUCUUUUCUAUUUCUCUUUCUUCCACCCAAACUUACUGGGAUGUUCUGAAUGCCUUUCGUAGUAUCUUUCAAUGCCGAAUAACUCAUGAUUUUGCCUGACUUGAUUCCCUCUUCUACCAUCUCCCCCAUUAUUAACACAUCAUUGAAAGGCUUACCCAAGGCCGGGAUCAAAUGACUGAAGUAGGUGGGCCCCUGGGCUUGUAGGAAAAACUCAACCAUUUCUUUUUCACCAAUCGGGGGACUGACUUGAGCAGCUUGCUCCCUCCAUCUGAGCCCAAACUCCCUAAAGCUUUCCUCCAGCUUUUUUUUCAUUCUAGAUAGUGAAGAGCGGUCUGGGGUAACGCCUAAUUUGUAUUGAAAGUAUCGAAUAAAAUCUUGAGCCAUGUCACCCAAUGUAGGCCAAUUACCAACAUCUUGAUGAUUGUGCCAUUCCAAAGCUGCCCCAGUCAAGCUCUCACCAAAAUACGCCAUCAACAAAUCAUCUUUCUCGCCAUCACUUAUCAUUUUACUACAAAAGACCCUCAAAUGGGCUACCGGAUCCCCACGCCCAUCCUACAAGUUAAAUUUUGGCACUUUAAAUCCCAUGGAAAGGCAAACGUCAGGGGACACAGACAGUUCUUUAUAAGCCAUGCUACCCUAGUCUCCCAUUCCUCGCUUGUUCUCUAAGGACUGUCCUAUGCCUUUUAGCCUCCUGGGUAUCCCAUCUCGCCCUUCUCUUCCUGUGAACUUUUCAUUUUCAACGUGAGGCUCAUCCCGAAGGCCCUACUUGUAUGAGUUGGGGACCUUGUGGGCAACCUCUGAGGGAUAAUGUUGGGCAUAAUGAGCUUUGAGUUGGUGUUCAAUGUUGGGGAUAGUGCAUGUUAUAGGAGUGCACUUUUGGGAAAAGAUAGUUGGAAGACGAGUGAUGGAGCUACUAGGGUGGCUGGGAAAGCUGUGAUAAGCGGGUGGAUCUGGAGAGUAUGGAGGAUCAUCUGACAUUGGGUUCGGAGUUUGGGUAAGGGCAACAUCUAGGAAGCUAGGUGGUGGCGGGGGUGGUGCCUUCCCAGUCAUCCAAGCCUGAUACAUGUCCGCCAUUUGUUGUCUAAACAUAUUUACCUCUUCAACCAACUCAUUGUCCUAUUCAAACAACUGCUUCCGGGCACCGGUAUCAACCAACUCAGUUCUGUUGUUGUCUGCCAUUGCCUUUUGACUUUAUGUUUUAAAGAAGAGUUACCACUUUAAAAACCACAAACCAACCAACUUUCUGCUAUGAAUAUAACUAAAUAAAGCCAUCACGUUAUCGUUAGGGCAUUUAACAUAAGAUAAUCUCACGUUAUGUGCAAUGCACCUAGCCACAGUUAUCGGUUCUAAAGUGACUUUGAGGGUACGAAGGUCAGUUGGCAUCAUCCCAUUUUGUUCAUUUCAAUCCCCUCUUUUCUUUGCUUUUCUAUCACUUUCUUGAUCAUUUUCCUUCCUCUUUUUCUAAUUACACUAUUUUCUUUCCUUCAUUUCUCACAUCCCACAAUUUCAUCUCUUUUUUUUUUCUCUCUUUUCUCCUUUUUUUCUUUUCUUUUAAUAGUAAAAAAAUGAUUCGAUCGAACCCUAUGUAGGUUUCUUACGCAUCAUGACGCCGCAUGAAUCAAAUCUCUGUGUAGUUCUGGAAGAACGGGAAUAAAGUAAACAAACUAACGUUCUUUUUUCUUUUCUAAUUUUCUUUUACCUUAAGGACUACUCUGAUGAGAAGAGAGAAAUAAAAGAAGCAAAUCCNNNNNNNNNNNNNNNNNNNNNNNNNUUAACGAGCAUAUAUUUCUUACUUUUUUUCUUUUUGAAACAAACACUCUAUGGGAAAUUAUUAAGGAAAACCCUAGAAGAGAAAAAAACAUUUUUGAUUCUUUUUUUUAGGAAGAAGAUCGAAAGAAUAAACCAUAUAAAAAUAUUUUGAAUUCUCAUUUGAUAUCCUGAUGCAGGAUUUUGAAACAAGCAAUGAAAAAGAUAAAACAACAUGUUUUUGGAUUUCAAUUUGGUUGCCUAAAGAAAGAAACUUUAAACAAAAGAUAAAAUAUGUUUUUUUUCUAUGUACAAUUUCCUAAAGUUCUUGGGAAAAUAAAAGAAUAUUUUUUUUCAUUUUUCAUUAAGUUCCCAAAGAAGAACCUCAAAAGAAAAUCUUUUUGGAUUUUUGAGAUUAAUGCCUUAAAGAAAACUUUUAAAAAAGUACUAAAAGGAAUUGUUUUUUGAAUUUUGGUCAUAAUAUAGUAAAGGAAAUAUAAAAAUAAUUUUUAUUAAAAUCCUAGAUAUUAUUUUCCUAAAGGAAAAACCACCUCAAAAAUAUCUUUUUUCAUUCCUACAAUUAGUAUUCUAAAGAAAAUUCCUAACGGAAAUAUAAAACACAAUAUUUUAAUUUUUUUUUUGGAUUUUUGAUUCAUUACACACCCUUUCAAAUGCAAAAUAGAAAGUAAAAUAAUAAUAAUAAAGCUCGACAUUACUAUACAAAACUAAAAGGUAAAAGACGAUAUAAAAUAAAAAAAACAGGCUCAAAACAUAAAAAGAAAAGAAAAUCUUCUUUUAAUCCACUCCCAAAUGAGCGAUCCUGACUAGAUGUCCUAGGGCUCUGUCAUGCUCAAACUCCGAUAAGUAAAUCCACGUCUGUAUGAGAAAAUUAAAACCAAAUAUGUUAAAGACCUAGAGCGCUAUGUGAGACAAUAACCCUUCCUACUGGAAACAUGCAAGACAUGAUUUAGGCUAUUUUUGCAAAAUGACAUAUUUGGCCAAAAGACAGCUAGAAGUGCAAAAUUUUGGCUAAGACCCCGCAAAGCCAAGAACCUAAGAUUUACUAGGAAGACCGGACCCUAUGUGGGUUGCCUACGUAUCACGCCCCGAAAGACGAGAAUCAGGUAUGCGUAGUUGAGGCAGAUUGGAUACGGGCGAGAAUUAAAAAAAAACAACUAAUUUAGAGAAAACAUAUUUUUUGUCUUCUUUUUUUUUAAAAGAAAAAUGAUGAGACAAGUAGAUUUUUUUGGAUUUUUUCUUUUUCUUUUUUUUUGAUUUUCUGAUUUACGGAAAAUGAUGAAAAAGUGCAAAAUCUCUUUUUUUUUUGAAUUUUCAAGCUCUUUUUUUUCUCUUAACAAGAAUGUGACAGAAAAUAUAAUCGGGCCCCACUCGCUUUAUCUUCACACUUCAACAUCUUUUUCUUUUUCUUUUUUCUUUUUCAUUUGCCCUCAACUAUUAUUGGUCCGCCAAAUGACCCUUUUACCCUUAAAGAAAUGCAACAUGUAGCACAUAGGAUGCAUCAAGAUGGUCUGUUAUUUUGAGNNNNNNNNNNNNNNNNNNNNNNNNNCUAGGUUCAAAACCUGGGUAUGUGUUCUAGAAUGUGUACCCGAGCGGACAACUCGAGUCGAGGAGGGGGCUACGAAUCGGGAACCAAAAGGCCAUCCAGCUUAGUAACUUGUCCGAACCUCUUUCUUAUUUCAAGGUAUGACACUAACAGAAUAGGGAGUCACAACCAGCGUGCACAUCCCCAAAGAUGAGAAGAGAAGGUUUCGUAGCAGUUUAUAUACGGUUCAGAUAAUAUCAAAGCAGGUAAAAACAACAUUUAGCACAUUAGGCCCAAACAUGUAAUAAAAUCAGAUAACAGAUAAAACAAAAUAUAACAAUUCAUCUAAGCUCGAAUUCUGAACCCUGAACCAGGGAUUUUGGGUUCGAUCCCCAGCAUAGUCGCCAGAGUUAUCACACCUCCUUUUUCACUACACCCCUUGUAAAUGGGGUGUAUAAGGGUGUUUUUUCAAUUUAAGUGACAAUCGAAACGAGAUUUAUUUAUUUAAAGUAUUCAGAGUCGCCACUUGGGAUAAUUUUAUGGUGUACCAAGUCACCGGUUCAAAUCCCGAAUCGAGGAAAGAAUGACUCUGUAUUAUAGUCCGCGAAUCAGAAAUCCGGGUAAGGAAUUCUGUUAACCCGGGAGAAGGUGUUAGGCAUUCUCGAGUUUCGUGGUUCUAGCACGACCGCUCAACUGUUAUUAUUGGCUUAUUAUUUGACUUUAAACACUUUCAAGCCUAUGUACAUUUCUAACUUUAAACCGCUUUUAAUUCAUUUUAGGAGGAUUUCAACGUUAUACAAAACACAUCUUUGGAUCACGGAAUAUUAAAUGCGCCCGCGAUCCGCGACAUAUUUUAUUAAUUUUGUUAGAAUUUGGAUUUAAGUCACAUGAAAUGCACACCCGACUCUAAGGAAAUUAAUUAUUAAAAUAACGCGGCUAAAGCAACUACGCGUUUGCAACUUUGCGAGGGCCAUGGAAAUUCAACUAGGUGGCACGCCUCGAAUUCUAAGAAUCAAAAAAAAAAAUUAAUUAAACGAGGGCCAUGCAAUUGUCAUUUUUGUUCGGCACAACACACCUCGGUUUAUUCUAAUCAAGAGGUUUCUAAAUUAAAUUACGAGAGUCAUACUAUUUGUAUUGUCUAAUAUAGCACACCUCCAAUCUACUUGUGUUUUUUUUUAUUUCCUAUCCCACUCAAAAAUUCCAAAGACCCAAGCUUAUCUUUUGAUUCAGAAUUUCACACCCAUUACUCUAAUUCCAUUUUAAAAAUACUUGAGUUCACUGCCUAUUUUGAUUUUGAUUUUUCAAUUAUUUCUAGCAACAAAACCAAUGCCGCUAACAAGAAAUCAUCGUCCAUAUAAACAAAAGCAAAACCAAAUUUCAUAUCCACCCUAUCAACCUUGCCAUAUCUUUUGAAAAGCUUUCCUUGGCUUAUGCAUCCAAAUUUACAGUACAUGUCAAUAAGCGAGGAAAUCAAAAAGGCAUUGGAUAUAUUUCCAAUAUUAAUCACUUGCGCAUGGGAUACUUCUUUGGUCAAGCACAACGAAAAUACCUCUUAGAACAACCAAAAUGACGAUUUUAGAGUAUGAAUGACAUGUUGGAUAGUACAGCUAACAAUGCUAAAUUAUGCUCUCAAGGAGAAAAUCUGAUCUAAGAAACCAUGGAAACAAACAGUGGCAUGUAGCUCCUUAAACAUUCGGAUAAUUUGUCUUUCACUUAGAAAUCUAAAAAAAUCGAAAGAUCUUCACAAUUUGGUUACAUAUAUAAAUCAGUUGAAGGAAAGCAAAUUAACAAUGCUGAAAAUCCCAUUUCUCUAAAAAUUGUGAAGUAUCAAACUCUAUGUCAUCCUUAAGAUCGACUCGGAAUCGUAUUUGCCAAAAAUGAAGAUUUUAUAUAUAACUUCCCAAUAACUUUUCAAUUAACAUGAAGCAGAAUCUUAACAUUAAAGGGUCGGGAUAUGAAGACAGCUCAAACAGCAAAAUCCAGUUAGAUAGGGAAUCUGCCACGACAAACUUGAAUUAACCUUUCGAACACUGUUAGCAUUUACAAUAUUUCGAAAUCAGGCAACUCAUUCAACAUUGUUCACAAAUAAAAUCAGAAAAAUGGCAAAUCAAGGAACUUCUCAUUAAAACAGAUCUUAGAAUAGCUUGAAAGAGAACGUACCUAAUUACGCAAGGACGAGAUUUAGAAGACAAAGAAGCCAAAUAACGAUUGAAACAAAAAAUUGGAGCUCAGCUAGCAACGUGGGAGCAACAGCAGCCAAACAACUCCCCUUUCCGAGUUAUAUCAAAACCCAAAACCCAGCUAAGCACUCCAAUUUCGAGCUUUUCGAGUGAUGAAAAAGUUCUUUGAAGGCUCAGCUCUCCAAUUGAAUUUUUAAGCUACUUUCAAUUCUCAACAGCUUUUCGUUACUGUAUUUUUUGAGAGAAAUGUAGUGUAAUAUGAAGAGAGAUUUGUGUGCUCGAGAGAAAAGCAAAAGAAGCGGCUGAGUUUUUCGUUUUGAUGAGGAAGAAGAUCAAGAUCCAAAGGAGUCCUUCUGCGCCGUUCUUCUAUAUGCGUCCCUCUCUCAUUUUUUAGCUCCCCUUCUAAUAAUGUGUAUUUAGGGUAUAUAGAGGGGAAGGGUUAAUGGGUCAAUGGUCUAGGUUGGGUAGGUAUAAGGUAAUUGGGCCAUUGGGUACAGCUGACUUGGGCUUUGAGAAUUAAAACGAAGCAGCCCAAAAUCUGAUUUCUCUACUUCUUUUCUUUUUAAUUUUUCUUUCUUUUUCUAAUUUGUUUUAACUAAAAAUUAAAAAUGACACCCAAAUUAAUUCCUAAUAAAAUUAUUUUAUCAAAUUAAAUUAACUAACUCCAAAUAACAAUUACCACAAACAAGUAAGAACCAAAUUAAAAGGAAAAACAACCAAAGUUAAAAAAUUAAAAUUAAAAGUGCAAAAAUAACUAUUUUUGUGAUUUUUCCUAUUCUUAUAAAAUAACUAAUUUACUACUUAAUUCAAAAAUGCAAAGUUAAACCCUAAACGCAAAUGCAACAUAUUUUUGUAUUUUUUAUUUAUUAAAUAAGAUAAACAUGCACAGACAAAUGCAAACAAUUGAUAGAAAAUGCCACAAAAUCCACGAAAUUGCAAACAAUAGAAAAAAAAUUAUUUUGUUUUGAAUUUGUGGGAAUAAUUCAUAUAGGGCAAAAAUUACGUGCUUACACUGUCAACUCCCACUCCUCACACUCAAUCACUCAGCACUGUGUAGUACCUUUGCUCACUGCUAGUUUGUCAAACUGCGGAGGGGCGGAUCCUUCCCAAGCACUAAUAAAACAUAUGACGACGUGCAACCCGAUCCCAUCAUGAAUUAAUAAUAGCUACUGCGGCGUGCAUCCUGAACCCAUCAUGAAUCAGUAAAACUUGUUGCGGCACGCAGCCCGAUCCCUUCAAUAUCACUCACAAUCUGGCCCUCAGGCCCCAACUCAGUCAUCAAUCUCUCUAAUCUCUUGGGCUCAGAAAUCUCAUGCCAAUUCGCCGAAACAAUGAUAACAUGAUCCCAUAAUAAAUAACAACAAAUAAUGAGAUAUGAUAUGCAAAUUAUGGAUGUGACUUAGUAUAACAUUUCUAUUUAAGAAAAUGAUUCAACAGUAGAAAUAACCUCAGCAGGUCCCAACAGAAUAAUCAUAUAGCCUAAACAUGAUUUUUAAUAUGGAUUGCAGCUCAAUUACUCUAACACAUAGGGAUUACAUGAAUAACAAUAUGGUUUGCUAUCUACACAGCACCAUAGAAUCAACCAAGUCACAGUUAGUAGGGUGCACGCUCACACGCCCGUCACCUACCAUGCACGUCACCUCAAAACCAACAAUAUAACACGUAUUUCAGGCAUUCAUACCCUCAGAAUAAUGUUAGAAGUAUUGCUUCCCUUAAACCCUGUAAAUCCCUAAUCCAACAAGCCCUUGCCUUAUGAAUCGGCCUCCGAAUGGCUCUAAUCUAGCCACAAGCAACUUAACACAAUAAAUACAAGCUAUAGGAAUCAAUUCUACACAAUAAAGCUAUGUUCUUUAACAAAAGUCAAAAAGUCAACCCAAAAGGUUAACUCUAGGCCCACGUCUCGGAAUCCAACAAAAUUUUCAAAGUCCAAAAACUCAUUCAAUAACGAGUUCAACCAUACCAAAAUCACACAAUUCCGACCUCAAAUUGCCACUAAAAACCCAAAUCUUACUCUUCAAUACAUGUGCCAAAAAUUCCCAAAUUCCAAAUUAUAUUCAUGAUAAUUAGGUAAAAUAAUUAAUGGGUAUUCAAAUACAUGGAUAAAUGUUAUCAAAAUUCACUUACUUGUUUAAUAUAGGUGAAAACCUCUUCAAAUAUCACCUAAGUCUGCACCCCAAAACACUCAAAAUGAGAAGAAGACUCAAAUCCUCGAUUUCACAUAUCCGCCAAGCCCAUUUUGCUCUUGUGGACUCACCAGCCGCACUUGGAACUCCGCUUCUACAGAAGAAUGUUUGCUUCUAGAGAAAUCACUCAAGCACCCGACAAACCACACCUGCGCCCAAAUAUUUGCACAUGCAAGAUCGCUUCUAUGGGUCAUGCUUCGCUCCUUCACAUCCGCGCCUACGGAUUCCAUGUCGCUUCUACGAGUCCAGCCUCACCUAUCAAAAUCUGCUUAUGCGAAGACUCAUCACCUCUGCAGGCUUGCAGAUGCAGAAAAUGACUCGCACCUGCGACCACUACCAAACACACACCAGACAUUCACGACCCGAAAUUCCUACUCUAAUGACCAUGAUGACGCUUAAUAUUUCACUUGCUCAGCAAGCCCACGUUAGAAGUAUUUUCCAACCAUUUUCAACAAAAUCCAAUUAAAUGAUUCCAAGAGACUAGAUAAAAUGAAAUAAAACUUAAAUAGAUUGAAUAAGAAAAAAUAUCAGCGAUAUCUACAUAAAAUCCAAGAACUAGUGUCACAAUUGCAAGAGUGAGUUGAAUAAUACGAACAAUAGUCUGGAUGAUAGUAAAACUAUAUGAAAUUAAAUAAAUAGCUAUGAUAAGGUAGAAGGUGAUUGCAGGGCUGCGAACGCCAUGCAACUGUACCUCAAGUAUUUGUCAGGCAAUCAAUCCAAGCAAUCUACUAACUACCGCUAAGACCGACUACAAAAGCUACACAAUAAGUGAAGAGUGUAGUAUGAGUACAUCCGACCCCAUAUAAUUUGUAAGUGUCAAGCCUAACCUCGACAAUGUAGUGACGAAGCUAAGGCGGGUCACCUACAAUAACUUAUACUUAGUAAAAUAAUAAUAAUAAGAAGGAAACAUAGGAAAAGUAAGGUAGUUAACAGAUGAAAAUAACUCAAUCCUCGAAAUCAGUAAAACCAGAAACAUCAUUCAUCAAAAUCUCGUAUGAAAACACUAAAAGCAAACACAAUUCAACAAUGGAUACAAAACACACAAUCCAUUGCGGCACAUAACCCAAUCCCACCAUACAAAUAUAAUCCUCCCUUAUUUCACCAUAUCAAUAUCAAGAAUAACAUGUAAAAUCUGUUACGGCGCGCAACUCGAUCCCACCAUAUAAUCAGAAUCAAUAUCAUAAUCCUCCCUUAUUCCAACCGUUGCGCCGUGCAAUCCGAUCGCACCAUAUCAUCAUCAAUCAUCCCUUAUUCCACUCGUUGCAGCGUGCAACUCGAUCCAUAAAUAAAAGUAAUCAAUUCAACAACUCAAUUCAAAAGAAUCUCAACAAUUAAAUAAUCAUGGAAGCAAAUCCACAAAGGAACCUCGUACAAAAUCAAGGAUUGCUACAAUUAAUACAAAGCAACAAGUCAAGCCAAAUAUAUGAUAGUUAAAGUGUGCAAGUAAUACAAUUAAGGCAACUAGCAAUUAAUCAUGGAAACAUGGAAGAAAUAAACAUUUUACUACGAGAAUAAAAAGUGACAAGUAGCAAGUUAAGACACAAGAAGUAAUUUAAAGCAUGCAACAGCUAAGAUAUUGAAUAAAAUAAUUAAAAAACGAGAAAGCAUGAAAACAAUUAUGUUAACAGCGUAUAUACACUCGUCAGCUCGAAUAUACGCCCCAACACAUGUAAUUCACAUCACACAUAUUUCAAUGGUUCUUAAUUCCCUCAAAUCAAGGUUAGACCCAACUCUUACGUCGCUCCACAAGUAAAUCAAAGCUUAACUGGGACCUUUCAUCUAAAAUUCGCCUCCGAACCAACCGAAUCUAGCAAAAAUUGACUUAAUAGUAACAACCAAUGCGAGGAAGAUAAAUUACAAUAUAUAAAGCUAUAUCUUUAUACUUUCUCAAAAAAGUCAACAAAAGUCAAUCCCAAGCGAACUUGGUCAAAACCCGAGAUUCGGAUAAAAUCCCAAUUACCCAUUCACCACUGAGCCCGAUUAUGUGAUUAGUAUCAAAAUCCGACCUCAAUUUGAGGUCUAAAUAUCAAUUUUACAAAACCCCCCUAGUUCUUCCCAAAUCCCUAAUUUUCUACCGUGAAAGAGCAAAGAUUAAAGAUAAAAAUUAAUGGGUGUUGAUGGAAAUCGAAGAGAACAAAUUAAAGUGUACUAACCUAUGAAUUGGUGAUGAAUUUUCUUUUCAAAAUUGCCUCUAGGCCGAGCUCUAAUGAGAAGAUGGCGAAACAUGGGUGAAAUCCCUUUUUGAGAUAUUUCAUUGACUGGGCACCAAGCCUUCUUUGUGUUCACGAAGGGCCUGACGCGUUUGUGAUGAAAAACAGCCAUAAUGGCCUAUGCGUUCGCGAGGUUCCUCACGUGUUCGUGAAGGCUUCUCCCCCAGGCCUUCGCCUUCGUAAGCCAGGGCUCGUGUUCACAUAGAGUAACAACGAUGCUGCCUUCCCAAGCCCAUAACCCUACGUGUUUGCUAGAUGCUGGUCUCGUUCGCGAAUGGUAAAUACCCCAAUGCUACGUGCUUGCGAUCUAGAUAUCGCUUUCGCGAUGAAGAACAACACCCCAAUCCCAAUUUCCUGUUUGCGAUCCUGAAGCACAAAGCAUCAGGCGACAACAACAGUGAAAACCUAAUAAUGACCUAAGUCCAAAAAUCACCUGUAGCCUAUUUGGAACUUACCCAAGGCCCUCGGACUCCAAACCAAACAUGCAAACAAGUGUAAUAACAUCAUACCAACUUGCUCGUGUGAUCAAAACAUCAAAAUAACACCUAGAACCACGAAUUGGAUAGCAAAACAAUAAAAAAAAUCAAAAACAUGAUAUUUUACAACUAGACGUCCGAAUUACGUCUAAUCGACUCCAUUUUGGACCAAAUUUUGCAGACAACUCAUAACUUCUGAAAUGAAACUAUACCAAGUUCUAGAAUCAAAAUCUGAACCUGGUAGUAACUUAUUCAACCUACGGUAAAACUUAGAAAUUCUUUAAAACUUUAAAUUACUAGUUUUCAAAUCAAGUUAUGAACAUCCGAAUUCGAUUUCGAGCAUACGACCAAGACCCAAUCAUGAUACAGACCCGUCAGGGCCGUCAAAACACUGAUACAGGUCCAUUUACACAAAAUGUUGACCAUAGUUACCUCAAAUGUGUUUUAAGGCUAAACUUUUACGUUUUCAUAAAUUUUUCACAUAAACGUUUUCCAAAAACAUGACACGCUAAACGGAGCUAUUCAAGGUCUCAGAACACAAAAAUGAAGGGUAAUACUAUAAAUGACAUGUUGGGUCAUCACAUUCUCCACCUCAAAAUCAAAUGUUCGUUCUCCAGCGGACAUAGAAAGGUACCUGACUGGUGAAUAGGUGUGGAUUCCUACUGUGCAUGUCUGACUCAGACUCCCACAUGGAUGCAUCGAUCUGCUGGCCUCUCCACUACACUCGAACUGAAGGAUAGCUCUUAGACCUCAACUGCCAAGCCUGCCGGGCUAGAAUAGCCAUCGUUUCCUCGUCAUAAGUCAAACAUUUGUUCAAUUGGACUGAGCUAAAAUCUAACCCAUAAGACGGAUCACCGUGAUACUUUUAGAGCACAGACACAUGAACAUUAGAUUGCAUGUGGAUAAACUAGGUGGCAAUGCCAGCCUGUAGGCCAGCUGCCGCGCCCACAUUUUUCCUCCGUGAAGAAAGUCCGGGUUUUGAGAUUCAUGGGGGUAAUAACUCAUUUCCUUUUGGGAUUUGGGUAUUUUUGAAGAGUCGCCACCUAACGGAUUAUGGUGCGUUAGACACCUAGAGAGAUUAACUCUUAGACUAGUUUGCAUUACCAGAGAUUAUGGUAAGGGCUUGAAAUAACCUUGAGGGGAAGGUGUUAGGCACUCAUCUCGAUCCACAAAGGUGGGUCCCCGGCUGAACUUAUACUUAUUAAUUAGUCCAUUUACAAAUAAGUAGUUAAAUAAAAUAAUUUGCAAGUAAAGCACGUUGGACAUUAUAUAACGCAAAUAAUAAGACAUUGGUUAUGAACAAGUUUUAUACAUAAAACAAAGUUUUAAAAAGAAGGGAUUUGGUAAAGGAGGGGUCCUAGGUUGUUUAGCCUACAAGAUCACCCCACACAAUGUCAGGUAAACACUGCUCAAUAAGGGGCUACACGUGACAUUAACGCGUAGUCAUCAUAUCCCAUAUCUACCUUUCCCAUCCCGUGGUAAUAGCCUAAAAUGCGCUAGUAAACUUGACGAUGCCUAUGCAUGCACUACCCGUCCCUUCCUAUGGACCUAGAGGUGUUUUAUUACCUCUAAAUCUGGGCAGUUCUAGACGACCCCUAAGGUGCUUAAAAGGAGAAAAUUCUAAGGCGACAGGCAAGAACAAAUAGGACCUUAGCACAAAAGGUAGAAAGGAAGCAAUUAGAGGCUCAAGUUUACCUCUACAGAUAAUGCAUGUAAACAGCAUGACUCAAACACAAAUAAGGGCAAUAUUGUUAAAUAGUAUUUUAAGACAUGAUGUCUAGGCGAAGAACAUAACAAAUGAGAUAUGCAGUUUUUAUUUUAUAAACUCAGAAGUAAUGGCCCUAUCCGUUUGCCUACUAAUUUUAAGCCUGUUUAAAGUCAGAACAACAUUAAGUAGCAGAAAUAGUUUCAAAGCUGCAAUAUUUGAAAACGCCCUAUAGGCUUGCCUACACGCUGAAUAGUGGUGUCCUAAAAACAUGAUAACUACGUUUGACAUAGUAAAACAGUGGAAAGAUUUUAAAAUAGACUCUUGAGUUCCUAUAGGCAGUCAUUCUAAUAGUGAAUUAGGGCUAACUCAAAAGAAUUCAUUUCUGGGAAAACAAACCACUAAUUGGACCAGUUUCGAAGAAAACUAAUCAUGAACUGCACUAACUUAUUUAAACUAAAUUUAUUUUAGAUCUAUAGGCUGGAUUUCUGAUGUUGUUCCCUAUAGGCAUGGUAUCUAAUUAUUAAGAGCUGAUGUUAGAAACUUAUAGGCAUGAUAACAAAUGAAAACAUAUGUAAAUACCCUUUAUAACAAAAGUUGAACCGAAUCAUAUCCUAUACGCAUGGUAUCUACUUGUGAAGUUGAUUUUAAGACCUAUAAACAUGAUUUCUAUUAUUGGAACCACUUGAGACCUAUAGGCAUGAUUUCUAACACGGUAAGGCAUAACAAAUAUAUAAUCCACGUCGUGCCAAAGGAUAUGUCAAAGGAUUUUAACAUCAAUAAUACUUCAUCCACGCUGUGCCGAUGCGAGCACGUGUCCCGAUACAUUAGCAUCAUGACCAACAUACAAAUAGUGAGGACAGACUGCCGAUGGAGCAAGGAAGUGGGGGUGGAGAUUCCUGGUCCCAAAGAGAAUAUAACGGACUAUAAGGCCAGUUUUCUUUACGUGUAUACCUACCCGUUCACCUUGGGUCCUGAUAAUUCUUCCGAAUCCUCUCCCCCGGAGAUAGACCCGGUUAUCCUUGACUUUUGUGACAAGUACCAAGUGACGCUUGGUCAGAUCUACACUUGUUCUCGAGGAUAGUAUUGAUGUUCCGCCAUUUUACCAAAGGGGUUGGGGUGAUACCUUUACACUCAAUUAUUUGAUCAUGAUGUAUAUCCCUCGAUUUUAUCGAGGUUUGAUCAAGCUCCAUCAUCGAUCCAAAAAAUCAUUUUUCUCGAGCAUCGAUGAGGGAAAGGAUCGAGGGUGGAUGAGCAGAUUAGUCUGGGUGAAGACCUCGGAUAUCAUCCUAGCCCGGAGGAUGCCCUUUCCGGAGAAUUGGAACAUGCAACAUAAGCAAUUUCCCUUAACCAACUUUUAAUACUUUUCUUCUGAAAUAACGACCUCUCUGUGCUUCCUGCAGCCGCUGCUUGGUACCCUGAGGUGGUUCCGGAUUUGUAGGGAUGGAUCAAGCAGUUGGACAAGGCAUUCCCAUAUCUUGUUUGGUCUUGGACAGACCUGGCCAAGGAAUGAUGGGUGGCCAAGAAUCAUGGAUGCCUCAUAUUUGUGUCUCUACCUGUGCCCUUAGAGAUGAAAUCUUGUGGUUACUAUGAUUGUGCAGGUCUUGGCGAGAAUAUGCAGAUAUGGCCACCCCCUAGUGGCGAAAUGGAGGAUUCGGAGCCCACCAAGGGCAAGAAGAGAAAAGGCAAGGCAACUGUCGUCCUUUCUGUGGCAAAGAAAACCUGGUCACUUGAGCAUCGAGGCACUGCUGGGACCUCUGCUUCAACUUCAGGGGAGAAUCCCGACACUGAGUAAGAGGAUGACGAUGAAUGUUAGCUAGCAUAGAAGAGGAGGCCGAAUGCGAGAACCUUGCAAGUGCCUCGAUCGGAGGCUGCUGAGUAUGGAAUGGCUAACUCCGGUCGGUCUUGUGAAUUGAAGACCCUUGAAGAGGGUGUUAAUGUGGCCUUAAAUUGCACAACCGAGUUUGACGUAGUUUCGGAUGGGGGGACCGCUACCAUCGAUCCUGAAGGGUCGGGGCCCAAAGCUUUUUAGGAGCAGGGGAUGCCUUUUGGGGAAGUCGGUGACAUCAACAACUUCAUCUCAUGCUUUAAGGUCUCAUUAGGGGAACUGAGGGAUGCUCAAGAAGCGGACGCCGUCAAAGUAGAGAUCUCUCUCCAAGGUGGAGGCCGUCUUGCCAGCAUCUCUGAUGGUGUUAGCGAUAGUGUUGGUUAUGACUUUCCCGGCGUCGUCAAGGCGGCGGAGAAAUUCAUGCGGCAUGUGAUAGCCAUCUUUUGUGCAUUUCUUUUAGUCUUGGGCAUCAUUCUUUGUCAUUCUAACUUUUCCGCUAUGCCACAAUGCAAGGAUAUGUACGACCAUACCUUUCUUCGGCUCCACAAGGAGCCUUCUUACCAUGAAAAGGAGUGUAAGAAGCUUACCUUGAUGCUGCGGGAUUCGGAUGCUCUCCCUAUCCGGGAAGAAAAAGAUCUAGGAGAGCUCCGAGCUGCGUUGGAGACAGCGCUCCGUGAAAAGGUCGACCUUGCUGUGAAGGUAUUUUUCCUUGCUUGUACUCGACAUUCGCUCCCGUAUUCCGACACAAAUUAGCUUAACUUUCUUUUGUAGGUCGAGCAGAAUGGUUCACAGCUUAGCCAAUUGUACAAGGAGAUCUCCGGGCUGAGGAAGCAAAGUGAAGUAGCGACUGAGGAGUUGGCGACAUCCCAGGAUCUUCUUAGGAAUGCUCGCAAGGAGGUUGCUGCCUUGGCUACGGCCAAGUCCAAGGUCGAAAGGAAUGCUACCAUUGAUCUAGAGGACGCAACCACGACGCAUAAAAUAACUCGUGAUGUAUCGAUAGCAGCUCAACAAAAGCUAGCUCGAGAUAUUAUUCAUGUUAAGGUAGAUGCGAGGAGAGAGACAUUGGAGGAGAUCGGAGCUAUAGGCGUCGACCUCUCCGCUGAUCUCGAGGGAGCCCGCGAAUUGGAGAGAGAACUGGUGCUUUUAAUUGCCCACGAUGAGGGCGAAGAAAGUAGUGAUGAGGAGUAGUCCCCAAGUCGUUUUGCAUCCCCUCUUUUUCCCUUUGUAUGUAGCCCCCUGGGGAUGGAUUUUGUAAAGAUAUCUCUCGUGUGUAUGUUAUUGGCAAUGUCAAAAGAGGGAUUACUCCUAUUAGUUUUUUCAGUCUCUUUUUUCUUUGUUCAUUUGCUUUUGUGGAUUGACUUUCGACUUUUGAUGUUGGACUUUUAAAAUCCGUUCUUGGAGCAACCGGGACGCCAAACUGGACAUGCGCUAGGGUUAAAUCGACAGCUCCUAUUAGGCCGGUGCUGGUGGUAUUAGGGAUCCCCCGGGGCCCCGCAGUUUUUUUAGUUCUACGUGGUAGCAACAUUCGCUGGAUCUGUUAAGAGGGGGCCCAGGAAAAUUCCGCCAGUGCGUUUCCCUAGGAGAGAGUGACGUUAAUGCGGCCAGAAUUAAUUGGCCUUUUGGAUAGGCGGCCAAUUAUUGCUCUGCCCCUAUAUAUUCACUUUUCUUCCUUUCCAAUGGUGAUUCUGUUGCUUUGAUAAACUAUCUCUUCCGUAGAGCCUGGCAUUUCUUGCUAGUUCUUCUGUUGCCCCCAUUCAAAGUUUUUGCUCAGGUCUACAUCUUUCUCUUCCUAUUCUAUCGUAGCUAUGAUUGUUACGUCAAUGUCCGAUAGUGGGGUGGAGAGGAGUUCUUCCUAUGCUCUGCAUUUGGUUGGUAACAGCGACUCGCUGCCGAUGCCCGGUGAGUGAGCCUCGAGGAGAGCUGUCAUGCUGGGGAGGCCUCCCAAUGUUUGGGGUCACCGGGAGCAUGUAUCGAGGAUCAUCUCGUCAGUGGGAGAGGAAAACCUCGAAAUGAUCGUAAAAGACUGUGGAUGGGGAGAAGGCGUGGUAUUACAAGUACCUUCUUCUAAGGAGAGCGUCACAACAUACGUUGAGGGGUUUUUGAGCGUAUACACGCAUGUUUUUGGGCUGGGUUCUCCCGAUUGGGUUGUGCUUGAUUUUUGUCGGAAAUAUCAGGUUACACUGGCGUAGACUAAUCCCUUUCUCUGGAAAAUAGUGUAGACGAUGAGAUAUUUCACCAAUAAGACUGGAAUAGAGUUCACCCUCAGCCAUCUCGUGAGGUUAUAUCGACCACUACGUUACCGGGGUUUGAUUGCUGUUCAUUGUCGAUCCACCCGAGUUCACGCCAUCGGUAGUGAAAAGGAUGAGGAUCGUGAAUGGAUGAAUAGAUUCUAUCGGAUUCAAAUGACCGAUGUCAUUCCUAGGAAAUUUUUGCCAUUUCCUGAGAAAUGGAACUUCAAACGUAAGUGUCUCAUCUAAACUAUUAUCAUUUUGUUGGAGGCCGGCUCCGUAAUGAUAUUUUUUUAUCCCAUAUUUAUAGCAACUCAUUGGUCGCCGAACGAGGUCCCCGAUUUAGCCGAGUGGCCUCGUAAGCUAUCAACUUGCUAGAUUUAUGAUAGGCGCUGGUAGCAAGAUUUAUCCAAAGGGAGAUGGGAGGUGAAGCAUCGUGGUAGGUGUUCAGCACUUUACUUCCUAAAAAAUGGCGCUUUUCUUGCCAGCUUAUAUAACUCAACUACCGUAGGUGCCGGGUGUUCUUUCGAAAUGAGGUUGUGUCAUCUAGGGAGGAGCAGAGAUUGUUGGACUCGCGAUCGAGGAUUUAUGACAAACAAAAAGAUGCUCUAGAGUGCGAAAGGGCUUGUAGUGAGGUGUCUCCUUCUUAGCGGCUAAGGAGAAGCGAUUCGGCCGACCGACUUGCUUCUAGAGGUGUUAAGCCAUCAAAUAUUGCUUCGCCCUUUGGCGAGGCUCAGCGGCUUGGCCUCAUGGUGAUUUUCUGAUUGCUGCAAGAUUAUUCCAGCCCCGUGCCUUUCUCUCUUUUUCUUUUUAUUUAGAUUUCUUUCAUAGGCCUUUGACAAGCUUAAAUCCGAGCUAUUACGUAGUGAGGCACCAUUGCGGGAGACUUUGGAUAGGGAGAAAUUCCUUAAGAUUCUUUGUACAGAAAAGAAAAACAAGCAGGUUUCCCUGCGGCGCGAGGUGGACCGAAAUCGGAGCCAUGUGAUCCGCUUGGAGAAAUAGGUACCCUGCAUUUCAUGCUGGCUUGCGCUAUCCCUUUUUACCUCGGCGUCUUGAUGUUUUCAUAUUAUAGUUGGAGGACAAGGCGGAGGAGCUGGGAUAGCUCUGGGGCGAGGUUGGUCGAGGCAAAUGCAAAUUCAACGAGCUGCAAGUGCAUGUAAGUGCCCAUUUUGCGGCCAAAGAGAGUGCUCUAGCGAUGGUUUCUGCUAUUGAGGUGCAAAUCUAGAUCGUCAGCGCAAAUGAUUCUGUUCUGGCGAAUAUGAUUGCAAGGCUCUCGUCCAAGCUUUUGAAGGCGAAGACCUAGGUGGUGAAUGUCCGGGCUGAGGUUGUGAUGAGCAACACCAGAGCGGGAGAGAAAGUGGCAGCCUAUUUGAAGAGUGAAGCCGUUUCUAAAGCUGAACUGGAGAGAGCCCUUGAUCGUGCAAGCAGUAGCAAGGAGCAUGUGAGGUGCAAAUCCCAGAGGGAUGUUUUCGAGGAGAUUCAUGCCAUGUGCUUUGAUCUCUCGAAAGAGAUCGAGCAAGCUAAAUGGGAGGAGUAUGAUGCCAAGUUCCUUCCGUCUGAUGCUGAAUACGGCGAGGAAGAGGCCACCAGGCCAUAGUCACUAGGGGGGGGGGGCGUUUAUUUCAUGCCUUAUUGUUGUGUACAUAGCUUUCAUAUUAUGUUGUAGUAAGAGCAUGUAUUUUAUCGCUUGUAUGAAAAAAGGGGGAACCCCGUAAUUUGCGUCUUCUAUGUUUCUGUCUAUCAAGAUCUCAAUCGGGUCCAUUCGACCUUUGAAUUAGUAGGAAUUUUCGAACCUGUGGUACGACCCAGAGGUUCGUUUAGCUGGUGAUAGCGGCUUUUACCUUUUUCCCUUGGGCAUACACAUCUAUAAUGUUCUAGGUUUAGUCUCCGAGUUGGGUUUCGACUCGAGCUCAAUCGACCCUUAGCUGGUGACAAUGGCUCUUAUGCCUUGGGUCGAAAUGAACUUUUAUGUACGUGGCCCUAAGGCUCAUGAAGCUGGCGACGAUGGCUCUUAUUCUUUGCCCUUAGGCAUGUAUUAGUUACCUAUUUUGGAUAUGGUCUACGAAUCGGGUUACAACUUAAGCUCAUUUUGAUCCUCAAGCAUUCAAAUUUUAUGCUGGAGACAGUGGCUCUUACGCUUUUGGUCAUUGCGACCUUUUAGUAUGUGGCCUUGAGGCUCACUUGGCUGGCAACAAUGGCUCUUAUGCUUUGCCCUUUGGCAUAUGUAGGCUUUGUUUUCCCCUCGUUAAGGACUUUUGGAAAUAUUUUUUCUUACCCCAUCAUCGGUUCGUGAAGAACCUCGAUUUCAAGUUGUUUUUGCGGUAUUAUUCGAGCACCUAGGAAGGUUUAUCUCGUGAGCUGAGUAGCUCAAAACCUUGUGAUUUGGAGUUGACAUGGUCAAAUCUCUUUUGCUUGUUGAGGAUAGCCUAUUUAACCUGUUCUUUUUGAAGUAGAUUCAAAGUAAUGGCAUGUGAUUUUAUAGCGAAGAUCGGGCUUCCCCGAGUUACGUUAAUUUGGCUGGUGCAGUUAUAUUGACCGUAGUAAUUUGUGUUUGGCCGGAGCCAUUUUUGAUCCCAAGUGUGGUAGUUUAGGAAUUUACAUCGAGGGUAUGCCAUUUCGAGAGUCUUACAAAUGCGACAUAUAGCCUAUACUUUGGGAUCGAGUUUUAUGCCUGUAGUAAGGUCUUAUAAAAUCUUCAUGCAUGUUGAGGUCUUACAGUUUUUUCAUGCCUGUUGAGGUCUUACAGUUUUGUCAUGCCUGUUGAGGUCUUACAGUUUUGUCAUGCCUGUUGAGGUCUUAUAAUUUUUUCAUGCAUGUUGAGGUCUUACAAUUUUUGUUUCUAUAUUAAAUAGAUCUCUCUAGACCGAGUUUUCCCGCUCGGGGUCUUACGGCCUUGGGUUUUUAAGUGAAUGGCGAUUGGCGACACUCUCUAAGUCAUCGAGUUUUGUUAGGCCCGGAGGCCGUUACUUGUGAGCUCGGAAUUGCCUCAUUAAGGGCUUAUGAGCAUGGAGUUCUGACCUUGAGGCCAUGCAAGUAUCCUUGUUGUGAUCAUACUGAAUUUUCUUUGGAGUACGAGAUGAUUUUUGGUCAAAGAUAUUCUUUGAUUGUUUGGCGUAAAUACAUGUUGUUUGGUUGUCGUAAACCCGGCUUAUGUGGACACGGUUUGUUCGACAGUUUGGCCCUGUACAUCAUUUCCUAUCGGAACCUCGUUUGUCGUUUCUUGGUAUAGGGUUGAUUGCAAAAGAAACCUUGCAAGUUUGGUGGGUCAUCCUUAGGUAGCGCGUAGAUGUUGUCUCGUUAAAAACCUUGCCGGCAAAAACCCAUUUUGGGAUAAAAACUCGAUCGAAGGAAAAGAGUGCAACAAAUGCUUCAAAACCUCGAGGCCCUCGAGCCAGAUUGGCAUCUCGAUUACUUUGGUCGAUGGCCUAUGCAAGAGUUAUCGUGAAGUAAAAGACAGAAAAGGGAGAGAUGAUUAUACCUUAGUGGCGAUGGUGCUCUUGAGUUCCGGCAUUAGUUUGGCAGAUGCGAUGUGGUACUUUAUUUGAAUACAGCUAAGGGCAUGUAAUAAAAAAUCAUGUGGAUGAUGUGUUUGGGUUCGUCUGCUUUGUUCUUUCUGGUUGUUUCUCUUUCUCGGGUCUGGUUUUUAGUUCGGUUGCUGAGGAAUUCCCGAAGGUGUCCGUUAUUGACCAGCCGGGCCACUUCCUCCUGGAGUUUCCUGCAAUCCUCGAUUUUGUGCCCGUGUGAGUUGUGAAAUUUGCAUAUCAAGUUGUAGUUCCUUUGGGAAUGAUCCGAGUGUAUAGGUCUGGGUUAUUUAGCAUCCCUGAUUUUGCUGAUGGCAGACAUGAUGUCCGAUAUAUCAACAUUGAAGUUGUAUUCAUAUGGGUGAGUUUCCCCCGUUAGCCCCGUGUCCCCAUCGAAUCCACCUCUGUUUGUGGGUCCCCAAGGGUUCUGUCCUCUGUUCACCAAUCGAUCGUUGCGAGGCAGAUUGCAUCUCGGGGCAUUCCUCCUAUCAUCGAGGUAUGGCUGAUACCUCUCUUUAUUCGAUUUUGACUCCUUCGACAAGAGUCUUCUCGGAUAUACUACGCCCGAGGGGGCUCCCAAAUGGUCAUCCUCGAUCCUGAUCUUUGACUGGUACCGAUUGUGGACGUCCGACCAGGUUACAACGGGAUAUUCAAUCAGAUUCUUUUUCAGCUUCCUUGAGGCCACCGAGCUUCAUUCAUUCAGGCAUUGAGUGAAGGCUUGCACUGCCCAAUCAUCAUAGAACGGGGGUUGUUCCAUUCGUUCCGUUUGGAAACGAGAUACGAAUUCUAACAACAUUUUGUUCUCCCUCUGCAUAAUCUUGAAUACAUCAGACUUCCUUGUUGAUACUCUGAUGGCACCGGCGUGUGCCUUUAUGAAGGAAUUUGCUAGCAUGGAAAAUGAAUCUAUGGAGUUGGGAGCUAGGUUGUGAUACCACAUCAUGGCCCUCUUCGAGUUUCUCCGAACUUUUUCAGUAAGACGGACUCGAUCUCGCUGUCCUUUAUGUCAUUUCCCUUUACUGCGCAUGUAUAGGCACUGACAUGUUCGUUGGGAUCUGAGGUCUCGUUGUAUUUUGGGAGUUCUGGUAUUCUGAACUUCUUUCGAAUGGGUCUCGAAGCUGCUUCCUCUGGGAAUGGCCAUUGUACAAACUUUUUCGAAUCUACACCAUUCAAGACUAGGGGUGCGCCCGAGAUUUGGUCGACUCUGAAGUUAUAGGUUUCGACCUUAUUGCCGUUGGCUGCUAUCAUUUUCCCUCCUGACUUAAUCUUUUUGGUGAGGUCCUCCAGCAUUUCACGAUGGCAGGAUCGGCUACUGAUCCGUUGUUGCUCGAUCUCUCCUGUACCUGUUCGGCUAGGGGAGUAGUUUUCAGUGCUUUUGUGCUGGGAGUCGUCGGGUGGCUUUGCAGCUGAGCAAUAGCCAGUUGUUGUGGCUGCAACAUUUCAAAAAUAACAUGAAGACUAACUUCCUGUUCUCCCCGAGCUGGGGUCUUUUGGGAUUCUUGUUGGAUGCCAUGUCGUAUGCUCCUGUCGGUGUACGAAGUCUUGUCGACCUAUUGUGCAUUUUGCAAACCCGCGUUCACUGGAAUCGGUCCAGGUGCGUUUUCGGGGUUCUGUGGUGGCGUACCAAUAACUGGAAUGGCUACACCGUUUUCUCCAUGGUUUUCAAGAUUGUCGUUCUCGACUCUGUUCACUGAGCCAGACAUUUCGACCAGAAGUUGAAGAUGUUGGACAAGAAAAUGUGUGAAAGAUAACUUGCAUUGUGUAAUGAAAGCGCCAAAAAAAUAAUCACUAUUAGUUUUAGCCCCACGGUGGGCGCCAACUUGUUUACCGUUAAAAUGGUAAUAACAAUUAAAUUUAUUGAUGGGACUCUAAAAAUAUGUGAUUUAUUUAUAUGCUAGUUGUUAGAGCAAUUGAUGCUAGAUAUGUGAAGUUUAACGGCGAAACACGAACUAAAGCAGAGUUAUAGUCAAACUGAGGGGCUAGCUAUCCAGGCCUCAGGCUAACUGAUGAAGGGCCUCGAGGUCGACGUCUGGGCUAGGGCUCGAGCUAUCGAGGUUAGCCGGGAAGGGACUAGCAGUUACAAUAUAAUUGAAAGAGGCUCUUUAUAGCCAAUAUCAAGCAACAUAUGAAGAACAAGUAUGAAAGCAAUAAAUGAAAGUUGUAGUCUCGAGUGAUUAAGUUAGAGAGAAAAGAGGGAGACAGUUGUUAUUGAUCUUGUGUAGAAUAGUUGGAGCAACAACAGCCCUUUACAAAGUUGUAAGGAUCCCCUUUAUAUAGGAGGGGAAAUACAACAUAGUACAGAAUGCAUUAAUUGUAAAGAUACAGAGAUGGGACGGCUAGACAUGACACCAAACUCUGCCGGUGUUACCUGCUCGCUUUGGGAAUUCCCCAUACUCGGCACUGUCGUUGGGUCAAGCAUAAAUGAACAUCGAGGGAGAGAACUCGACCGAAUCCCACAGCCUCGAUAUCUCGAUAUGACUUCUCGAAACCCCUUAAUGACUAGUAAUUGGACUCUCUGAUUUUAUCGUAUACAGAUAGUCUCUGCAUUUCCUGGAAUGAAGUAAUAGGAAAUGAUUCUGAGCCAUCAUUCCAAGGACAUCAUUGCCGUGACAUCAAUUGAUAUGAGCAUUAAAUGCCAUGUUCUAGAAAAUCGUGCAAAGGUUGCCAUCAAAUACGAUAAUCGAGGAACAUACGAACUACCAUUGUCUCAAACUUUUAUACUCUUUCAUCUUGAUUUAGAGAAAUUUUUACCAUUGAUAUGGAUAGUACUUCUAGAAUGGUUCCUCGGCGGAACGAAGUUGCAUCAUUAUCUCAACCGCAACCCCACAGCCUCGAGAUCUCGAUAUGACUUCCUGAAACCCCUUAAUGACGAGAAAUUGGACCCUCUGAUUUUACCGUAUACACAUUGCUUUAUUAAGAUUUAAUCAUGUUAAAGUCUUAGAUUGUGUAAUUUAAAUUGUUAAAAAUGAAUUGGGUGUUGUGUCGGUUGGCCUUGUCUUCACGAGAGGUGCCAUCACAACCGGGUUCGGGUUUAGGGUCGUGACAAAUUUGUAUCAAAGCAUAGGUUACAUAGGUCUUACGAGUCAUGAGCAGGUUUAGUAGAGUCUCGCGGAUCGGUAUAGAGAGGUCUUUACUUAUCCCUAGGAGGAUGUAGAAUCUUUAGGAAAAACUGUACUUUCUUGAAUUCUUAUCGUCCAUCAUUGAUUCAGCUUGAAAUAUAACUCAUUGAUUCCCUUCUAUGCGUUUGUAUGCACGCAUGAAUGCUUAGUAUCAGAUAUGCAUCGAUGGCUUGUGAUUCCCUAAUCGAGGUUCGAGAUGUAAUCUCUGUUUGUUGAUGUUGGGCCAGUCUGGAGGACUUGAGGCCAGGUUUUUGCCUACAGUUUGAGCACUGAGGCAUUGAUUGUGUGAGCAUGUACUUGUGGAUUUACAUGUCCGGUAGUGUCCCUAUUAGUGGGAGUGAUGUCCGGGUAGCUAUGUGAUGAGUAUGUUAUGAUUGCGAGAUGUAUUCUUAUGAUCUGGAAGCGACAAGGAGGGUCUGCUAGAUGAUAGAAGAACUAUUAGAUGCUUGAUUUCCAUCUUGGUUUGAGGUAUAGCCCCGAGUUAUGGGUGUGCGAAGAAUAUUUUCAUGUUUUCUAGUUGGGGGAGUGAAGUAGAUUUCACGUUGUAUUAUGAGUUCAGACUUAGGAAGAUCAAGUGACUGCGUAAUGUUUAUGGUGGUGGAAGGGUAUAAAGAGAUGUUAGUUGAGGCGAACCAGGUGGGUUAUCCCCUGUUGAUUGUUCUGAAGUUUGCGUAAUCCUUUAUGUCAUUUAUUGGAAGAUCUCUGUCACCAGGGAAAUAUAUGUGUUGCAAUUUGAAUUUGGGUCGCCUAAGAGAGUGGGUUUAACUAUUACGAGAGUGAAUGCGAGAAUUGUAGAAGAUUUAAAGUGCUAGAUGGUCUGUCUUUCACGAGCUUUUGAAGGAUUGAGUUUAAUCUCAUUAUGGUAUUAUGGAAGCAAUAGAGUAUAUGCGUUAUGAGUUAUUAUGUGUGUUUUGACCUUUGUCUUCGAGCCAAGUAGGUGAGUCUACUAUUGAUUAGUUGAUUGCACGGUCAUGUGCUAUAUUGAUUCCAGUUGAGGCGUACGGGUGAAUCGGUUAUGGCUUAUAGAGGUUGAGACCGAGGAUGGCUCGAGUAAAGGAAAUUUCAAUAAAGGUUAUGUCAUGCUUCAUAGAUGUAUGAGAAUCACGGAAUGUCUUGAGUGGUUAUUGGUAAAGGAUGUGCGGUACAUAGAGCAGGAAGUUCUUUAGUUGCAUUAAGGUGAGGUUGUAUUCUGUGGUGUUGGAGUGCUUAUGAGGCACAGGUUGUUCAGUUCGUUUGAUCAGUCUAAUUGAGGUUUGAGUACAGUGGAUGACUCUCGAUAAUGGUCCUAAUGUGUUCAAGAUUUUACAUGUAAUAAUUGGAAAUUUUCAAGUGUAUAAUUUGGCUAGAAACUGAGGUUUGCAUUGAAGGGUGUCAAGACUUGUGUCAUUUCUAUAUCAAUUAUGGGAUUCUAUAAAUCAAUAUUAGGAAGGCAAUGUUUUCGGAUUCGCAAGAAGUCUUGCCAGGGUAGGUAUUUUGAAUGUGGUGCUUUUGGGAAUAUUAAGGAGAGUAUUCAGCGGCUUAUGAGCCUUAGACGGUGUGGUUUUAUGCUUGGGUCUCGUGUGGUGAGUCUUGAUUGAGGAUUAUGGUAUUAUGGCAAGUAGAAGUAGUAAUUCAAAGGUAAUUUAGAAGGAGCUUUGAUAAAUAGGACAGCUUGGUAGUAAUUCAGAUCAGCAUGGUAAGGGAUACGAUUAGUUCUUUGCGUGUUUAUGAGAUAAUGAGUUUCUACAGCUACUUCAUGGCAAUGCUCUUAGGUUUUGAUGGCUUGCGUAUCUUGGUUGAGGUAAAAGGAUUCAGUCCUGACAGGUUUGGUUUGUGCAAAGGGAACUCGAAGAGUUCUUGAUGAUUUCUACCGUAGAUUGGAGGUGUAUAUUUUCUACUGGCAUGCGGAGAGUGGAAUGUGUAGUUAUUUUAUUUUGAAUGGGAUCACUGGAAAGUUCUUGGCUAGUUGAGUACAUAGUUGCUUGUGGCUCGGAAGGGAUAUGAAGUUCUCAUGGUUGUCUUAGGACGGUAUGGUUCUUGCGGUAUGUUGUGUAAGAUUGAGAUUUGAAUAUGUGAGGUCAUGGACCAGUUCUGAAAGGAUGUUCAUUAAAAUUUUAAGCAGCACAGGAAGCAUCAGAUGAUUUGGGGAAAUGAUAGUACUAAGUGGUGUAGCUUGACAUGGGUAUACAUUUUAGAAAAAAGGGUAAUGUGAUUGAGAUUGAUGAUACUUCAUUAGUAUUGCGGCACUCUCUUAUUGGAUCAAUUGCUGAUAUUCGAGUUUGCUUGGUAGUACAGAAGAAUUAUAGGAGUAUCUCUCAUGGAUGUUUGGGUAUUAGAGGUGUGUUGCAUAUUCAGGUAGAGUUGCGAUCGGAUAUGGUGAUCCGUGUGCUAUCUGGAUUUGGAGACUAGGAGUUUUCAUAGACAGUUUAGGUUGUGGUUGUGAACCGUGUACAUCGGUCUUGUGUGGUAACUAUUGGGAGGUUUGGAGGUCCGAGUGGAUCCUUGUUGCUUGGUAUGUUAGGUUUCGGAUGUGAUAUUGGGUAUAGACUAGUUGUCUUUGUGUCGUGUUAUUGUACACGGUGAAAUCAGAGGACUUAAUUUCUCGUUAUCAAGUCAUUUAGGAAUAAUGCUUCGCGACUCUGAAGACGGGGAGCCAUGACCGAGUCCCCUCCCUCGGGCUCGUCGAGGCACGACUCAAAGAAGAUGGAGAGCAAAGCCAGAACAGAAGGGGGAGCUCCCAAGGCACACGGCUAAGUCUGACAGGGCCGGCCUAUCCAGAGACUACGUCACAUAUCCAUACUUUAUAAUUAAUGCCCAUGUAUAAUAGCCGGGGUCCCCUCCUAUAUAAAGGGAACCCAUAUUACCUUGUAAUGGGUUGAUGUUGCUCUAACUAUUCUCGAUAAAGGCAAUAAUCUCUCUCUCUCUCUCUCUUCUCUCUAACUCGCUCGCUCUCACUGGCUCAGGCCAUUUUGGUAUUCAAUUUUCUGCUACUAGUUCUUCAUUUAUUUCCUGGUAUUGGCCAUAAAGAGCCAUGUUUGAUCAUAACCUGACUAUUACCCCCUUCCCAAAUACCCCCGAUUGAUCGAGAUUGAGCUUAGGUAUCGACCCCGAGGUCCUCCAUCAACCAGUCCGAAGCCAAGGCAGUAAGCCCCUCGGUUUGAUUACUGCCUUAUUUUAGCUUGUAUUUCAUCGUUAAACUUCAUAUUCCUAGCGUAAUUUUUUCUAACAAAUAGCAUAAAAAUAGAUCAUGUCUUUUUAGAAUCUCAUUUACAAAUUUAAUUGUCGUUACCAUUUUCAUGGUAAACAGUUUGGCGCCCACUGUGGGGCUAAAAAUAAAAGUGAUUAUUUUCUUGCUGGUUUCAUUGCACAAACGCAAGUUAUCUUUGAAAGUUUUUCUUGUCCAUGGUCUCUUGAUUUCAGGUCAAAAUGUCUGGCUCGGUAAAUAGAGUCGUGGAGGACAACCUCGAAAACCACGAGAAAAAUGGCAUGGUUGUACCGGCGAAUGGAGUGCCACCACAGAAUCCCAAUAAUGCGCCCGGGCCGAUUCUAGCAGAUAUAGAUUCACAGGACACACAACGAGUCGACGAAACAUCCCACACCGACAAGAGCAUACGGCACAUCGAUCGAUAGAAAGCCUAAAAAUCCCCAGCCCGGGAAGAACAAGAAGUUAGUCUUCAUGUUAUUUUUGAAAUGUUGCAAGCACAACAAUUGGCCAUUGUUCAGUUACAAAGCCAUCCAGAGACUCCCAGUACAGUAGCAUUGAAAACAACUCCCCCCGCCGAACGAGUGCCCGAGAGAUCAAAUAACAACGGAUCGGUAACCGACCCUACCAUAGCAAAGAUGCUUGGGGAUUUCUCCAAAAGGAUCGAGUCAGGUUCGUGGAAGUCGAUGCAACGGUCGUCCCUCGAGGAAGCGGUCCCGGAACGCAUUUCAAAGAAGUUCGGAACACUAGAACUUCCUAAGUACAAUGGGACCUCAGAUCCCGAUGAUCAAAUCACUGCUUGUACGUGUGCAGGAAGAGGCAACGACCCACGAGAUGAUGAAUUUGAGCUCGUCUUAUUGAAGAGGUUCGGGGAAACACUCUCAAAGGGAACCAUGAUGUGGCGUCAUGACUUAGCACCCGACCUCGCAAACUCGCUUACCACACCGGCAAAUUCCUCCAUAGACACAUGCACCGAUGCCAUCGAAGAAGCGACGAGAGAGCCUAACACAUCUAGGGCCGAACAAUGGGAGAGUGAAAUGCCCCAGGAAUUCGCACCUCAUUCCCUGAUAGAACGAAGGAGACUACCCCCAGUUUUGGAUGACUAGGCAACAUAGGCCUUCGCCCAAAGCCUAAACAAACCAAGCCCAACGACUUUGGGGGAGAUCAAACGAAACAUGAUCAGAUACCCAGCCAAGAUCUAGUUGGAUACCCGCACCAGGAAACAACCAUGAAAUAGGGUCGUGGACGAGGGAGGUACCACCCAUAUGCCGAGGAUAGGAGGAACGCCCCUAGAUGCAAUCUACCUAGCACGAUCAGGAAAUGGCCCGAGGGCAAUAUCCUCGAGGAAUCUUAAACAAAGCCAGAUUGGACGAGGCAUGGCCGGAAGGGGCACCUCUCCAAUCAGAGUAUGGUUUCAACAUUGCCAUACCAAAUAUCGUGUUCACCAUAAGCGAAUCUAGGACACCAAAUAGCUCAGACCUAUUCGACCGAAUCUCCCUCAAAGGAACCACAACCUAGCGCGGGAACCGCACAAUGCGAACCACCACGGGGUCAAAAAUGGCAACAAGCUCAGGAGGAAAACAGUCGUGCUACUCAAUAAAAAUCACCAUCGAGUACUAUUGAGCUAUCAGGCUCGAAUUCAGCCCCGAGAGAGGAAGGCAACCAGGAAGAACGAAGCAAAUGAGUCGCGAUGUAUUGCCACAAUAGUGGGGAAGCAGAGACACCCUCAAAGGACUUAUAAAAUGGAAAGUAAAAAGGCUUGUUACCAGCAAAAGACGGCUCUGGGGAUACGUUCUGGAGGACAUUCUUACAUCCAGCAAAAAAGACAUUGAGACUUCUCGCUGGCCUAACAUUGACACAUUGGUAACCUUUUCCCUCAUUUGAUAUAUAUCAAAUAAAAUAUGUUCUCAUGAACUCAUGAAUUCAGGUGGUUCGAUCAAUACAUCAACAUUGUCGGGCCGAGGUUAAUAAGGCAGCUCGGACCGCCGGGUCAAAACACGACCACCUUUUGAAUCUUUAACAGAUUCCUCACGGUGAUCACUACAGCAAGAAGAUAGUCCAUUCUCUCGAUACAGCAUGGUUGGCUCAGAUGGGAAUGCCUAGUCCCAUACCGAUAAAGGAGACGCAAGGCAUGGCCAUCUUAUUCAGACGGCCACAGGCACACUGCACGAAGACAGCGUCGCCCCCACUUUGCCCGAAGGAUGAAAUUCCACGCAAGGGACAGAAUUAAAAUUGUGAGCGGGAAGCAAUACGCGGGAAUAGGAAAUCAUGCAUCGCAUGACACACCACUAGCACCAACACCUCCACUCUCGAAAGAGUCGAAGGGCAAGUGAACCACAUCUUCGGCCAAGCCCGAUUUAACACAGUGGAAGGCCAUACUAGGGCCCACACCCCGAAAGAGCAGGAACAUACCAAACCUCAAAACAUCGCCUGCACAUCCCACGGUAAGGAAGAACUGCUCCACUCCUCUGUUAUUUUUUCACUAACCUGUACACAGAUAAUCGGCCGUGACGUUCGGAAGUUCUAACUCUACCCGAAGAUCCUAAGGCCUUAACAGGACCCACCGCUCUCUUUCCCCUCGGUCGGACAUCCGUCCCGAAGAGGGUUUCACCAGCAAGGUUAUUAGCGGAGCAACAUACCCCCUGAGGAGGAUCCGACUAGAUCACAGGCCUUCUUCUACAGUCAAACGAUGAGCGAUAAUCCUAUUUUGAGGCCGCCAUCCGCUCGGAAGGGACGGGGAAUGGCAUACUAAGUUUCAAUAGGGAAUCAUGUACCGGACCAAAUGGCCCAAGAAGUCGCUCCCGCGCGAGCUGAGCUCACAAUGAUGAAACUAUAUGUAUUUAUGCCAAGCAAUAAAGAAUACCUUUCAACAUCUCAUGCUCUAGAAAGGGAUGUUUCAGCAUACUCUUGGCGGGAAUCCCUCCAUCGAAUGCGCCCCAAAAUACUCGGAGACUUAGCAUCAACAAUUUGGCACCUGCACGACCCUAGGGUCAGAACAUCGGGCUCAUAAGGCCCAAACUAGGAAACUCCAAGCUCACGAAUAACGGCCCUCGAGCCUAAGCAAACUCGAUAACCCGGAGGCUGUCAUCAAUCGCCAUGCAAUGGAAAACUCGAAACUGUAAGACCCUGAGCGGGCAGACUCGGUGUAACCAAAUCUAUUCUAUAUAGCAACAAAAACUGUAAGACCUCAAUAGGUAUGACAAACUAUAAGACCUCAACAGACAUGACAAACUAUAAGACCUCAAUAGGCAUGACAAACUGUAAGGCCUCAACAGGCAUGAUAAAUUGUAAGACCUUACUACAGGCAUAAAACUCAAAAUCCCAAAGUUUAGGCUAUACGUCGCAUUCGUAAGAAUCACAAAAGGGCAUACCCUCGGUGUAGACGCCUAAACUAUCACUCGGGAUAAAAAAUGGCUCUGGCCAAGCAAAUAUGACUACGGUCAAAAUGGCUAAUACAUCCAAAAUAAUGCAACUCGGGGAUGCCAGACCGUCGCUAAACAAAAAUCGCAGGCCAUUACUUCAAAUAUACUUGGAAAAGAACCGGUUAAAACAGGCUUACCUCAAUAGGCAAAAACAAGCUUCGACCAUGUCAACUCCAAAUCACAAGACUUUGAGCUACUCAGCCUAUGAGCUUAGAACCUUCCGAAGGUGCUCGAACAUCGCCGCUAACGUCUUGAAAUCGAGGUUCUUCCGGAACCGACAACGGGUCAGGAAAAAUCAUUUCAAAAAGACCUUAACAAGAGGAAAACAAAGCCUACAAAAAACCCUACGGGCAAAAACGUAAGAGCCAUUGUCGCCAGCCAAACGAACCUUCAGGCUACACACUAAAAAGAUCUCAACGACUAAACAGGGUAAGAUCCACUGUUGCCAGCUCGAAAAUUGAAAACUUGAGGAUUUAAAUGAGCUCGAGUUGUAACCCGACUCGGAGACCGAAUCCAAAAUAGUUAACUACAAUAUGCCUAAGGGAACGACAUAAAUGCCAUUUUUGCCAGCCAAAUGAGCCCCCGGGCCACACACCUAUAAGGUCACUUCGACCCAAAGCACAAAAAGCCAUCGUUGUCUGCCCGUGCAUGCAGGAAAGAACUUACGGAUCAAUUAAAGCUCAAAUCGCAAUGCGACUCGGAGACUGGACCCAAAAUAGUUGAAACAACAAAUGCCCAAGGACAAGAAAUAAGAAUAAUUACUAUCCGCCCACACGGGCACAAAAGAUUGAAGGUCAGGCAAGGUCGGGUCAAGGCCUGACUCGGAGAAUAAGCCUAAACAGCCGGGCAAAGCAUGGAGGCCCCAACGCCUACUCACGUCAAUGAUCGCACUUAAAAGCCUCCAGGACUGCCUGAUUAGUUCGGGAUCUACAAGGCUCCCACCAAACACGGAAAUCAGCCCGCCUGGUCAAAAGCAAUACAGAAAGAGAUGCAAAGAAAUAAAACUUCAAGAUUUCUCUUAUCUUACGUACGCAAAAGGCACACUCUCCAUCUUCAAACAUGCUCUACAAGUAUUAAAUAUAAAGCGAAAAAACAAUGAAAUCUACUCUCUACUCCAAAGGGCUACAGCUUGCCAGAUUCACUCUCUAUGAUGUCAAUAAGAAGUGACAGAGCGUCAAACUCGUCCUCCCUUGCUCGAGCCAAUUCCUCCGAGAGAACGAAGCCCUUUGUGCCGAUCUCCUCGAACACCUCUCUUUAUGAUCUGUAACGAGCAUAUUCCUCAAUCCACUUCUACCGAUCGAGGGCCCGCUUAAGCUCAUAUUGGACAUCAUCAUCGUCCUUCAUAUGAAUUGCCAUCUCCUGAUCAGCCUUGGUUAGGAUUAAUGCCGCUUCAGCCCGGGCAUCGAUUAUCUCAGCCUUGUUCUUCGAGAGAUCAGACUCGAGUUUCCCAAUCAUAUCCGAUUGAAGUAUAGCAUUGUGACGAGCCAAGCGGAGUUGGUCCUCGAAGGUAGGAACCUUGACCAAAGCACCUCUCUCCUCUAAAGCUUGAGCUUGCACCUAGGCCCUUAGCUUACCAUAAGCAUCCUUGACGCGGUCGGUGUCGCCCUUAAGGAACUCCAAGGCCUCCGUCUUUUUUCGGAGCUAAUAUAGGAAAAAGGGGUUAACCUUAAGGGCCAAAAAGAUCAAAGUGUGUACUACGAAAGGUUACCUCCUCUAUCAAAUAGUUCUAGUAAUUCGAGCUCUUGUACGCCUCAUAUCGCCAAUGCAGCAACUCAACCUCCUUCUCCUCGCUAAGGAGCCUAAGGGACUCACCCUCGUCUAGAACGUUCUGAAGCCUGGCUCUUUGAUGGAGCAACUCAAACCUAAGCCUAUCACAGGCCUGCAAAAGGAAUACUCUAUGAAGAAAGGAGGAUGCGGUAUACAGAAGAACUGAGCCUAAUAUCACCAUGAAGUAAAGCCGAUGGGCUUUCUCGAUGUCAAAGCACACUCCUAUUGAUCCUGCCCCUUCAGUCUCAGGAAAACCAACCUCGAGCAAAGAGUAUUCACUCGGGGUAACCGUCGUCCAGGAAUCAAACACUCUAGGAAUGGCAGGCUCGGACGAUGCCCUCUCCUCAAAGACACGGGCACGUUCAGCCCGACUAAAAGCUCUAUUACACUACCGGUACGGAUUACUUUUGUCUCCAUCGUCCCUCAGCUCGGAGACCGACAACUCAUUCCCCUCUCCAGAAGAGCACAUCCUCUCACCCAAGGAGCCGCUCCAUACCUGCAACGGCAAUACCAGUGCAAAAGAAAAAGGAAAGUGUCAUCUCAAAUGUACGAAGACCAAGGUAAAGGCAUCGUAUGUGCAUACCUUGGUAUUUCUCUUUCCAUCUGUUACGGGACACAGCUCUCCACCUACGCUUGUCGCAGGUCUAAUGGGUUACCAACCUCCAAACCCAACCGGGCAGAUCGAGAACUUUGACCGGCGUCCAUGAAGAUGUUGCAAAAGGGGAGAAAAACAGUUACUCAAUAGACUUUCACUAUAAGAAAAACCUGAGAAAGCGCUAGGCAUUCCACUUACGAGUGUAAUUCUAACCCUCGGGAAAUGGCAUAAGCUCCACAAGGACAAUGUCAGUCAUUCGGACCCGAAUGAAUCAACUGAUCCACUCUUGGUCAUCACCUUCUUCAUCAUCAACAACAAAAGGCAUGGACGAAUGACACCGUAGGGUUAGCAAGACUCGGUGAUGAAAGGGUUAAUACAACCUGACAAGGUGACUGAGCAUGAAUUCAAGCCCAAACUCCUCCGCAAAGGAGCUCACCAUCAGCACCACUCGCCAAAACGACGGAUUUAUCUGCACCAAAGUAACCCGAUACUUCAAACAAAAAUCAAGCACGACCAUAUCAAGGGGGCCAAAAGCGAAAGGAUAUAGGUAUACGCUCAGGAAUCCAUCAGUAGAGUCUAUAAUGCUCUCAUCCGGGGAAAGCACAUGCAGCGUUAUCCCCUCGCUCCAUCCGCAGUAUCUUCUUACCAUCUCCAUAUGUUCCUCUUUUAUCAAAGACACAGUCAUUAGAGCGAACUCCUGCGGAUCCUGGGUGCCGGGAGUAGCACCCCCACUGCGUGCUAGGCCGACCCCGAAGUAGUUUCCAUAACUACGGUGGAAUUGAUAGAGUAAAGCAAGAACGUGCAUCAACGCUUGUUGCGCUUGAAGAAAUGAAAAACCCUAUGCCAAGGCGGAAGGGUAGCUAUCUAAAAUAGUUAGGCCUUUUUUAGAAUCCGAAGCCACCCCACAUAACUGCGGGAAACAAUGAUGACUCACCUAUUCGGAGUGAACCCCGUGAAGCCAAUGGUUUCGACACAGAUCGGUGGGGUGAUACCCGACCCCAGAGGCAUCCUUCAAUGAGAAGCCAAGCCUUGAGAAGUUGACCGUAUUGUCUCCAGUUUCGAGGCAGCAUCCAACCUAGAGGAUCUCUACCAAAAAAGAAGUCAGGCUUCGGGAAGCUUUCAAUGCCAUCACUCGACUCAAGGCGAUACCUGAUCUCAUGGUUUCCUUUUCUAAAAGGAAAAAUAAGCACGUGAAGUUGCGAUCAUGAAGGCUCAAGGCAGCGACCAAGUAUAGGCAGCCCCUCAACAGAAGUCUAUCCCCUACACAUUAAAAAACCAUCUACAUCAAGUUCGAAAGGCACCCCCAGGUACCCAAAGCUGACCUUCACUCAGGUUACCGUUCUAGAAAGCUCGAAACUCAGUAUACUAUCUUCAUGCAACUUGGAGGGCUCAACAGCCCGAACCUAUCGGACUAGUUCGGACCUGGUCUAAGGUACAAUAAUGGGCUCGAAAAAGAGCCAUGUCAAUCAACAAAGGGUCAGAAAGAACGCUCACAUCCGAGUAAGAUAUUAGCGGUCAACAACAAAGGAAAACAUUCAAAGGCCUCGAAGGGCACAAGAGAAUGCAAUAAUAAAGCAAGAAUCGAAAAUAGAAGUCAAGGAAGUAUGUUCAUAUUUAUAAAAAUCCAUGUACAACAGCCCUCGAGGGGUCUUUACAUACAAUUACAAAAGCCUAUAGAGGAUAUCUACACCAAAAGCAGAGGAAUGGAAGGACGUACAUGUGAUGAAAUCUGAGAGCCCGAUCCAUCCUUAUAAAUCCAUCUUCGAUAUCAGCAUCCUUGAGUGCCGCCCCUCGAGUACGCAUCCUCGAGGGUGAUUCCUUUGACCGCCGCCUCCUCUAGGUUCCUAGCUCAAUCCCCCGAGGGAUUCCUGCUGGAAAAGAUGAAGAAGAGGAAAAGGAGGUGAUGCAUAGGAGGAAAAUAAAAGAGACAUGGGCCGCCAAAGCCAAAGGUUGGAAAUUUGGCAGGCCCUGGCCUCAAUGGCCGGUAGUACCAUUUUAUCCCUUGAGAAAGGAAAAACCCAAAGGAUGAAGUGCCACACCAAGACUAGGUAGGGGAGUGAGUAGUGGUGCAUAGUCCGAAUAACUGUCUACAAAAAUGGAGAGCUGACUCCCCAUUCAUCAUCAUCUCGGGCCGACAACAACAGCAACAAUGGAUGUAGCAGCAACCAUAGCAACAGCAGGACGACAUUGUUAUGAUCGACAAAGAGAAGCCCCGGCAAGAGUCCACGACACAAUCUAUAGAAGCUCCGCCGAAUGGCCUUGAGGCCAUGAGCCCUGUGCAUGAUGUUCAAGGAUAGAAGAAAAUGAUAAAAAGAAAUGGGUAAAUGAGCCAACAGAGGUAUUGGGAUAGGAAAAACAAUACCAAGGCACUCCCAUUUAUAUGGGGAAAUGACACUGUCAUAACGGCUUUGGAAGAUUUACCGGCGGAUGCAGUUACUGCAUUCUUGAAAAACCGAACCGAAGGCAGUAUAUUCACCUUGGAAAAUGUGAAUUGGCAGUGCAUUGAAUGAAGUCGAAACGCACAAGUCCAUGGGACGCCCCGGUCGCCACAAAAGCUCGUGAAUCAGGUUGCAUCAUUAGUAUGAAGUUUUCGCAUGAAGCUCGAGGAAUCAAGUGUCAGAAUCAUUUCUCAUCGCUUCGUUCUGGGAAACACAAAGACUAUUUACAUGCGGUGAAAUCAAAGGACUUAAUUUCUCGCGCGCUAUCAAGUCAUUUCCGAAGAAUGCUUCGAGACCCCGAGGACGGGGAGCCCCGACCAAGUCCCCUCCCUCGGGGCUUGUCAAGGCCCGACUCAAAGAAGAUGGAGAUUGAAGCCAGAACAUAUGGGGAACUUCCCAAGGCACACAACUAAGUCUGACAGGGCCGGCCUAUCCAGAGCCUACGCCUAAGCAUCGCAUCUAGCCGUCAUAUCUCCAUACUUUAUAAUUAAUGCCCAGGUACUAUAACCGGGUUCCCCUCAUAUAUAAAGUGAACCCAUACUACCUUGUAAUGAGUUGAUGUUGCUCCAACUAUUCUCCACAAGUGCAAUAAUAUCCCUCUCUCUUCUCUUUAACUUGGUCGCCCUCACUAGCUCGAGGCCACUUUGGCAUUCAAUUUUCUCCUACUUGUUCUUCAUUUAUUACUUGGUAUUGGCUAUAAAGAUCCUUGUUUUAUCAUAACCUAAUUGUUACCCAUUUCCCGAUUACCCCCAAUAGCUCGAGAUCGAGCUCAGGUAUCGACCUUGAGGUCCUCCGUCGACUAGUCUGAAGACAGGGCAGUAAGCCCCUCAGUUUGAUUACUGCCUCAUUUUAGCUUGCAUUUCAUCGUUAAAAUUCAUAUUCCUAGCAUCAUUUGCUCUAAUAACUAUCAUAAAAAUAGAUCACAUAUUUUAGAAUCCCAUUUACAAAUUUAAUUGUCAUUACAAUUUUCACGAUAAAUAGUUAUUCUGGACUAUUGCACAAAAACGGCGAUGUUGGCUAUGCUUGGAAUGCCAUGAAUUGAGUGGCGAGGUUCGACAGAUUAUGUUUUUAGCAGGGUGGUUUAAUGUUUUGACGACCCAACGGAUGGCUGGGAAGGAUUGUCUUUCUUAUUUGGGCUUUUGUGAUGGAUGUUAGUGUGCAGACUUCUACCAUUGAUUCAGUUCUAGUGAUGAAGGACUUUUCUAGAUGUGUUUCCUAUUGUCAGGCAUGUCGCCGAACAUGGGUAUUGAUUUUGGUAUUGAUUUGGUGUUGGGCACUGUAUCGUAGGGCACCGGCGGAGUUAUAGGAGUUGAAGGAGCAGCUUCAGGAAAUCCUUGAUAAGGGUUUCAUUGGUAGACCUAUAUGGAUUUGUAUUCUGCAUCGAGACGACCUUCUUGACUUAGAGUUGCUAUUUGUGAGGGAUGUGUUGUUCUGGUUGUUGUUGAGCUAUUAGUGUUCUAAGUUGAUUUAUGAGUUACUUGUUUGUAUUGCGAGGCAUUAUCGUUUGUUAGAUAUAGGCACAUAUGGUGCGGUUCUAUUGGGGUUUCACAGUGGAAGUUAAGCGGGAAGAGUAUUUGGGUAUUUCUCGGUGAAUGGCAUAUCGGUUAUGUCUCUUUCGGGUUGUGUAGUGUUCUGUUAUUUGCUCCACCGUGGUUAUGAUGAUUUGCCUUGGUUCUAGACAUCAUAUUGUGCACGAUUAUCGAUUUUGAGCAUAGUGGCUUGAGGUAUUUCAUGUGGACCAGUGUUUGGAUGAGGUCACGCAUUAAAGCGAAGCCAUGUGGAGGUAUGAUCCUGCAGGUUAGAUUCGUGUAUUCUAUUUCUAUGAUGUGUGAUGGGUUCUCAGCAUUGUGUGUGGUGGUAUGUUCGCAUUGUUGCUUAUUGGUGCGCAGAUUGCACAAGUCAUGGCUUUAGUCUGUAUUGAUAUGUCAUGUCACCAGAGUAGUUGUGUUGGAUUAGAUGAGAUCAUUGAGAUCUUGAAUGAAUACAAACGGAUUCGAUUUCAGGAUGUUGGAAGGAUAAUAUGGAGGUUCGCCUCAGAAAUUUGCUAUGGUCUUUUCCAAAGGAGAAGUGGCUUCAUGAAUGGUUGAUUUGAGAAAUGGUUAUGGCUUACGGUGUGUUUCAUUUAUCAUUGGUUGUAUAUGAAAGUGUUGGAAUGAGAAUUUAGUUGAUAAGAGGUUUUUUAUCGAUAUUCGGUUGUUGUGUGCAACUUCUGUGAUUAGAAGUUAUCGCUACAAGUGUUGGAGUUAUGUGGUAUAUAAUGUAAUUGCACCUACGACUGCAGGUAUGGGUUAUUACAGCUUGUUCGGGCUUAUUCAGAGUAUAAAUGCGAGAUUCUGAUUUGGUGGAUGAUUUCGGAAAUGGAAAUGUGGUUCUAAGGUUUAUGGGCUAGAUUGGAUUGUGAAAUUUUAGUUACAUUGUGUUAUCGGACCUAUAUGAGAUAGGGUGAUAUGGGAUCACCCCCGGGUAUGUGCAUGGUAAGGUUACACAGCAAUUUGAUGGCUUUCGCACCAACUCUGGGCAUGUUCGAGGACGAACAUAUGUUUAAGUGAGGGAGAAUGUAAUGGCCCGAUUGGUCGUUUUGAGAUUUUGCAGUUCGCUCGCCAAUUCUCGGGCAUGACUAGCCCCGUGUGAUGUAUUAUUACUUAUGAGAAUCGUUGGUUUUUGGUUUUUUAGGGUAAACGGAAUGAAUUUGGAAGAACAGUCCUUAGUUUGAAGUUUAAAAACUAAAAGGUUUGACAAAGAUUUGACUUGUUGCUAUAUAAUCUCGAAUCAGAAUUUUUAUGAUUUGGUUAGCUCUGUUAGGUGAUUUGGGACUUAGGAGUGUGAUCUGAAUGUGUUUUGGAGGUCCGUGUAGGGUUUAGGCUUGAAUUGGCGAUUGGGAUUCUAGCGUUUUCCGGUUGAUAGGUGAGAUUUUGACAUAGUAGUCGAAAUGGAAUUUUAGAAGUUGUAGUAUGUCCGUUGUGUCAUUUAGGAUGUGUGUGCAAAAUUUCAAGUCAUUCGGACGUGGUUUAGUAUACUUUUUGACCAAAAGCGUAAUUCAAAAUAUUGUUUUGAAACUUAGGCUUGAAUCAGAUGUGUUUGGGUUGAUUCGAUGUUGUUUGAGGUGUUUUGAAGAUUGGUAUAAGUUUAGAAGGUGGUAUAUGAUGUGUUUGUGCUUUUGGUUGAGGUCCUGGGGAUCUCUGGGUGAUUUUGGAUGGCUGACGGAAAGAAUGGAAAUUGAAAAUGGCGGCUGAAGUGUUGAGGCUGUUGUUAUAACCGCAUCUGCAGUUGGGAGGCCGCAGGUGUGACCCCCGCAGAUGCGGAAAGGAAUCGCAAAAGAGGAAAUAGGCUAGGAAGGCAGGAACUGCAAAAGCAAUUGAGUAACCGCACCUGCGAUGGUGCAGGUGCAGAAUGUGUAUCGCAGAUGCGGAAGCUGAGGAAUAAGUGAGGACCGCAAAAGCGACGUCUUGGGCCACAGAAGCAGGAUCGCAUAAGCGGGAAAAGGACAUCAGGUGCGAAAAUGCCUGGGUUAGAAAGUAUAAAAGGUUCCCUUCGCGAUUUUGAGUGGGUUUUCACCAUAUUUAAUUCGGGAGAAGGCUUUGGAGAGCUAAUUGAAGAUGAAACCAAAGGAUAAUUCGUGGAGGUAAGUUUUUUGACUUCAUAACUCGUUUAUAUGUGAUUAAAGGCCUAAUUAUUGGUGAAAUUUUGGGAAAAAUCAGUGCAAAAUGGGUAAUUAGGGCUUGAGAUUACGAGAUCUUUGAGCGGGGAUUUGAGGGGCCAUUUGAGGUCCGAUUUUGAAGUUCUUGAUAUGUAUAGACUCGUGGGAGGAUAAGGAUUCUAUUGAUGUAAAUUUUUGUAGGGUUCCGAGGCAUGGGCCUAGCGGCCGGGUUUUUGUAUAAAUUAGAUAUUUUCGGAUGGGCUUCGUUCCCCUAGCAUAUAUUGAUGGUAUGAAUCUGCUUUUGGCUAGAUUUAGACCAUUCGGAGGCCGAGUCGAGAGGCAAAGACAUCGCAGGCUAGAGUUUGGACCGGAUUGAGGUGAGUAAUGAUUGCACUUCGUUGUGCUAUAUUGAGGUGACACACGCUAGAUGACAAGUGUGGGGUCGUGCACUGUUGGGGAUAGUGACUUAGUCUAUCCUGAAUGACUAUUUUACCGUGUAUUUUGAUUGAAAAUUAUUUUUUAUCAUCAUGUUUUGGCGGAAUGCCAUAUUUGGGCCUCGUGCCAACUAUUUGGACAUAUAGGGGACUUUUAUUGAUAUUUCCUCACUGUUUUGACAUUAUACUUGUACUCAGUCAUGCUAUAUUCGACUGUUUUCAUAUUAACCAUGUUUACUCUAUUUUAACACAUUAAAUGAUAUUUUAAAUGAUACUUAGGCUAAGUAUCAUGUUUUACUGUUUUCCCGAGUGGCUUAUGAGAUUCUGACUAAGUAAGGUUGAUGGCCUGUGUUAUGAGGAUACUUUUAGGUCGGGCUGGACGCCAUAGCGGUGAUACACUGAUUUAUGAUUAUGAGGCCGAGGGCUUGAGAUUGUGCGCCACGAGGUGGCUUAUUGAUAUGAGGCCGAGAGCCUAUGUGAUUAUGCUAUGAGAUGGCUUGAUAUUGCGCUUAGGCCGUAAGGGGCACCUCUAGGAGUUUGCACACCCUAGUGAGCGUGGGUACCCAUUGUGAUAUGAUAUAUAGCCUGAGGGGCUAGUAUUGUUCCAUGUGUUUGCCCGAGGGACUGAUUCUGUUGAUAUUGUGCAUGAGGGGCGGUUCUUUAUGUGUUUAUCUUUUCUAGUUGCCUUUAAUUUACUUGCUUAACCGAUAAAAAUGCAUUUUAAAGAAGCUUAAAUUGAACUAAGGUGACGUUACAUGUUUUCAAAGUUCCAUUGUUUUUACUGGCUUUAUACUGCAUCUUUAUAGCCUGUUGAUGUUCCUUACGUGUUUGACAAGAGGGGUUGCUCUGAUGGUAAGCAACCCCCACUUCCAACCGAGAGGUUAUGAGUUCGAGUCUCCCCAAGAGCAAGGUGGGAAGAUCUUGGAGGGAAGGAUGUCGGGGGUCUAUUUGGAAACAGUCUCUCUACCCUAGGGUAGGGGUAAGGUCUGCGUACACACUACCCUCCCCAGACCCCACUAAGUGGGAUUAUACUGGGUUGUUGUUGUUGUUGUUGUUGAUGUUCCUUACGUGUCUUCUUAUUGCUCAGUCUUCAUUUAUUAUUAUUACUCACUGAGUCAGAGUACUCACAUUACUCCCUGUACCUUGUGUGCAUAUUCAGGUAUUUCUGAGUCCAGUAGCAGGUAUUGUUUGCUCAGAGGCAGAGUCAUCGUAGUCUAGCAAGGUAGCUGUCCGACAUUCGCAGCACUGCUUUUCUCCCUCUUUAUUUCAUUAGAUUGUAUUUAGACCUUAGUAGAUGCUCGUGACUUUUGACACCCCAAAGUCGGGCUGUGUUGGUUUUAUUUCCGCAAAUUAUACAGUUUCACUGCAUAGUUGAGAUUUAAUCAUGUUAAAGACUUAGAUUGUGUAAUUUAAAUUAUUAAAAAGGAAUUGGGUGUUGUGUCGGCUGGCCUUAUCUUCACGAGAGGCGCCAUCACGAUCGGGUGCGGGUGUGGGGUCGUGACAACCAUGAAACAAGGAAUCGAGAAUCAACUAAAGAGAAAGUCAUGAGUAAGUGUUUAGCAUAUAAAUAAAGUAAGAUAAGAAUAACAAGGCAUAGCAAGUAAAGAGGCAAGUCUUGAACAGUCAAGACGAGCACAAGCACAUAGAGCUAAUGUAAGUUAGGCUAAAGAACUCAGUAGAAACAUAUUUGAGGCAAGAUAAUCACAAUAACUCAAACGAGAACCAGCCAGUUAAAAAAUCAAACGAAGAAACCUAGAAAAUUAGGGCUUUCAACAUAGACAAGUUAAAGGUGUAGUAAAAUCAUAGAAUAAACCAAAAUAUGCAAGAAAUAGAAGUUUAAACACAAAGAAUCAGUAAAACAAGGUUUUAAAAGAAACUCUGAAACCCUAAUUUUUAGAAGAAGCUCAAAAACACUUGAAAUCAACAAUUCUUAUAUAGAGUUCAAAGGACAGUGUAAAACAUCAUUGAAACAAACUCAAAUGGUCCUAGAUCUGUACAGAUCUAGGAGAUAUAGGAAGAAAUUAGGAUUUCAAAAGAAACCCAUAUAGGGAAGAAAGAACCUGUCUAGAAUCCCAAAGAUCAUAACAGAUACAACAUGAUUUUGCUCGAAAUCACACUGGAGCAGCCAAGAACAGACAAGUGACGAACCCUAGAUGCAAGGUGGCAUGGCCCUAGGCCCUUGAAGACCUUAGAGAAGGCAGGCACGACAUGAGAGAAGCCAUUGGAGGCUUAGUAGACGAUGAGAGGUCACCGGAGAUGAGAGGUCGGUGGUUGAAGGGCUAGGGUAUGGUUGAUCGUUACUAAGAGAGGAGAGGAUCGUAGGGCGGCGGAUUCUAGGAAAUGAUUAGGGUUGGGGUGAUUUAUAAUUGGUUCUGGGUCGGGCAGGUGUGUUUUAGGGUUUGGGUCGGGUAAUUCAAUUAGAAAUUGGGCUGGGGUUAGGUUAAAAUUGAGGCUAAAACUGAAAUGCAACCUGACUAUGUUUUAAAUAGCCAAUUUAAUCCCAUAUAAUUUAUAAUGAAUAGUAAAUAAUUUCUACAAAAUAAUUUCAUGAACUAAAAUGAUUUAAAAUAUAUAUUUAAUAUUUAAAAAUAUAGAAGACCAAUUUUAUGCAUAUAAAUGUAAUUAUACAUUAAUAAGGCUAAUAUUGCAAUUAUAUGCAAAUUAACAUUAAAAUGCAAUUAUAAAAAUUCACUAAUAAUAUUUUAACAAUAUUUAAUUAUUAAUAUAGAAUUUAGAUGACUAAAUUAUCACAACAAUAAUUUAAGGGAUAAUUAUUGGCGAUUUUAUGAGUAAAAAUGGAGGAAAUAAAUCAAUUUAAAAUCUUUAAAAUUAUAGGAAAAUUAUAAAAACUCUGUGCAUGCUUAUAUAUGAAUAUAUAUGCUUUUUUGAAAUUAUUUAUGCAUAUUAAAAAUAUAUAGGGAAAACUGGGUAUCAACAGCUGCCCCUCUUUACUCGGGAAGGAAGAAAGAGUUUUCGGGUAAAGAAAUAAUGGCCAAUUUUGAUCGGACUGGAUUCUUUGAAAGAUAAGGGUUGGACUCCGGUCUUUGAACUGCCUACAUAUCUCUAGUUUUAUACGAAUCAGGCCAUGUGUAGUUCUGGAUUCAUCUGCAAAAUAUGCCGAUGAAAUUAUUGCAAGAACGGACAUGCGACGCCGAAGCGGCUAUGGUGAGCGGUUAAAGCUCGGGAUAGUUGAAGGAACUAGAGAAAGAUCGCUCCUACUAGGAUAGCGGUUGCUUGCUGGUUACCUGCAGAUAAAAGAUGCUACAAACAUGUAUUUGUGAAAAAUUUAAACAUGAUGCAAAUUUCCUUUGGACCAUGAAGGUUGUUUUCGGACGGUUAAAGAUGAUGUCCUCACACUAUGACAUCCUGGGCCAUGAAUUAUUUAGUGAGGAAUUCUCAUGCCAUGAACUGAUGUUCUCGGGCCAUGAAGAUGGUGCCUCCGAACCAUGACGCCUUUGAAUAAUGAUAUGCAGAUUUGAGAGAUCCUCAGGCCAUGACAUGGUGUCUUCCGGCUAUGAGGAUGAUGCCUUUAGACUAUGACGCCUUUGGAUAGAUUGGCGAUAUUUCCGCCCAUGAUAUGUAAUAGUCAUGAUGUUAUCAAAACAAUGCUUAGUCUUGUGAAUUGGAGGGCAAAGCUUAGCCCAAUUGUCAAGCGAAUAAAGAGUGCUUAGAAAUAAAGAAAUAUUUGUGCAAAGAGGGACAUUGCUUAGCCCCAUGCAAAUAGGGAGGCCAGGCUUAGCCUCAAUGCAAGUAUGGAGUCAAGGAGUAGACUCAUACAAAUGUGGAGGCAGGGAUUAGCCUCAUGCUAAUAGGGAGGCAGGGACUAGCCUCAUGCAAGUGUGAAGGCAAGGAUUAGCCUCAUUCAAAUGGGGAGGCAAGGAUUAGCCUCAUGCAAAUAUGGGGGACAUGAAUUAGUCCCAUGCAUAUGGGGAGGCAAGGAUUGGCCUCAUGCAAAUAUAGAGGCAGGGAUUAGCCUUAUGGAGUCAAGGAUUAGACUCAUGCAAUUGUAGAGGCAAGGAUUAGCCUCAUAUAGAUGGGGAGGCAAGGAUUAGCCUCAUGCAAAUAGGGAGGUAGGAAUUAGCCUCAUGCAAAUGGGGAGGCAAGGAUUAGCCUCAUGCAAAUAUGGGGGACAGGGAUUAGUCCCAUGCAAAGAGCGAGCAACAAAUAAGAGUAUUGUAUGUCUUAGCUAGAGAUGUAUCCGACGUCUGAUGUCCUGAUUGAUAGUGAAUGCUAUCGUUACGUCAAAUGUACAUGCGUUCAAAGAAAAAUUAUAAGUUUUGUGAGGGGAGGUUGGUUUGUGCUUCGUCCACCGGCCUUGCUUUGCUCCGUUCUGAAAGCCUUCCAAGUUCCCCUGGGUGACACCUGACUGUUAGGGAAAUAGAGUUUUCUAAAAUAUGCAACUAUUGAUAAAACAUAUAGUUGAUUUAGAAACGUAUUAAUAUAUCAAGUAAUUUUGAUGAACUAGUGACUGGGACACAUCUCAAAGGCAUUUCACAUCUCUCAUAUUGGAAUUUUGAGGGUCCUCCUAAAAUUCUGCCCCGGUUUCCUUAACUGAUUGUUGACCGUCUGACACCUGUUUAUGUUGGCUGGAAUUGCUUCGGAAUUUGAGGACUCUCCUUAAAAUUCUGCCCUAGUUUCUGAUCUUUGGGAAAAUGAAAAUUGUAUUAUGAUAUGCUCGAACCCAUAUGGCUGCCUUACGUAUCCCCUCUUAAACGGAAAUCAGGUCAAGCGUAGUUCAAUUACAUCAGAUGAGGAAAUGUACAUGAUCUAAGCAUAGUAUCUCUUAAAUGCAUCUGAAUUGAUUGGUUUUGGCCAUAUUUCUCCAUCCAUUUAUGCAAGUAUGAGUGCUCCUCCUGUUAGCACCCUAUGGACCAUGUAUGGACCCUUCCAGUUGGGAGAAAAUUUCCCUUUGGCUUCAUCUUGAUGCGGGGAGAUUUUCUUCAAUACCAGCUGCCCUGGUGCAAAUUGUCUUGGUUUGAACCUUUUGUUGAAAGCUCUAGACAUUCUGUUUUGAAAAAGUUGGUUGUGACAUACUACGUUUAUCCUUAUUAAAUUGAUAAUGGCCAACUAUUCAUAGUGACUCCUUAUCCAUUAUGCAUCGUUGAGUUCAACUUCAUAUAUGAUUCUUAAAGAAGGAAUCUCCACCUCGGCAGGGAUGACAGCCUUAGAACCCUAAACCAACAUGUAGGGAGUUGCCCCGGUUGAUGUGCGAACCGCGGUGUGGCACCCCAAUAGGACAAAGGGUAACUUCUCAUGCCAUUGUUUGUGGUUCUCUACCAUUUUCCUUAGUAUCUUCUUGAUAUUUUUGUUGGCGGCUUCUACGGCUUCAUUCAUUUGAGGUCUGUAGGCUAUGGAAUUCUUGUGCUUGAUUUUGAAAGCUUCACACAUAGCUUUAAUUAGAUCACUGUUCAGAUUGGUGGCAUUGUCAGUAAUAAUGAACUUGGGAACUCCGAAUUGGUAGACAAUACAAUCCUUGACAAAAUAUGCGACGACUUUCUUGGUUACAGCUUUGUAAGAUGUAGCUUCUACCAAUUUUGUGAAAUAAUCAAUGGCUACCAGAAUAAACUUGUGUCCAUUUGAAGCAGUGGGCUAAAUUGGACCAAUAACAUCAAUUCCCCAGGAGGCGAACGACCAAGGUGAACUUGUUGCAUUGAGCUCGUUCGGCGACUUUUUUAUCAUAUCGGCAUGCACUUGACAUUGAAAGCAUUUGCGGACAUACUAAAUGCAAUCCGUCUCCAUAUUCAUCCAAAAGUAACCUGCCAUGAGUAUCUUCUUAGCCAAGACGAAAUCAUUCAUGUGUUGACCACAGGUCCUAGCACGCACAUCCUCAAGUACCUUAGAAGUUUCCUUUGCGUCAACACAUCAUAGUAAACCCAAAUCAGGAGUUCUUCUGUACAUGUUCCCUCCGCUGUGAAAAAGUGAUUUGAAAAUCUCCGGAGCGUGCGUUUUUUAGUGUGAUUUGCAUGCUCCGGGUAUUCUCCUUUUGAUAAGUAUUCUUCGAUGUCAUGGAACCAAGGCUUUCCAUCUGCUUCUUCCUCGACAUGAGCACAAUAUGCCGACUGAUUAUGGAUUCUCACUGGAAUGGGAUCAAUGUAGUUCUUAUCCGGAUGUUGUAUCAUGGAUGACAAAGUGGCCAAUGCAUCGGCAAACUCAUUCUGAAUUCUGGGCACAUGUCAAAAUUCUAUCUUUGUAACCCUCUUUAUCAAUUCUUGCACAUGGUGCAGAUAUGGCAAUAUCUUGGAAUUCUUGGUGGCCCACUCUCCUUGUACCUAGUGCACAAGCAAAUCUGAAUCACUGAUCACCAACAACUCCUGAACGUUCAUGUCGACUGCCAUGUUGAGCCCUAGUAUGCAGGCUUCAUAUUCCGCCAUGUUGUUGGUGCAGGGAAAUCUGAGUUUAGCAUAUACUGGAUAAUGCUGACCCGUUUCUGAUACCAAAACUCCUCCAAUGCCCACUUCUUUAAAAUUUGCGGCUCCAUCAAAGAACAUCCUCCAACCAUCAUAUGUUUCGGUAAUGUCCUCUCAUGCGAAUCAUACUUCUUCAUCAGAAAAAUACAUUUUCAAUAGUUUGUAUUCUCCUCCCACCGAAUUUUCUACAAGGUGAUCUGCUAAUGCUUGUCCUUUGACUGCCUUUUGAGUUACGUAGACAAUAUCGAACUCACUUAAUAGUAUCUACCAUUUAGCCAACUUCCCAGUAGGCAUGGGUUUCUAAAAUAUGUACUUCAGAGGAUCCAUCCUGGAUAUGAGGUAUGUAGUGUAGGCACAGAAGUAAUGCCUCAAUUUAUGAGUUGUCCAAGUCAAAGCACAGCAAGUGCAUUCAAGCAGAGAGUAAUGUGCUUCGUAAGGUGUGAACUUCUUGCCCAAGUAGUAUAUGGCCUGCUCCUUCCUUCCUGUCUCGUCAUGUUGUCCCAAAACACAUUUGAAGGCUCCAUCUAAUACAGAUAGAUACAACAAGGAAAGGAAAUGCAUAUCACUAGCAGAAUGACAGUGACAUAUUUGCAGGAUCACAGUGUUUAUCAUGCCAAUCACCGGCUAGUUUCUACGCAUCAUUGGUUUAAACUUUUUAGUUCACACUUUGUGAUACCAAGGUUGAGCUCUAUGCCUAGCGUUGGUAAUAGGAUGGAUGUAAUUAUCAAAUUUUAUUGGUUUCAUAUUGUUAGACCUCCUGCCAAUGUAUUUUGUUUGAUUUUCUUAAUUUAAAUAAAAACUAACCCCUAGGCAUUACGCCUAGUGGAUUGCUAAAAAAAAUAUAGAUAGAUAGAGUACCAAAGGUCGUCCUGGUUCUGGUGGGACCAUAAUUGGCAGUGUGGACAGGUACUCCUUGAUCUUAUCAAAAGCUUUCUGACAAUCCUCUGUCCAGCUUGUUUCGACAUCCUUCCUUAGCAUCUUGAAAAUGGGUUCACAUAUGACUGUAGACUGUGAUAUGAAGCGACUGAUGUAUGUGAGACGUCCUAGGAAGCUAAUCACAUCCUUUUUUCUCUUAGGUGGUGGUAACUCAUGAAUAGUUUUGACUUUAGAUGGAUCCAUCUUGAUCCCUCGAUGACUGAUAAUGAAUCCGAAUAAUGUUAUGGUAGGAACCCCGAAUGCACAUUUUGCGGGAUUUAGUUUCAAGUUGUACCUCCUUAGCCUGUCAAAGAACUUCCUCAAGUCUGUUAUGUGAUCUACGGCCCUCUUGGAUUUGAUAAUGACAUCGUUCACAUACACCUCUAUUUCUUUGUGUAUCAUAUCAUGGAAGGUGGUUGUCAUGGCUCGCAUGUAAGUGGCCUCAGCAUUCUUUAUACCGAAUGGCAUCAUCUUUUAACAAUAUACACCCCAUGGUGUAAUAAAAGUUGUCUUCUCUACAUCUUCUUCAUCCAUCCAAAUCUGGUGAUAACCCGUGAAGCAAUCUACAAAGCAUUAGAGUUCAUUCUUGGCACAUUUAUCGAUCAGGAUGUGUAUAUUUGGCAGCGGGAAGUCGUCCUUGGGACUUGCUCUGUUUAGAUCCCGAUAGUCAACACAUACUCUAACCUUCCCAUCCUUCUUCGGAACUGACACAAUGUUAGCUAACCAGGUUGGAUAUUCAACCACCCUGAGAACUUUGGCUUUGAUCUGCUUGGUAACUUCCUCCAUGAUUUUCAGGCUCAUGUCUGGUUUGAACUUUCUGAGUUUCUGUUUUACUGGAGGGAACAUGGGAUUAGUAGGCAACUUGUGAGCCACUAUGGAAGUGCUCAAACCGUUCAUGUCAUCAUAUGACCAUGCGAAAAUGUCCUCAUAUUUUUUUAGGAAACGAAUGUACUCUUCCUUCUCUAGUGGUGACAAGUGAAUGCUGAUGUGGGUCUCCUUGACGGUCUCGGCAUCUCCCAAAUUUACUGCUUCGUUCUCAUCCAGAUUGGACUUAGGCUUAUUCAAAAAACUUUCAACCUCCAUGAUGAUUUACUCGGGUAUCUCAUCUUGUUCCUCCAAAUCACUAUUCUCAUGCUGUGUUGCCUCAUUACAUGUGACAGUUACUGGUUCAUCAAAAAAAAGUAAUAAUAAUGUUGUAGAAAAGAACUGUAAAGAUAGUACUGAAUAAUAAAGAGCAAAUGUAUUUGAUUAAAACUUGAAAAAUUGUCCAGACAAAGUAUGGCUAGAUGACUCGAAAAUUCAUUUUGAAAUAAUUAAAACGUAAAAAAAAUGGGAAAUCUUAAAUGCCUAGAAUGGCAUAUAGAAGUACAUUCGCCCAAGCUACCCAGGGACUCGGUGGUCUAGGGAUGGUAUGGCUGUCCAGUUACUGUGAAUAGCUCCCUUCUGCACGGUCUGAAUAGUGAGGCCUUAUUCCGCCUCCUCCUCAAUUAUGGCACUGCAGUACAUGUCUCCAUCUUCCAAGAACAAAUUCUUCAACCCAGCUUGUGCUUCCUCUUCUGCAGUCCCCCAUAUCGUAUUAGCUUGGUGAAAAUCUUGUUCCAAAAGUGGCACUGGCUGCUCAAGAGGGUAAUAAUGUCCACGCUAUGGAGGAGACCAAUUCUUGUACUCUUUCCAUGUGUACUGUUAUCCGAGCCCAAAGGUGGUACCAUGAUUCUUUAGCUGUAUCGGUUUAGUGAUACCUUGAAGGUUCUUCCCAAUCCUUUGUCGGGUUCAUAUCCAGACCAAACUAGUAUGCUUUCUAUUUUACCAUUCCACCAUUUAUCCUUUUCGACUGCAUUGACCAGUUCAAUGUAAUGAUAGGUCUCCCCUCUUAGCCUUCUUCUCUGUCCAAUAGCCGGGAUGGUUUUACUAGUUUAAAUGGGGUUACUUCCAUCUCCAUGAAUGAUCACCUCCUAACAAUUCCAUUCGAACUUCAAUCUUGAUGUAGCGUAGAGGGCACGACUCUUACAGCAUGGAUCCAUGGUCGGCCCAAUAGAAGAUUACAUGAUGCUAGUAUGUUGAGUACCUGAAAUUCGACGUCGAACCAAGUUGGCCCCAUCUGUAAGCAAAUGUUGAUUUCCCCGAUUGUGGCCCUGUGGGACCCAUCGAAAGCUUUCACGUUCAUGCUUCAUAUCCGUAUUUCAUGGAAACCUUUAUCCAUCCUUUUUCAGAGUGUCCAACGGACAAAUAUUGAGGCUUCAACCUCCGUCAAUCAAGACCCAGGCGAUGAAUUUAUCUUCAAAUUGUACUGUAAUAUGCAAUGCUCGGUUGAGAUUCAAUCUCUCGGGCGGUAACUCAUCUUUGUGGAAGAUAAUCUUAUGACUUUUAAAUACUUGCCCUACCAUAUUGGUUGUUUCUCCACCAAUGGUGUUAUUAGGUACAUAAGCUUCGCUCAGAACUUUUAUUAAAGCGUUCUUAUGCGCCUCUUAAUUAUGCAACAAUGAUAGGAUAAAUGUCUGAGCGGUGGUUUUGUUCGGAUGGUCAAUGACGGAAUACUCCUUUGCUUGUACUUUCCUUCACAGGUCAUCUGGCCCUGUCUCAAUGACGGGCUAUCUGGUAGUGGCAUCCUUUCUUGAUCCUCCCAACUGUUCAGGUGUAUAGACUCUUCUGGUUCUAGUCAUUCCUUCCCUUUCCGCCCGCCAUCGACGAUAUAAUCCCAGGGUAUUGCUUUUGAGUUGAAUGGGGGUGUGGUUGAUACUAUCACAGUGAAAGGUGUGACCACUUCUACUUCAAAUGGAGUGGGGGUGGCUGCGGGCGGAGCUACUUCCACCUUGAAUGGAACUGAUGCAAUUACCUCAACCUCGAUUGGUGCCUGAGUCUGAACCAUACUAGGAGAAAGUGUGACUGCAACCUUAAAGUCAUCUCCUUCUCGAAUAAGCUCGAUCAACCCCUUAGGGUCCCAUUCUUCAUUUGUCUCUAUCACAUGUACACCAUCAUCUAUGUGAUCAGGGAGGGGAUUUUGCGGACAUUAGGUGCUGCUUCCUUUGCUUAUAUGACCUUGUUGUCAAUUAGCGUCUGUUGAUACCCAAUUUUUCCCUGUAUAUUUUUAAUUAUGCAAAAUACUUUCAAAAUAGCAUAUGUAUGCAUAUAUAAGUAUGUCCAAUUGUUUUCUUAAUUUUUAAAAAAUUUUAAACCAAUUUAUUCCCCUAUUUUAUUCAUAAAAACCCAAUAAUAUUUCCAAAAUCAUCAUUUUUGGUAAUUCAUUUAUUGGAUUCUUCUAUUUAUGCCAAAUUAUAGCUAAAAUAAUUUUUGUACAUUUUUACAAAUUUAUUUAGUAUUUUUAAAGCUAAAUUGCAUAUAAUUGCAAUAUUAGCCUCUUAUAGAUUUAAUUGCGUUCAUAUAUAUAAAAAUUAAGUCCAAUAUUUUUAAUUUGAUAAUUAUACGUUACAAAUCAUUUUAGUACUUUUAAUGUAUUUUCAGAAUUUAAUUUUGCUAUUUUUAUAAAAUAAAUGGGGAAAAUUGGCUAUUUAAAAACUAGCACAAUUACCUUUUAAUUAUAGCCUAAUUUAAAUCCCAAUUGGAACCCAAUUUUACCCAGACCUAAUUCCCUUCAAAUCCGACCCUUUACCCGUUUAAACGACCCACCCGGACUCCUACCUAAUCCCAUCCGUUGAUCAUUUAGAUCAACGGCUCUCACUACUCCCUUCCUUUUUUAACCCAAACCACCCCUUCACCCUAAUUCAUUUCUCACAAUACGCCAUCUCUGAAACCCCUCCUCUCCCAAAUCCUCUCUACAACACCUUCAAACCCUAGUCGUUGUCACCCUAAUCUAUGGCUCUCCAGGAUUAUCUAAGACUUGUAUCAGUCUCCCAAGACUUAUACGUGUUUGUUUCUGUGGCCUCAUGACCAAAUUCUGAAGGGGCUUGGUCCAAUCUUCGCUCGAUGACUGUUCUCCGGUCGUCUAUGACCUUUCUCCGUCUAGCCAUGGCCAUUCGAGUCAGACCUUUGACUCUCCUGUUUAGAUCAAUGGCUUUCAAGGCCUUUCUCGUCUCUUGGGGUUCUUCUGAAACCCUAAUCUCUAAGAGCUUUUCGACUUCUUUCAGGUUCACUUUAGAUCAUGCUUGCUAUAUGUUUUAAAUGCCUUCUCAAAGCUUAUUUAAUUUUUCUUUAAAAAAAAAAAGAGGGACUCUUCAUCUUUUUCCGAUUAUGGUUUUCCUUCAAGUUGUUCUUUUCAAAAAAAAUUCUGAGUUUAGCAUGAGAAAAAUCCUAAUUUCUUUUGGGGUUUCUGAGACUAUUUUUUAGAGUUUGUUUGAUUUACUUGUUUAUCAUCUCUAGACUCGAUUGGUUUUGAAAACCCUAAUUUCUUUGGGUUCAUUCGAGUUUCUGAGACUAUUUGCUAAAUAUUGUCUGAUUUAUUUGUUCAUAUCUUUAAACUCGAUCGAUGUUGAAAACCCUAAUUUCUUUUGGGAUCUAUUCGAGUUUCUGAAACUACUUGUGCUAUUUAUCUGUUUAUCAUCUUUUAAUGAAUGUUAUUAAAGAAAACCUAUGUCUUUGGGUUUGAAAUUGCUCGUUGGAAUACCCGACUUGAUUUGAAGUUCAUUCGUUUCAACAUCUCUUUUCUUUAUGUGAUUCCUUGGAUUCUGGGUUCUUACUAUCUUUGAAACUUGACUAUGCUUUUCAGAAGGGUUUUCUUAUUUGUCCCUUUGCAUGCUUCCAAUACUUUUUUUUCUCUUUACUACUGAUUCGAUGAAACUCGACCUACGUGACUAUUAUGCUUCGAAUGUUUACUAUCUACUAACUUUGUGCUAUUAUUGGAUGCUGUUUCUUUUGCCAAUGGUUUGGACUCGCAUGUCGAUCGAUUGUGCACUCUAUUUAUAUACUGAGCCCUUUCUUUGAUUGAUUCUCAAUUUCGGGACUGAUUUCAAAACUUCUUUUUUUGUGAACUCUAAUUUUACCCGCCUGUUAAAGUGAUUGAUGCCUUUCUUUACUUAUUGCCUUGUUGAAUCUUUUCCCCAAAAUAAGUGUAUCUCUGUACUUGGACACUAUUGUGUACUCAAUGUUUUACUACUUCUUUUUAUGCUAAUAACCACUCUGCCUACAAACUGAUAUUCUUUCCUUCUUUUAAACCUGUUAGCCCUGUUAAAAAGUGAUUCCUCAAUUAAAGGGGAAUCACUUGGUUGAUUGAUUCUGAUUGCUGAUUACCUCCAUAUGUGCAUUAAACUUUAUUUUUUGCCUUAUUUCUGACAUGUUUUCAAAAACUAUAAAUACUCACCUUCUCCUCUUUCAAACACACGAACACAAGGCAUAAAACACUUGAGUUCAGAUAAACACUCCACUAAAAUCUCUCUCUCUUUUCUCUAUUGCUACUUGUAUUGUUGCCUUACCUAGCCGGCUGAAAGUCAAGGCUAGGCUGUGGGAAGCUUGCUUAUUUUUCUCUACAUUUGCAUUUUUUACUGGUAUGUUCUAAUUAAGCUUCUGCAUCAACAACAACAUGUUUCUUUACUGUCUCUUUCAUCUUUGUUUGUCUCCUGUUUGUAUUUAACCAAGUUCCAUUAAUAAACAUGUUGUAAUCUACCCCUUCCUGUUCUGAGUUAAUGAUUAUUUCCAUUACUUAUUAUGACUGGUGAAUCCUAAAUCCCCAUCCCCAAUGUGUUUAGUAUUUGUGGUUGAUUUGGGGCAUGACAACAUUGGACAUUGUUGUGCAUGACCCAAAACUGAUUCCCCUGGGAUCAUAACCUCCGUGUCCCUUCUAGAUGUUGUGUGUUCUAAUUGGUUUAUAGGCAUGUCAGCACCUUCUAUUGUUGUGUAUGCCAAAAGUUGAUCCAUGGAUAUGCACAUGGGCUCCUUGCAAUGAAUUUACAACCCUUGACCCCAUUUGUAUGAAGUUAUUAACUUUGUAUGUUACUAAUUACUAUUACCCUUUACCCCUCUUCCUUAUCCCCUCAGUUUUAAGACUUUGUUCCUGCACUUUCACUAUCUUCUUAGGCUUAUGUUCUUCCCCUCUUAUGUAAGAUUUGCUUUGGGACCCAUGAGCUCCGUCUGAACUUGGACACAUAAGGGCUGGCUCUUCCACACUGCACUCAUCUCUAUAUGAUUAUGUAACUUGGGUGUGAGCAUUGUCCGAGGUCCUCUUGAGACCCUUAGGGAACUUUAACACACUCAAGUCUGAGAAAGUCUUGGAAUCAAUGGCAUUUGAGGUGGUUUAUUCCAUAACUCAUAGAGGAAGUCAAGAAUCAGGCUUCCUCUGGUUGUAACUUUUCUUUUGUACUUUUCUGAUGUAAUUCAUUAUCCAGUCUGUAAUAAUUUGUAAUAACAUUGGGGUUGUUUAGUCAAAAAGGUUAGGUAGUUAUGCAUGCUUAAGGGUAAAAUCAUGCCUAUAGGAUCUGCUGUUUAAAUUCUACGUGUUUUGAGUUCUGCAUUUAGAAAUCAUGCCUAUAGGAUCUACUGUUUAAAUUCUAUAUUUUUUGAGUCUUGUAAUAAGAAAUCAUGCCUAUAGGAUCCAUUUGUUUAAAUUAUGUAUUUGUAAUUCUGCAUGUUAGAUACCAUGUCUAUAUGACAUGCUUUCAUUAAAUUUCUGCAUGUUCUGCAUCUAGAGAGUAUUCCUAUAGGACUUGCUUAAAUUCUGCAUGUUAUUAUCACAUUUAGAUACCAUGUUUAUAGGAUCUAAAGGGUUAAAAUCAGACAGCAUGUUCAUAAGGUUAAGAAUCAGAACCCCUUUUAGAAAUCAUGACUAUAGGAAUAAAAUGAGCAAUAGACAUCCUGCCUAUAGGAUCUGCAAUCAAUUUAAAAUCAGUUCGACUUUGAACAAGUUUUAAACAACAUUCAUUCUUUAUCUAACGAGGUUUAGAAAGCAUGUCUAUAGGAUCUCAAUCGUUCAUUUUAAAUUGUCACUAUUUUUUCCACUUUCUGAAUCAGUAAUAGUUAUCAUUUCACCCGAAGCUUAGGCGAGCUUUAGGUGAUAACAAUAAAAAAUGAAUUCGCUUUUGUUAAUUGCUACAACCAGCAAGCAGGCCUGAUUCGGACUUCUUAUCUGAGUUAUGUAAUAAACUGAUUUUCCUCAAUAAUUAAACUCCCCUCGUCUUUAAUAUUUUAAUCAGACCUUAAAAGUAUGUGCAAGUUAUGCUAUUUAUGUGUUUUGUUUGAGGAGGUAUACAUGAGCCUUUAUCUGUUUACAUGCUUCCCCCUAACAUUUAGUAUUAUAUGUUUUGUAUGUCGCCUUAGAUUUUUAUCUUUUGAAACCAAAAUAAGCCUAAUAUCCCUCCCUUUUAGGAAUAGUAGUCCUAAACUCCUCUGGGACUGAUAGGAAUGGGACGAGUAAUAGCAUGCAAUAGUGAUCGAGACCAAUUCACGCUUUAAUACCUUGACGGGGUGGGGAAGCGUAGAUAUGGAUAUAAAUGACCGGUGCGCUAAUACCAUGUGUAUCCCCUCUUUUGAGAAGUGUCAUACCGGGUAUCUCACUGAUGUAAUCCAUAUUAAAUAUAAACCUAGAACCCCCUUUCCCUUUAUUUGCAAACUUCUUUUCAAAAACCCUUCUUUUAAUUGUUCUUUCUCUUUUGUGUUUAAAUUUAAAUCCCCUAAUAUUUGAGCCCAUACUUGUCUAUUUGAUAAAUUGCACAAAUUCACAAUCAACAUUCUGGCCGGGAACCACACUAGUGGAUCAUGAGAGUGCCUAACACCUUUCCCUUGGUAUAAUUUCAAGCCCUUACCCUAUCUCUGGUCGUUCAAAUAACCUAGAAUUGAACCCUAUAAAUGUCCUAAUGCACCUUAAAUCAUUAGGUGGCGCCUCUUAAAAAAUGCAAAAACCAGUUCGCAAAAGUAACGAGUUGUCCCAUACCAAAUAUCAUAAACCCGAUUUUGCGAGAAAAAGGGGGCAUGACAGCAUGGCGACUCUACUGGGGACACUGUUCUUUUACCAAUUCAGAUUGUCUUGUGAAUUUGUACCUCUUUAUGCGCAAUUACUUGUUUAAUACCGUUAAACAUUUAAUUUCCUUUUCAACUGCAAAACUGACUUGUCUUCUUUGUUUCUUUCCUUCACUGCUGCUUUAAAUUAUGAAACUGCUGUAUUUACUGCUUCCUUAACAUGUAAAUACAUGCCAACAUGCUUUUAAUUAUUGCAUGAUCAUGCUAAACAUCAUACUCCACUCGUGCCAAACAAAUACCACAACAACGCUUAUAAUGAGUGGUUGCGCUCUUCCUAUAUUAUUACACCCUAAAUCCGAAAAAGGCAUAUUUACGGUAAAACCAGUCGAUCGGCGGUGCAAUCGACGGUUUCGUGCCUUUCCCUCUUAAGUUGUCUGCUCAAAGGUAUCAGUCGAAAACCCUAUAGAAACCUUACUCUGUUUAAACUAUGCAUGCAUCAUGGUCAAACCUAGCCGAGUCAAUUAUGUUGUCCACAUAAUGAUCCUUUAAGAUUGCCUUGUCCAAUGUCCACCAGGUUUCUCUAAAACCCAAAUGGACACCAUCACGUUCUGUGCAUUUAUUUGGAGAAGUAAAUGCUUCAUACUAAUUGUUGAUGUUUAAUAGUCGAGUUUGGUGGGGGUAGGGUUUUAACCCUUUUAUUUUGCAGAAAAUGAAGAAUGAGGUCCCCAAAUUCGGUAUGGUUAGCAUACCCUCACUCUUGCUAGACUAGUGCAGGAGUCUUCCAUCAAAUGACCAAAUCAAUGAGUGGAAAGAGAGGGCCGCCAAAUCUAGCGAAAAGUUUGAAUAUCUGGAAUAUAGUCUGCUAGAAUUGGAAGGAAAAGUGAGGAAAAGAUUCACUGACUGUCAGUACGCUGAGGGAAACGAAGGAGAACACCUGGCAAAGGCAUUUUUAUUAGUAAACCUACGAGAACUGGAGGAUUUGAUCAACGAGAGCAUUCAACCUGAGGAAGGUCCUUCUAGGACCAAGUAGAUAGGAGUUUAUCUUUUUCGCUUUAUAAAUGUAAUAAGGCCAAUGGCCAUUAGUGACUUUUUAUUUCCAGUUUAUUUAGUGUCAAUUUGGGAUUCGUCUUAUUUUCUAUCAAUAAAAUGAGGCAUUUAGCAUUCUAAUUUCUCCAAAACAAUUUGUCACUAGGCCUACAUCGGGCACAAAGAGGUCCCCAAAUUAGGACACAAUUUACAUUCCCGCACUAUGUGUUUCAAUAUUGCAAUACUUAUUUAUGAUCCUCACUAACUUGUUACCUUUUUUUUUUUACUUUUGUUUCAUUAUUCCCCUCCCCAAAGGUUAGUUCGUCCACUCUGGCAACAUAAUACUAUUCUACGAGAUCCAGGGACCCUCAACUCACUCCUCCUCUUAGUCUAGUCAAAAACAAGAACAAGGGCAAGAUGGAAGAUAUGAACAACGUCAGAAAGGAGAAUGCAACUGAACGGGUAGAGGCCACUAAUGGUCAUGGUACUGAGGCUCCUAAGAAAAAUGUAUCCCAAAUUGAACAAAAAUUGCUGAGAUUCAAGGAAGAACUCGAUCAGAUUCGGAAUCUGGCAAGCUUGUCAUUUUCCCUCAGCACCCUGGAUAUCACCUUUCCCAAUACUCAAAAACCUACAGCACCUCAAAAUAUCCCAAAGCGACAAAAUCAUCCCGCUCAUGACACUAUUCUACCGAAGACCCAAUGCAAUACCUUUCACACCCCAAAUAACACCCUGCUACUCAUCCCAGAACUCUAACACUCUACAAAUGACCAUUUUCAUACCCAUCAUAACACCCCCAUCUAGGUGGAGACCAUGCCAUACUCCGCCCAACUUAUCUCAAGCACACUCGAGUCUGAUGAUAAAGACUUGCUCAUCAGGAACCUAGCUGAGGAACUUAAGAAAUUGACUAGCCGGAUUCAAGGCGUUGAAGGAAGCAAGGGAAUUGAAGGGCUGAACUAUGAAGAUCUUUGCAUACAACCCGAUGUUGAACUGCCCGAGGGGUACAAACCUCUGAAGUUCGAAAUGUUUGAUGGUACAGGUGAUCCAAGGGUCCAUUUGAGAACAUAUUAUGACAAGCUAGUUGGAGUAGGGAAAGAUGAGAGAAUCCGCAUGAAGCUGUUCGUGAGGAGUCUGAAAGGAGAUGCGAUGUCAUUGUACAUCAGCCAAGAUCCGAAUAAGUGGUCAAGCUUGGUACGCAUGGCGUCCGAAUUUAUGCACAGGUUCAGGUUUAACACAGAGAAUGCACCGGAUGUGUUCUAUAUUCAAAAUCUAAAGAAGAAGCCUGCAGAAACAUUUCGCGAGUAGGCUACUCACUGGAGGUCCAAAGCUCUUAAGGUUCAAGCCUGACUUAGAGGAGGAACAUAUUAACAAAUUCUUUGUCCGAGCUCAGGACCCACAAUAUUAUGAACAACUAAUGAUGAUCGACAACCAUAAAUUUUCUGACAUUAUCAAACUUGGUGAAAGGAUUAAAGAAGGUAUCAAAAGUGGUAUGGUUACAAACUUUGAGGCCUUGCAAGCUACAAAUAAGGCCUUGCAGUCAGGUGGUGUUUCCAAGAAAAGGGACGUAUGAGCCGUAAUGGUUGCACAGAGAACUAAAUCUCCUAUAAAAUACAAAAUUUACCCAACACCUUCACUUACAUAUCAACCAACUUCGAACUACCAAGCACCGUCACCCUCUUACCAAGCUUUACUGCCACCUUAUCAAUCACCUCUACCUCCCACAUAUCAUCCUACUUUUCCCAGAUAUUCCCAACCCACACAUGACUAUCAAACCUACAAUACUCAACCAUUCCACUAUCAAUCACCUCCUACACACCNNNNNNNNNNNNNNNNNNNNNNNNNNNNNNNNNNNNNNNNNNNNNNNNNNNNNNNNNNNNNNNNNNNNNNNNNNNNNNNNNNNGGGUAAACCAAAACAAAUCACGUGCAUACCACUCCGGCAUGAAGGGACACACCAUCGAUGAAUGUCGUUCUUUGAAAGACAAGAUCCAGUCCUUGAUCGAUAACAAGAUUAUUGUGGCAAAAGAACUCGCUCCGAAUGUUCUCAAUAACCCUCUGCUAGACCAUAAGGGUGGAGGGGUUCACAUGAUUGAAAUAGAGAAUGAUUGGGAUCCCGAGGGAUCAAUAGGGUUGAUCGCAGAAGGUGAUGACCCAAAGAAGCCAAUAGUUACUCUUAAUCCAAUCAUAGUCUAGAUUAAGCCAUCCGGGGACGCUGAGGUAAAUAUGCCUGUGCCACUUGAGUUUGAAACAAUGCCAUCUGCAAAGACACCGACGCGAAUUGAGGUCUAAUUCGUGUCUUCGGCAAAUGUACCCACACCAUUUGAAGUUGCAGUUUUACCACCCAAAGCACAGGCUCCAUUCGGAGUAAUGAUAUCCACGCCGAUCCCAGUGGCGAUGUCGACCAUGACACCAUACCAUACAAAGGCUAUACCAUGGGAUUAGACAGCCGAGGCAAGGAGGAAAGGCAAGGUCAGCUUCGAAGAUAUUGUUGCCGCACAAGGUAUGACGAUGAGUAGUAGGGUUUAUACCAUGGAACACCUAGCCGAGUCAAUCAAGCAAGCCUCCAACCGACCACCUAUUAUUAAGACAGGUCCAGAUGAUCUUUGGAGAAAGAUACAGGCCAAGGAAUACUGGGUCAUCGACUAGUUGAACAAAACGCAGGCCCAAAACUCCAUUCUUGCUUUGCUACAAAAUUCUGAGGCACACAAGAGUGCUCUGCUAAGGGUACUGAGCGAGGAAUACGUACCAAGCAACAUCACUAGUGGGGAAAUAGCUAACAUGGUAGGAAAAUUUCUAGAAAGUCAUAAUAUCACAUUGCAUGAGGACGAGCUACCACCUGAAGGGUUGGGACACAACAAAGCACUACACAUCUCUGUUCAAUGCGAGGACUACUUCAUUACCAGGAUCCUGGUCGACGGGGGUUCCAGUAUCAACAUUUAGCUCCGUUGGAUGAUUUCAGGCUUAGAGGUGUGUUCGGAUUGUGUUUUGGACGUCCGUAGCUAAUUUAGUCUUGAAAUCCCGAAAGGUCAAAUUUUGAAGUUUUUGGUUCGAUAGUGAGAUUUUGAUUCGAAGGUCGGAAUGGAAUUUUGGAAGUUGGAGUAGCUCCAUAGUGUUAAGUGUGACGUGUGUGCAAAAUUUUCAGGUCAUUCGGACGAGGUUUGAUAGACAUUUUGAUAGAAAGCGUAUUUUUAGGGUUUUGAAGUUCAUAGUCUUGAAUCCACAGUUGAUUCAUCGUUUUGAUGUUGUUUUAGGUGUUUUAAGGAUUGGUAUAAGUUUGGACAGUGGUAUUAGACUUGUUGAUUCCUUUAGUUGAGGUCCCAAAGCCUCAAGAUGGUUUCAGAUGGUUGUUAGAAGAAUUUGGAAUUUGUUUGAGCAGCUUCAGCUGCUGAACUUCUGUCAUAAUCGCACCCGUGGAUUGGGGACCGUAGGUGCGUGAUCACAGAAGCGCUUGAGGAGAUGAAGAUGCGGCGAAGUGCUUGGAAGCCAGUUUCUGCAGGUGCGGUAGUAUGGGCGCACCUGCGAGACCACAUGUGCGGUUGAAGAAGCGCAGAUGCGGCCUGGUGCCUUAAGUGAAUUAUCGCAGAUGCGACGUUAUUUUCGGACUGCAAAAGCGGAUUAGCUGGGCAGAAACAUAUAAAUUCUUGCCUUCACAUAUUUGAACUAUUUUUCAUCUCUUUUCAAACGGGAAUAAGGCUUGGGGAACAUUUUCAAGAGAGAUUUUCAAAGGAGAUCAAUGGGGUAAGGUCUUUGGUCUCUAAACUCGUUAUUGGAGUGAUUUUUUUUUCACUAUAAGCACGAAAAAUUAAGGAAAAUCAGUGGCAAUUUGGGGGUUAGGGCUUGACUAAUUAGAGACAUUUUAGUGAUGAUUUGAGGGACCAUUUCAGGUCCAAUUUUUGUACUUUUGGUAUGAUUGAACUCGUGAGAGUGUGAGGUUUCUGGAAAUGUGAAUUUCACCCAAUUUCGAGAUGUGGGCCCAAGUGGCAUUUUGGUCAUUUUACCUAAUUUUACGUUUUAGAUUAUAAUUUCUUUGUAGAAUUAGUUACUUAAAUUGGUAUUUACAUUGUGAAAUUGAAUUGAAUAGAUUUGGGCCAUUUGGAAUCGAGUACAACUUGCAAGAGCGUGGUUUCCGAUUGAUUUGAGCUAGUUCAAGGUAAGUGGCUUAACCUUGUGUGGGGGACCUUCCCUUUAGGAUUUGUUAUAUUUGAUAAGUAAAAUGCCUUGUACGUGAGGUGACGAGUGCAUACUUAAGCUAAUUGUUGAAAAUUCAGUUUUUUUAAGUAAUUUCAAUUGUGUUCCUUUUUACUAUUUUACACUACUUGCAAUUUAAGCCUGUUAUUAGCUUAGAAAAAGCAUGUUUAAUUGACUUAAUUGCUUUUUUUUCUUAAACUGCCUUAAUUUCAUUAUGGGAAGCAUGUUAGGUUAGAAUUACCCGUUUUACUUGGUACGAAAUUGAGUAUUCCUUGUGUUGUUGCUGCGUGUUUUACUUUGGGAUUACGUGAUGACAUCCUAGGAGAUCCCCUGCACUUAUAUAUUAUUUGAGUGAAGGUGCAGGUUACCGAGAGAUCCCUAGCACGUAUAUUGAGGAUACCAAUAGAUCCUCGGGAUACCAAGAGAUCUGCAACAUAUAUUGAGUAUAACAAGAGAUCCUCUGGAUACCAAGAGAUCCCUCGCAUAUACUGAGGAUACCAAGAGAUCCUCGGGAUACCAAGAGAUACCUGGCAUAUAGUAAGGGUACUAAGAGAUCCUCAGGAUACUAAGAGAUCCCCGAUUAUUAUCCUUGUGAGAAUGGUAUCUCCAUGUGAUUGUUUUUGCCUCUAUUUUAGUUAUUGAGUUCCUUAUAUUCCUGUAUUUAAUUCUUAUCGUUAGCUUUCAACUGUACUGUUUACCUUAUUCUGCCAUACCUUAUAUAUUUUAUUUAACUCAAUAGGGCCCUGACCUUCCUUGUCACUACCCAAUCGAGGUUAGGCUUGGCACUUACUGAGUACCACUGUGGUGUACCGAUGGGGGUGAAGAUGAUCGGGGCAAGGAGUAGUCUCCGAGACCUUUUUUGUAUGCCUUCUUUUUUGUUCCAUGUGUUCUCCCUCUUGGGAGAAGAAUAAUGUAAAGGUGUUUUUCCUUUUUGUCAAUGUACGAAAGGAGCUUUUAUUCUGCUAGUCCUUCUUGCUGCUUUCCCUUUCUCCUUUUUUUGCUUCCGAGCAUCGAGCAUCGGCCCUUUAGAGCCUUUUCGUAGGACGGACCAGGGUCCACGAGACUAGCCAUGUCCCGAGGUUGAGUUGGUAGCUCCUCCGAACCGAUAUUUGCGACGUAGGGGAUCUCCCGAGGUCCCUUGAUUUUAUGAGUUGUGUGGGAGCCUGAGAUGAUUCUUCUAGUGCACUCACCAAGGAAAAAGGUGACAUUAACGCGGCCAGAAUUAAUUGGCCUUCUUGGGAAAUUGAGCAGUUGUUGCAUGGCCCCUAUAUAUUUGUAUAUCCGCCCUUCAAGCGGCGAUUUUGCAAUCUUUGAUAAGCCUAUCUCAUCUGCAGAGCCAGGCGCUUUGUGCGAGUCCUUCCACUUCUUUGCUCCUGGAAGUUUUUGCCUGUAUCUUCCUCUUCUUCUUCUUCUUCUUCUUCUUAUUCUGCCGUAGUCAUGGCCGCUGCUUCGACACCUGAUCCUCGGACAAAGGGGAGUCCUUUUCGUGCCCCACCUUUGGUCGGCUCCAAUAGCUUGCCCCCGAUGCUCGGGGGAACGAGGCCCGAGGUGUGCUACUCCGAAAAGGGUCGCCUCAUCGGUGAAGCCUCCCAAUGUUCUGGGCCAUCGGGAGCAUGUGUUGAGGAUUAUUUCAUCGGUGAGGGAGGAGAACCUCGGGGUGAUCAAGAAAGAGUGCGAAUGGGGGGAAGGCAUGAUUAUACAAAUACCUUCCACCGAGGAGAGGGUCAUGACGUAUGUUGAGGGUUUCUUGAGCGUAUAUACCCAUUUUCUCAAGCCGGGAUCCCCGGACCUAGUUGUGCUUGAUUUAUGUAGAAGGUACCAAGUAACAUUGGCCCAGGUUCAUCCCUUUCUCUGGAGGAUAGUGCAGUCGAUAAGAUAUUUUGCUGAUAAGGUUGGGAUAGAGUUUACGCUCAGUCACCACAUAAGGUUGUACCAGUCAUCACAAUACCUGGGCCUAUUUUCUCUUCAGCGUAGGUCCACUCGAGCUUUUAAAAUCGGCAUCGAGGAGGAUGAGGAUCGUAGAUGGAUGAGUUAGUUUGUUCGAGUUUGGAUGACUGACAUUAUCCUAGCGAAUUGUUAUCGUUACCUGAGAAAUGGAACUCCACACGUAAGCACUCUAUUCGAACUGUCUUUCUCUUCAUAUGAGGCUGGCCCCAUAAUGAUGUCUUCCUGUCCUUUGUUUAUAGCAACUCACUGGUUUCCCGGUGAGGUACCUGAUUUAGCUGAAUGGUCUCAUAGGCUGGCAGCUUGCUGAGCUCAUAAUAGGCGCCAGUGGCGAGAUAUUUCAAAAGGGAGAUGGGAGGCAAAGCACUUAGGUAGGUGUCUAGAGUUCCCCCCCCCCCUUUUUAAGUACAACUUCCUUUUUACUGAUUCGCCCGAUUCUUCUGUCGCAGGUUUCCGGAGUUCAUUCGAGGCAAGACUGGGUUCACCGAGGGAGGAGGAGAGAUUGUUGGCCCAGGGAUCAUAGAGAGCUGGCAAAAGGAGAGGUGCUCCGUGGUGCGAGAAGGAUUGUGGUGGGGUGCCUUCUCCGUAACGGUUGAGGGGAAGUGAUUGGGUCAGUCGGCAAGCUUUCCAAAUUGAUGCACCAUCGUACGUUGCUUCGCCCCUCAGGGAGGCUCAUCGUCUUGGCCUUAUGGUGAGUUUUCGGUCGCAGUUGGGAUGUUCUAGCCCCGUGGUCCUUUUUCAUCCAUUUACACACCUGACCUUUCUUCUUCAAGCUUUUGAUAGGCUCAAAGCAUAAUUGCUUCGUUGUGAGGCCCCAUUGCGGGAGGCUCGAGAAAGGGAAAAAUCCCUCAAACUUCUCUGUGCAGCAAAGGAAAGUGAGCUAAUUUCUUUAUGACGUGGGGUGGACCGAAGUUGUGCCCGGGAGGCCCUCAUGCAAAAACAGGUAUUCUGUAUUUUAUGCUGACUUGUAUUCCCUUUUUUGUCUUGCCGUCUUUGACAUGUUGCUAUUUCAGUUAAAGGACAAGGCGGAUGAGCUGGAACAACUCUGGGGCGAGGUGGGCAAAGCCAAACGUGAAUUUGCUGAGAUGCAAGUGCGUGUUAGUGCCUAUUCUAAGGCCAAAGAGAGGGCUCAGGCCGUGACAUCCGUUCUUAGGGCACAAGUUCAGGCGGCCUGUGCGAAUGAGUCUACUCGAGCGAAGAUGAUCGCGAGACUCUUUUUCGAGCUAUCAACAGGAAAAAACGGGGGUGGUGAAUCCCCGGGCCGAGGUUGUAGUGAAUAAUACCAGGGCAAGGCAAAAAACGGCGGCUCAUUCAAGGAGUUCCACUGCCGCUAAGUCCGAGCUGAAGAAGACCGUUGAUCAUGCAAACAAUAGCAGGGAGUACGAGAGGUGCAAAUCCCGGAGAGAGACCCUUGAGAAGAUUCGUUCCAGAGGAUUUGGUCUUUCGGAGGAGAUCGAACAAGCAGAAUGAGAGGAGUUCGAUGCCAAGUUCUUGAUGUCCUAUAAUGAGGAUGAUGAGGAGGAGACCGCCAGACCGUAACUGCCGAAAAAAAAGGGGGAAUAAAUAUUCUCUGCCUUCUUUGUUGUGUAUAUAUAGCUUUCAUUAUACGACGCAAGCCGAGGUUGCGCUUCGUCAUCAAUAAGUAGUAAUAAGAGGGGAAACCCCGCAAUUUGUAUCUUCUGUAUUUCUGCUUGUUGGAGUUUCCUUUGGGUCGAUUCGAUGCCGGGUUUACCCUUAGACUUGCAUGUUUUAACUGUCUUCGGGUUUAGUCUCUGAGUUGGGAUACGACUUGAGCUUAAUAUACCCUCGAGUUUUGCAUUUGUUGGGGCUGGCGAUGAUAGUUUUUAUUUCCUGCCCUUGGGUGUUUCGUUGUUUCAACAACUUCGGGUCCAGUCUCCGAGUCGUGUUGCGACUCAAACUUUAAUUGCGACAAUGGAACUUAUGCUGCUUGGUCGUUGAGACCCUUCAGUAUGUUGCCCGGAGGCUUGCAUAGUUAAAUAUUUUCGAUCCGGUCUCUGAAUCGGGAUACGAUUCGAGCUCAUUUUAAUCCUCAAGUUGUCAAGAUUUUUUUAGAUGCCAGCAAUGGCUCUUAUGCUGUUUGGUCGUGGAAACCUUUCAAUAUGAGGCCCGUAGGCUUGCUUAGUUAACUAUUUUGGAUCCGUUCUCCGAAUCAGGUUACGAUUCGAGCUCAUUUUAAUCCUCAAGUUGUUAAGAAUUUUUAGCUGGCGACAAUGGCUCUUACGUUGUUUUUGCCUGUGGGCUUUUUUGUAGGAUCUGUUUCCACUCUUUAAGGUCUUUUUAUAGUAUUUUUUCCUGACCCGUCAUUGGUUCGAGAGGAACCUCGAUUUCAAGUUGUUGUCGGCGAUGUUUCGAUCACAUCGUAAGGUUCAUAGCUCGUAGGUCGAGUAGAUCGAUGCUCUUGCGAUUCGGAGCCGACAUGGUCGGAGCUCGUUUUUGCCUAUUGAGGGAAGCCUAUUUGAACUGAUUCUUUUCGAAGUAUAUUCGGAGUAGUGGCCUGCGAUUUUUAGCGACAGUCGAGCGUCCCCGAGUCACGUUAUUUUGGUUGUAUCAGCCAUUUUGAUCAUAGUCAUAUGUGUUUGGUCGUAGCCAUUUUUGAUCCCAAGUGAUAGUUUAGGUGUUUACAUCGAGGGUAUGCCCUUUAGGGAUUCUUACAAAUGCGGUGUAUAGCCUAAACUUCGGGAUUUUCAUUCCUGUUGAGGUAUUAUUGUUUGUCAUACCUAUUGAGGUCUUACAGUUUGUCAUGCUUAUUGAGGUCUUACAGUUUGUCAGGCCUAUUGAGGUCUUACAGUUUGUCAUGCCUAUUGAGGUCUUACAAUUUGUGUAAUGUAGAAUAGAUCUGGUUACGCCGAGGCUGCCCGCUAGGGGUCUUAUAGUUUCGGGUUUUCCAAUCGUAUGGCGAUUAACGAUAGUCUCCGAGUCAUUGAGUUUGUUUAAGCUUGAAGACUUCUUCUCGUGGGCUCGGUGUUGCCUUGCAUUGGAUUGAUGAACCCGGAGUUCCGACCCUAGGGUCGCGCGGGUGUCGAAUUGUCGUUGCUAAGUCUCUGAGUACCUCGGGAUGCAUUCGAUGGAGAAGCAUUUGCUGCGAGUAUGUUGAAAAUACAUAUUGCCCCGUUGUUGUGAGCUCUGCCCGCAUAGGCGCGAAUCCUCUGAUCAUCUGACCUGUUUACAUGAUUAUGUUUUGAAACAUAGCCUGCCAUUUAUUGGCCCUUACGAGGGGAUGAUGUCCUUAAGAGGAGGUCAUCACACGCCGUCUGAUUAUAAAAGAAAGGAUUGCGAUAUCGUCGGAUCCUUUUUUGGGGGUAUGCUACUCUGCUAAUAAUCUUGCUGGCAGGACCUUCUUUAGGUUGGAAACUCGGUCGAGGAAAGAGAGCUCGGCGGGUCCCACAGAGACCUCAGAUCUCCGAGUGGAGUUCAGAACUUCUGAAUGCCUCGGCUAACUUUCUGCAUAUAGGUUAGUUCUUCCUUGCUGCAGGAUGCGUAGGUGACGUUUCGAGGCGUUAGCCCUGAUACAGCCUUCUGCUAUGUUCAACUAGGCUUGGCCGAAGAUGUGGUUCUACUUACCCUUUGAUCCCUUCGAGGGCGGAGGCAUUGAUUCCGGCGAUGGGUCAUAUGGCGAGGGAUUUUCUCUUGUUGCUUGAAGCAACUUGUCGAAUACUUUAGUCCUAACAAAUGUGGGGUUUCAUCCCUUUGGCUUAGUGGGGUCGAAGUCUCCUCCGGACGGUGUGCCCGUUGUCAUCUGAAUAAAAUGUUCGUGCUUUGCGGGCUCGGUGUUCCAGCCCCGAGCUCAUCUCAGCCCGAGCUCAGGUGGGCCCGACCUUCCUGAUUGUUGUGGCGAUCAGAGUCUAGAAUCCAUCAAAGAUUCAAAGUGUGGGAGUGAUUUGGUUCGUUAGUCUGAACCGCCCUAUUGGCUUUGGCCUGACAACGUCGGUAUAGUUGAUCGAACCACCUGUACUCAUAAACAUAUGCUUUAUUUGAAAUAGGUUAAAUGAGGGAGGGGGUUACCAACGCGUUAAUACGAGGCCGAGGCGAAGACUCGGUGUCCCUUUCCUUGGAUACAAGGGUGUCCUUUAGGAAUAUUCCCUGGAGUCAUUGGGCAUACUUCUUUUAGGCUUCGGGUGAAGGCCUGUGUUGCCCGAUCAUCCGAAACCGAGAGCAAACUCAUUCAUCUUAUCACGGAACGGGGUGCGGCUUCCCGCAAUAUUUUAUUUAUCCUUCGUUCGGCCUCAGGUGUAUCGGUCCCUCUCGGUACUGCUUUGAUGGCAUCGGUGCGUGCUUCCAUGGUUGACCACGCUAUUAUGGUAAGCGAGUCUGUAAGUCAGGUGCCACGUGGUGGCAUUGUGUCAUGGUUUCUUUCGAGAGAGUUUCUUCGAACUUCCUCAACGAAUUGUUCUCGAACUCACCAUCUUAGAGGUCGCUACCUCUGAAUGAGCAUGCGUAAGUGGUGGUGCGCCCGUAGGGAUCCGAGGUCCUGUCGUACCUAGGGAGUUUCGGCGUUCCGGAUUUCUGUGAAGCGAGUUUCGAGAUCAUUUCCUCGGGAGAUGGUUGCUGUAAGAGCUUCCACGAACCUGAUUCGAUCCUUUCAAAGAGAUUCCCAAGCAUUCUCACUGCGGCAGGGUCGGUUACUGAUCUGUUGUUACUUGAUUUCUCGGGCCCUACUGCGUUAGGACUUUCCGGGCGACUUUGCAAUCGAUUGAUAACCAAUUGUCGUGCCUGCAACAUUUCAAAAUUAAAAUGAAGACUAACUUCAUGUUCUACCCGGGCCGGGGUUUUUUUAGCUUCCUGUUGGUCAACACGUUGUAUGCUAUCAUUGGUGCGCGAGGCUUCGUUGACCUAUUGCGCGCCUUGCAAGCCCGCGUCCGCUUGAAUCAAUCCAAAUGCUUUGUCGGGGUCCUGCGGUGUCGCGCCAACCUAUGGAGCAGCCAUACUAUUUUCGCUGUGAUUUUCGAGGUAGUCAUUCUCGAUUUUGCUUACCGAGCCGGACAUUAACCUGAAAUCAAAAGAUCUUGGGCAAAAAAAAAGUGUGAAAGAUAAUGUGCGUUUGUGUGACGAAACCAGCAAGAAAAUAAUCACUAUUAUUUUUAGCCCCACGGUAAGUGCCAAACUGUUUACUAUGAAAAUGGUAACAACAAUUAAAUUAGUAAAUGGGACUCUAAAAAUACGUGAUCUAUUCCUGAGCUAGUUAUUCGAGCAGUCCAUGCUAAGAUCAUGAAGUAUAAUGAUGAAAUGCAAGCUAAAACGAGACAGUAAUCAAAUCGAAGGGGCCUAUUGCCCGAAUGCCAAGCCGGUCGACAGGGACCUCGGGGCCAAGGUUCGAGCCAAGAUCGAGCUAUCGAGGGCACUCGAGGAUGGGAUAGCAGGCAGAGAUAUGAUCGAGCAAGGCGCUAUGUUACCAAUAUUGAGCAAAGUAGUGAAGAACAAAUAAGAGAAUGAUAAAUGCUAAAACGGCAUCGGGCCAGUGAGAAGGAACAACUUAGAUGAAAAGGGAGAGAGAGAGAGAGAUAGAGAUAUUAUUGCAUUUGUGGAGAAAUGGAGCAACAUUAGCCCUUUACAAAAUGGUAUGGGUUCCCCUUAUAUAGGCGAGGGAAGACAGUAUGGUACAGAGUGCAUUAAAUGUAAUGAUACGGGGAUGGGACGGCUAGACAAGACACCAGAGCCUAUUUAUUCUAGCUGCUUUCCUCGGGAGUCCCCCGUCUUCAUAACCUUUGCUGGGCCAUAGACAGAUCCUUUAACCUCGGAGCCACUGCAGGGCCGCGAAUGACCCUCGAGAUAGGGAGCCAGAUCAUGAUCCCACAACCUCGAGAUGCUGUCAUGACAUUCCGAAUAUAUCUUAAUGGCGGGAAAUGGAUUCCCUGAUUUCACCGCAUACAAAAGUUUCAUUCUAGCACUUUUAUAUAAUUCCAAUGAUGAAAGAAACACAUAGAAUCAUAAUCAUUUCUUAGAUCAACCAUUCAUGAAGCUCCCUCUCCUUUGGCAAGAACCAUAGUAAAUUUCAAAGCCAAAUCCUGACAUUAUCCUUCCAACAUGCAGAAAUCGAAUCUGAUAGUAUUCAUCCUAAAUCUCAAUGACCUCAUCUCAUCUAACACGACUACUCUGGUGACAUGACAUAUUGAUCCAAUCUAGAUCCAUAACCCGUGCGACCCGCGCACCAAUAAGCAACAGUCCAAAUGUACUCAAAUCAUGAAAAAGUGACUCCACGGAGAAAGCUGUACCACAAGCACAUCAGUACCACCACAACACAAUACUGAGAACCCAUCACACAUUGUAGAACCAAAACACACGAAUCUAACCUAAAGGAUCAUACCUCUACAUAACCUCGCUACAAUGCGCGGCCUUAUCCGAACACCGGUCCACAUGAAACACCUCGAGUCACUAUGCUCAAAAUCAACAACCACGCACAAUUUACUAUCUAUAACCAAAAGCAAAUCAUCAUAACUAUGGCGAAGCAAAUGACAUAACACCACACAAACUCCAAAUGACACAACUAAUACGCCAUCCACCGAACAAUACUCAAUUCUCUUCCCGCUCGUAUUCCAGUAUACGACCCCAAUAGAACCACACCAUAUGUGCCUAUAACCAAAAACUCAUAACGCCCGCAACACGGAAAGGUAAUCAUAGAAAUGCUAAUAAUCUCAAUAACAAUCGAAUCAACACAUCCCUCAAUAAUAGCAACUCGGAGUCAACAAAGUCGACUCGAUGCAGAACACACAUCCAUAUUGGCGUACCAAUGAACCCCUUAUCAAGGAGUUCCUGAAGUUGCUCCUCCAACUCCUUUGACUCUGCCGGUGCCAUACCAUACGGUGCCCGGCACCAAAUCAAUGACAAAAUCAACAAACCUGUCAGGCGGCAUGCCCGACAGCAGGAACACAUCCGGAAAAAUCUCUCACCACCGGAACCGAAUCAAUGGUAGGAGUCUCUGCACUGACAUCCCUCACAAAGACCAAAUAAGAAAGACAACCUAUUCCCAACCAUCAUCUGGGCCUUCAAAAAUGAAAACACUCUACUGGGAACAUAAUCCGUCGAAUCUCGCCACACAAUCAGUGGUAUUCCCGGCAUAGCCAACGUCGCCGACUUAGCGCAACAAUCCAGAAUAACACGACAUAGAGACAACCAGUCCAUACCCAAGAUGACAUCAAAAUUGAACAUGCUAAGCAACAAAGGAUCCACCUGGGUGUCCAAACCCCCGAUAGUCGCCACAUAAGAACGAUAUACGUGGUCCAUAACCACAACAUAACCCGUUUAUGAGAACUCCCAGUCCCCAAAUCCAUAGAGCGUACAAAUAACUAUAUCUGAUCCCAACUCCACCGCUCGAAUAUAUAACACACCUCUAAUAUCCAAUCUUUUUAUCAGGGAUACUCCUAAAAUUCUUUUAUCCUACCAAGCAAACUCAAAUAUCAUUAGUCGAUCAAACAAGAGAUUUCCACAAUAUCAGUGAUGUAUUAUUAACUCAAUCACAUUGACUUUCUAAAAUGCAUGCCCUAAUAAAGCCAUACAAAUUAGCAACAUCAUUUUCCUAAUAAUCUGAAACUGCCUACUGCCUAAGAAUUUAUGCCUUCCUCUCAUAACUGAAUGGUGACCUUUCACAUGCCAAUCUCAACCCUACAUAACAUAGCGCAUAUACCAUGAUAUCCUAUGACAAAUAUGUGAACUUCACAAUCCCUUCCGAGCCACAAGCAACUACGUACUUCACUAGCCAAGAACUUUCCCAUUUGAUCCAAUUUAGAAGAAAAAUGCUAUACAUCACUUGCUCUUCAAGCCGGUAGAAAAUAUGCAUCUAUAACCAUGAUAGAAACCAUUACGAACUCUCCGAAUUCCACUUCCACAAAACUAAACCGUCCAAGCUGAAUCCUCUAACUCAACCAAGCUACACAGACCAUCAAAACCUAAGAGCUUUACCAUGAAACACCUGUAGAAACGUAUUACCUCAUAAGUACCCAAAGAACUAAUCAUAUCCGUUACCACGCCGAUCCGGUCUACUACCAAGCUAUCCUAUUCAUCCAAGUUACUUCUAAAUUUCCUUCAAAUUGAUAUUUUCCAUUGACAUAAUACCGCAAUUCUUAACCCGAACUCACCACACGAGACUCAAGCAUCAAAAUCGCACCGUCUAAGGCUCAUAAGCCGCUGAAGACUCUCUUAAAUAUUCCCAAAUGUACCAUAAUCAAAUACUUAUCCUGAAGAGACUUCCUGCGAAUCUAAAGCCAUUACCUUCACCUUCCUAAUACUGAUAUGUAGAAUCCAUAAUGAUAUAAAAAUGUGACAAGUCUUGACACCCUCCAAUGUAAACCUCAGUUUCUGGCCAAAUACGCCUCUUGAAAAUCUCCAGUUAUUACAUAUAAGUCUUGAAUCCAUUAAAACCUUCUUGAGAGUCAUCCACUCUACUCAUGUUUCAAUUACGCUGAUCAAACGACAUGAACAACUUGUGCCGCAUCAGCAAUACCUAAAGAAGUAACCGAUCCUUCUAAGCAACCGAGUGAUUUCCUACUCAAUACCCGUUACAUCCCCUACAAUAACAACUAAUUCAUCCAACGUUUCUCAUAUACCCACAAAGCAUAACACAACCCUUAUCCAAAUUUCCCUUUACUCAAGCCAUCCUCGAUCUCAAACCCUACAAGCCACAACUGAUUCACUAGUAUACCUCAAACUAAAACUGAUGCAAAACAUAACAGUGCAAUCAACUAAACAAUAGUAGACUCCCCCACUUUGCUCAAAGCCAUAGACCAAAACACGCAAAAACUCAUAAUGCCCAUACUCUAUUUCUGUCAUAAUACCGUAGUGAGGUUUAACUAAACCCUUCAUAAGAUAGUGCACCACAAACCAUCUAGUACUUCAAAUCAUCUGCAAAUGUCACAUUCACCCUCGUUACAGUCAAGACAACUCGCAUAUGCGAUCCAAACUCCAACCGCAACACAUAUAAUUUACUAGUUAAAGAGGACUUUAAACAAACAACAUAGGGUUCACACUACAUGAGAACACUCCGCAGGAGAUAACCCACCUGCUCCACCUAAAACUAACUUCUCUUUAUACCCUUUCCACUGCAUAAUCAUCACGCAAUCACCAAAUCCUCCUGAAUCUGAACUUAAAUCGCGACAUACAAUCCACCUCACUCUCUAACUAGCAACAUGAAAAGAUCCUUCAUGAUACCCUAACUCAGGCUAUACAUCAAAUCACGAGGGAAGUCAAGCAUUAAAUAAUUCCUUUUACCCUCAAGCAUACCCAUUCUCGUCACGUUCAAAUCAUAUGAACACAUCUCGCAGUCACAUCAUCCUCAUCACAUAGCCAUCCGGACAUUACUUCUACUAAUAGGGACACUACCGAACAUAUAAUUCUAGAAGUACGUGCCCACACAAUCAACGCCUCAGUGCUCAAGAUAUCGGCAAAAUCCAUCCUCAAGUCCUCCAAACUGGCCCAACAUCAACACGUAGAAAUCACAUCUCGCCUUCGAUCAGGGAAUCACAAGCCACCGAUGCACAACUGAUACCGAGCGCUCAUGCGCGCAUACGAAUGCGUGAAAGGAAUUUAAAGAGUUACAUUUUAAGGUGAAUCAAUGUUGCACGAUAAGAAUUCAAAAAUGUGGGAUUUCCUAAAGCUUCUGCAGCCUUUCGAAGAUAAGUACAGACAUCUCCGUAUCGAUCCACGAGAAUUUACCAUACCUGCUCAUGACACGUCAGACCUAUGUAACCUAGACUCUAAUACAAACUUGUCAUGAUACAGAACUAACCCUGUCAUAAUGGCUCCUAAAGUGAAACAAGGCCAGCCUCAACUCAACAAUCAACCUGAUAAUAAUAAGUUUGAAAACAUUUACGGGAGCUUUUAACAUUUAAAGAACUAUUUGAAACAUAAGAAAUUCCAAGAAUAAAUACAAUCCAGCCCAAAACUGGGGUGUCACUGAGUGCAUGAGCAUCUAAGGAAAAAUACAUAGUAUUAUAUAAUAUCUAAGAAAACAACUCAAAUACAACUAGAAUGUAAGGGGGAGAGCCAAGGCCUGCGAACGCCAUGCAGGUAUCUCAAAAAUCUUCUAAGUUAAAAGCCUCGAUCAAACAUCCGCCACUAGAUCCAAAGUGCCUGAAUUUGCACAUGACGUGUAGGGGGUAAUGUGAGUACACCAACUUAGUAUGCAACAAGUUCAACCUUUGGACUGAUAGGUAGUGACGAACUCAACCUCCUCAAGGAUAACAUAAAUAAUGUACAAAAACUUAGGCAUGAUUUCAAUUAAAUAGAUAGCUCGAACAGUAAAAUAGAGCAUGUAUGAACAAGGUAAAUGAGUGUAAUUCUGCUACGUCUACAUGUCAAUGCACAUGCUGUAUAAAAUGCACCAUAUUGAGUGCCUCAUGUGCCCACAGCCUCAAAUGGUCAUCCACUUAGUACUGUAUAUGGCUCAUACGACCUAGGGAAGAUCUAUCCCAGAAUAUAUACAACUCUGACAGCAAUCACUUAGUACUGAGGAAGGCCGCUCCAGCCUACAGAGAAGAUCCAUCUCAAGAUAAUAUCAAUAGCAAACUCACAACCACUUGGUACUGUAUAUGGCUAUCAAGGCCCAGGGAAGAUCCAUCCCGGCAUAUAUACAUAUCAGCGACAACAGUCAUCCAGUACCGAGGAAGGCCAUUCCAGCCUAUGGAGAAGAUCUAUCUCCAUAUAUAAACACUUUGGACAAGAUCCAUAUCCAGGGGAGAUCCAUCCCUCAAUAUCAUCAACUGCUCUCACUGGGGCGGUGUAAAGACUCUGGAAGGGCUUCUCUUAGCUAAAACGCUAUAUCAAUACUAGCAAAGGCAUGAUCAAUAUCUCACUGUGGCAUCGAGCCCAAUCCCACAUUGUCAAUCAAUAUCAGGCUCUCAGCCUCACUCAAUAAAUACUCUUUAUUCUCACACACACGGGCUCAAAAUGACAUGAUACUAUCCCGAACAAUGAUAUGAUAUGUCAAAUAGCAAUAAUCAAGGCUAAGGCAUGAUAUAAUAUGCAUGAACAAGACUGAGUAUAGAAUAUAAAUUAAGCUAAUGACAUGACAACAAGAAAAUGACCUCUCGGGACUGAACAUUGUUGGCGUGAAGCCUUAACAUGAUAAUUAACAUGAUUUGUAGCUCAUUAACAUAAUUACAUAAUUACAACACAGAUAUGAGAAUAAAAGAGUCACUAAGCGAUGCAAUGGAAUGAUCCAGGCCGUAUCUCUCACGGUGCAUGCCCAUACGCCCGUUACUUGGCAUUGGCGUCACCUCAAUAGUACUCGUAGAACACGCAGUAUGGGGUUUCAAACCCUUAGAACCAAGUUUGGAAGUGUUAUUUACCUUAAGACAAGCCAAACUCUAGUCCGCGAUACCCUUGACUCACGAUUUGGCCUCCAAAUGCCCUGAAUCUAACCAAAAUCAGAACCAUAACAUCAAUAUAUGCAAAGGGAACAAAUCCCACACGAAAAUAAUCAAAUUAUAUCACAAGUCCCGAAAUUGGUAAAACCCGACCCCUGGGCCCACGCCUCGGAUUCCGAUAAAAAUCACAUCACUAAAAUCCUUUUCCUCCCAUGAGUCUAUACAUACCAAGAACAUUAAAAUCGAACCUUAAAUGGCCCCUCAAAUCACCACUCAAAGCACUCCAAAACUCAAGCCUUAAUCCUCCAUUUUUGGGCUUUAAAUCCCACUAAUUUCUUGAUUAAACAAUGGAAAAACUCAUCAUAAAUUCUAAUAAUAAAGACCAAGUAACUUACCCCACUGAAAAUCCUUGAUUCCCCUUGAAAAUCACGGUCCAAAGCUCAAAUCCCGGCCAAAAAUGGUGAAGAAUGAAAAAAAUUUGCGAAGAAGCCUUUAUAUGCACUCUUCCGAGCACUUCUGCAUAUGCGGUCCCUAUAAUGCAUCUGCGGGGCAGCACCUACGCAAAAUCCUCCGCUUCUGUGGAAUUUCACUAAAAGACAUUUCCGCUUCUACGGUUGCCUGACCGCUUCUACGGUCAUCGCAGAUGCGAGGACCAAACCGCACCUGCACUACAUAACCACUUCCGUCUACCUCGCACCUGCGGUCCCCAAUCCACAGGUGCAGAAAUAAUAGGAACAACAAAAUCUUCAGCACAACUCAAAUUCCAAACAUUCUGAUAACCAUCUGAAAUCAUCCCGAGGACCUUGGGGACCUCAUCCAAAAAUAUGAACAAGUCACAUAUAACUAGUCAAACUUAUUCCAACCUUCGAAACACUCAAAACAACAUCGAAACAGCAAAUCAUCCUCGGAUUCAAACUUAAGAACUUAGAAUCUUUCAAAUUCGAUCAACGAUGCCGAAACCUAUCAAAUCACCUCCGAAUGACCUAAUAUUUUGCACACACGUCAAAAAUAACACUAUGAACCUACUCCAAUUUCCGGAGCUCCAUUCCGCCAUCUAUAUUAAGAUUUCCACUACCGACCAGAAAACGUCAAAUUUCCAUUUUUGCCAAUUCAUACCUAAAUCAAUCACGGACCUCCAAACCACAUUCUGAACAUGCACUUAAGCCCAAAAUACCCUAACGAAGCUAUCCGAACCAUCAGAAUACACAUCUGAGACCUCCUACACAUAAGUCAACAUCCGAUUGAUAUUUCCAACUUAAGCUUACUCAAAAGAGACUAAGUGUCUCAUACCUCUCCAAAACCUCUCCGAACCCAAACCAACCAACCUGCUACCACAUAAUACAGCUGAACAAGAUAUAAAGAAGCAGAAAUGGGGUAAAUGGGGUUGAAAUCCAUAAAACAUCAAAUAUAGAAGAAUAUCAAAAAACUAAAGAUAUUAAAUACUUAGAAUACACAUUUGAAAAUAUAAAAGAAAUUUCAGGGUUAUUUCGUUAGCUGCAGAUAAUCAUGAAAAAGCAUUUAAUUCCACAACUACUUAAAAUAGAUCCUAUGAAAAAUUUGAUGAACUCAAGUAAACCCCAAAAAUUUGAUGAACUCAAGUAAACCCCCCUAAAACAGAUGUAUGCAAACAAACUAAAAGAAAAGGAAAAACGUAANNNNNNNNNNNNNNNNNNNNNNNNNNNNNNNNNNNNNNNNNNNNNNNNNNNNNNNNNNNNNNNNNNNNNNNNNNNNNNNNNNNNNNNNNNNNNNNNNNNNNNNNNNNNNNNNNNNNNNNNNNNNNNNNNNNNNNNNNNNNNNNNNNNNNNNNNNNNNNNNNNNNNNNNNNNNNNNNNNNNNNNNNNNNNNNNNNNNNNNNNNNNNNNNNNNNNNNNNNNNNNNNNNNNNNNNNNNNNNNNNNNNNNNNNNNNNNNNNNNNNNNNNNNNNNNNNNNNNNNNNNNNNNNNNNNNNNNNNNNNNNNNNNNNNNNNNNNNNNNNNNNNNNNNNNNNNNNNNNNNNNNNNNNNNNNNNNNNNNNNNNNNNNNNNNNNNNNNNNNNNNNNNNNNNNNNNNNNNNNNNNNNNNNNNNNNNNNNNNNNNNNNNNNNNNNNNNNNNNNNNNNNNNNNNNNNNNNNNNNNNNNNNNNNNNNNNNNNNNNNNNNNNNNNNNNNNNNNNNNNNNNNNNNNNNNNNNNNNNNNNNNNNNNNNNNNNNNNNNNNNNNNNNNNNNNNNNNNNNNNNNNNNNNNNNNNNNNNNNNNNNNNNNNNNNNNNNNNNNNNNNNNNNNNNNNNNNNNNNNNNNNNNNNNNNNNNNNNNNNNNNNNNNNNNNNNNNNNNNNNNNNNNNNNNNNNNNNNNNNNNNNNNNNNNNNNNNNNNNNNNNNNNNNNNNNNNNNNNNNNNNNNNNNNNNNNNNNNNNNNNNNNNNNNNNNNNNNNNNNNNNNNNNNNNNNNNNNNNNNNNNNNNNNNNNNNNNNNNNNNNNNNNNNNNNNNNNNNNNNNNNNNNNNNNNNNNNNNNNNNNNNNNNNNNNNNNNNNNNNNNNNNNNNNNNNNNNNNNNNNNNNNNNNNNNNNNNNNNNNNNNNNNNNNNNNNNNNNNNNNNNNNNNNNNNNNNNNNNNNNNNNNNNNNNNNNNNNNNNNNNNNNNNNNNNNNNNNNNNNNNNNNNNNNNNNNNNNNNNNNNNNNNNNNNNNNNNNNNNNNNNNNNNNNNNNNNNNNNNNNNNNNNNNNNNNNNNNNNNNNNNNNNNNNNNNNNNNNNNNNNNNNNNNNNNNNNNNNNNNNNNNNNNNNNNNNNNNNNNNNNNNNNNNNNNNNNNNNNNNNNNNNNNNNNNNNNNNNNNNNNNNNNNNNNNNNNNNNNNNNNNNNNNNNNNNNNNNNNNNNNNNNNNNNNNNNNNNNNNNNNNNNNNNNNNNNNNNNNNNNNNNNNNNNNNNNNNNNNNNNNNNNNNNNNNNNNNNNNNNNNNNNNNNNNNNNNNNNNNNNNNNNNNNNNNNNNNNNNNNNNNNNNNNNNNNNNNNNNNNNNNNNNNNNNNNNNNNNNNNNNNNNNNNNNNNNNNNNNNNNNNNNNNNNNNNNNNNNNNNNNNNNNNNNNNNNNNNNNNNNNNNNNNNNNNNNNNNNNNNNNNNNNNNNNNNNNNNNNNNNNNNNNNNNNNNNNNNNNNNNNNNNNNNNNNNNNNNNNNNNNNNNNNNNNNNNNNNNNNNNNNNNNNNNNNNNNNNNNNNNNNNNNNNNNNNNNNNNNNNNNNNNNNNNNNNNNNNNNNNNNNNNNNNNNNNNNNNNNNNNNNNNNNNNNNNNNNNNNNNNNNNNNNNNNNNNNNNNNNNNNNNNNNNNNNNNNNNNNNNNNNNNNNNNNNNNNNNNNNNNNNNNNNNNNNNNNNNNNNNNNNNNNNNNNNNNNNNNNNNNNNNNNNNNNNNNNNNNNNNNNNNNNNNNNNNNNNNNNNNNNNNNNNNNNNNNNNNNNNNNNNNNNNNNNNNNNNNNNNNNNNNNNNNNNNNNNNNNNNNNNNNNNNNNNNNNNNNNNNNNNNNNNNNNNNNNNNNNNNNNNNNNNNNNNNNNNNNNNNNNNNNNNNNNNNNNNNNNNNNNNNNNNNNNNNNNNNNNNNNNNNNNNNNNNNNNNNNNNNNNNNNNNNNNNNNNNNNNNNNNNNNNNNNNNNNNNNNNNNNNNNNNNNNNNNNNNNNNNNNNNNNNNNNNNNNNNNNNNNNNNNNNNNNNNNNNNNNNNNNNNNNNNNNNNNNNNNNNNNNNNNNNNNNNNNNNNNNNNNNNNNNNNNNNNNNNNNNNNNNNNNNNNNNNNNNNNNNNNNNNNNNNNNNNNNNNNNNNNNNNNNNNNNNNNNNNNNNNNNNNNNNNNNNNNNNNNNNNNNNNNNNNNNNNNNNNNNNNNNNNNNNNNNNNNNNNNNNNNNNNNNNNNNNNNNNNNNNNNNNNNNNNNNNNNNNNNNNNNNNNNNNNNNNNNNNNNNNNNNNNNNNNNNNNNNNNNNNNNNNNNNNNNNNNNNNNNNNNNNNNNNNNNNNNNNNNNNNNNNNNNNNNNNNNNNNNNNNNNNNNNNNNNNNNNNNNNNNNNNNNNNNNNNNNNNNNNNNNNNNNNNNNNNNNNNNNNNNNNNNNNNNNNNNNNNNNNNNNNNNNNNNNNNNNNNNNNNNNNNNNNNNNNNNNNNNNNNNNNNNNNNNNNNNNNNNNNNNNNNNNNNNNNNNNNNNNNNNNNNNNNNNNNNNNNNNNNNNNNNNNNNNNNNNNNNNNNNNNNNNNNNNNNNNNNNNNNNNNNNNNNNNNNNNNNNNNNNNNNNNNNNNNNNNNNNNNNNNNNNNNNNNNNNNNNNNNNNNNNNNNNNNNNNNNNNNNNNNNNNNNNNNNNNNNNNNNNNNNNNNNNNNNNNNNNNNNNNNNNNNNNNNNNNNNNNNNNNNNNNNNNNNNNNNNNNNNNNNNNNNNNNNNNNNNNNNNNNNNNNNNNNNNNNNNNNNNNNNNNNNNNNNNNNNNNNNNNNNNNNNNNNNNNNNNNNNNNNNNNNNNNNNNNNNNNNNNNNNNNNNNNNNNNNNNNNNNNNNNNNNNNNNNNNNNNNNNNNNNNNNNNNNNNNNNNNNNNNNNNNNNNNNNNNNNNNNNNNNNNNNNNNNNNNNNNNNNNNNNNNNNNNNNNNNNNNNNNNNNNNNNNNNNNNNNNNNNNNNNNNNNNNNNNNNNNNNNNNNNNNNNNNNNNNNNNNNNNNNNNNNNNNNNNNNNNNNNNNNNNNNNNNNNNNNNNNNNNNNNNNNNNNNNNNNNNNNNNNNNNNNNNNNNNNNNNNNNNNNNNNNNNNNNNNNNNNNNNNNNNNNNNNNNNNNNNNNNNNNNNNNNNNNNNNNNNNNNNNNNNNNNNNNNNNNNNNNNNNNNNNNNNNNNNNNNNNNNNNNNNNNNNNNNNNNNNNNNNNNNNNNNNNNNNNNNNNNNNNNNNNNNNNNNNNNNNNNNNNNNNNNNNNNNNNNNNNNNNNNNNNNNNNNNNNNNNNNNNNNNNNNNNNNNNNNNNNNNNNNNNNNNNNNNNNNNNNNNNNNNNNNNNNNNNNNNNNNNNNNNNNNNNNNNNNNNNNNNNNNNNNNNNNNNNNNNNNNNNNNNNNNNNNNNNNNNNNNNNNNNNNNNNNNNNNNNNNNNNNNNNNNNNNNNNNNNNNNNNNNNNNNNNNNNNNNNNNNNNNNNNNNNNNNNNNNNNNNNNNNNNNNNNNNNNNNNNNNNNNNNNNNNNNNNNNNNNNNNNNNNNNNNNNNNNNNNNNNNNNNNNNNNNNNNNNNNNNNNNNNNNNNNNNNNNNNNNNNNNNNNNNNNNNNNNNNNNNNNNNNNNNNNNNNNNNNNNNNNNNNNNNNNNNNNNNNNNNNNNNNNNNNNNNNNNNNNNNNNNNNNNNNNNNNNNNNNNNNNNNNNNNNNNNNNNNNNNNNNNNNNNNNNNNNNNNNNNNNNNNNNNNNNNNNNNNNNNNNNNNNNNNNNNNNNNNNNNNNNNNNNNNNNNNNNNNNNNNNNNNNNNNNNNNNNNNNNNNNNNNNNNNNNNNNNNNNNNNNNNNNNNNNNNNNNNNNNNNNNNNNNNNNNNNNNNNNNNNNNNNNNNNNNNNNNNNNNNNNNNNNNNNNNNNNNNNNNNNNNNNNNNNNNNNNNNNNNNNNNNNNNNNNNNNNNNNNNNNNNNNNNNNNNNNNNNNNNNNNNNNNNNNNNNNNNNNNNNNNNNNNNNNNNNNNNNNNNNNNNNNNNNNNNNNNNNNNNNNNNNNNNNNNNNNNNNNNNNNNNNNNNNNNNNNNNNNNNNNNNNNNNNNNNNNNNNNNNNNNNNNNNNNNNNNNNNNNNNNNNNNNNNNNNNNNNNNNNNNNNNNNNNNNNNNNNNNNNNNNNNNNNNNNNNNNNNNNNNNNNNNNNNNNNNNNNNNNNNNNNNNNNNNNNNNNNNNNNNNNNNNNNNNNNNNNNNNNNNNNNNNNNNNNNNNNNNNNNNNNNNNNNNNNNNNNNNNNNNNNNNNNNNNNNNNNNNNNNNNNNNNNNNNNNNNNNNNNNNNNNNNNNNNNNNNNNNNNNNNNNNNNNNNNNNNNNNNNNNNNNNNNNNNNNNNNNNNNNNNNNNNNNNNNNNNNNNNNNNNNNNNNNNNNNNNNNNNNNNNNNNNNNNNNNNNNNNNNNNNNNNNNNNNNNNNNNNNNNNNNNNNNNNNNNNNNNNNNNNNNNNNNNNNNNNNNNNNNNNNNNNNNNNNNNNNNNNNNNNNNNNNNNNNNNNNNNNNNNNNNNNNNNNNNNNNNNNNNNNNNNNNNNNNNNNNNNNNNNNNNNNNNNNNNNNNNNNNNNNNNNNNNNNNNNNNNNNNNNNNNNNNNNNNNNNNNNNNNNNNNNNNNNNNNNNNNNNNNNNNNNNNNNNNNNNNNNNNNNNNNNNNNNNNNNNNNNNNNNNNNNNNNNNNNNNNNNNNNNNNNNNNNNNNNNNNNNNNNNNNNNNNNNNNNNNNNNNNNNNNNNNNNNNNNNNNNNNNNNNNNNNNNNNNNNNNNNNNNNNNNNNNNNNNNNNNNNNNNNNNNNNNNNNNNNNNNNNNNNNNNNNNNNNNNNNNNNNNNNNNNNNNNNNNNNNNNNNNNNNNNNNNNNNNNNNNNNNNNNNNNNNNNNNNNNNNNNNNNNNNNNNNNNNNNNNNNNNNNNNNNNNNNNNNNNNNNNNNNNNNNNNNNNNNNNNNNNNNNNNNNNNNNNNNNNNNNNNNNNNNNNNNNNNNNNNNNNNNNNNNNNNNNNNNNNNNNNNNNNNNNNNNNNNNNNNNNNNNNNNNNNNNNNNNNNNNNNNNNNNNNNNNNNNNNNNNNNNNNNNNNNNNNNNNNNNNNNNNNNNNNNNNNNNNNNNNNNNNNNNNNNNNNNNNNNNNNNNNNNNNNNNNNNNNNNNNNNNNNNNNNNNNNNNNNNNNNNNNNNNNNNNNNNNNNNNNNNNNNNNNNNNNNNNNNNNNNNNNNNNNNNNNNNNNNNNNNNNNNNNNNNNNNNNNNNNNNNNNNNNNNNNNNNNNNNNNNNNNNNNNNNNNNNNNNNNNNNNNNNNNNNNNNNNNNNNNNNNNNNNNNNNNNNNNNNNNNNNNNNNNNNNNNNNNNNNNNNNNNNNNNNNNNNNNNNNNNNNNNNNNNNNNNNNNNNNNNNNNNNNUUGAUAGUUACGAAUAUUUUAAGUACUGGUUAGAAAAUCUAAAACAUAUAAAUAUGUCAAAAAUAAUAUUAGAAAAAAAUAUAGAAGAAUAUCAAAAAACUAAAGAUAUUAAAUACUUAGAAUACACAUUUGAAAAUAUAAAAGAAAUUUCAGGGUUAAUUUCGUUAGCUGCAGAUAAUCAUGAAAAAGCAUUUAAUUCCACAACUACUUAAAAUAGAUCCUAUGAAAAAUUUGAUGAACUCAAGUAAACCCCAAAAAUUUGAUGAACUCAAGUAAACCCCCCCAAAAUGCCCAUGGAUAUCUGAAACACCGUGCGAAGUCAGAAGUGCAAGCUGAACUGGCGAACCCAUAAAACCUCUACCACAACGUACCCUACCUCCAAAAUAUGGACUAGUAGAUCCUCCUGGUCCACGAGGCCUCUUAGCCUCCGUGUCCUCUCUCUCUCCUGACCCCGCAUACCAUCUAAUCUGCGAGCAAUCUCUACCACCUACUAAAACGGAAAAUACGUCUCCAAAUUCUAAGCAAUGGUGAAUAAGAUACCUUAAUUAGGCCCCUCAAUGAAAGUGUAGACUCUCUCUCCAACUGUAGAAACCAAAGCAGGUGCACAUCUGUCAAAUCAGUAAAUCUAACAACAUACUCUGACACUGACAUUGUAUCCUGACGCAGCUACUCAAACUUUGUGCACCAUGCGUCCCGUAGGGUCUGGGGAACAAACUCUCUCAAGAACAUCUCUAAAAAUUGAGUCCAUAAAAGUGAUGCUACGUUGGCUGGGGUACCCUCCUCUUAAACCCACCACCACUGAUACACUUUUCCUGGCAGAUGGAACGUAGUAAAAGCAACCCCACUCGUCUCCAUAAUACCCAUGGUGCAAAGAAUACGGUGGCACUCCUCUAGAAAACCAUGUGCAUCCUCUAAAGCCAAACUACUAAAAGUAGGAGGGUGAUACUUCUUGAACCUCACAAGUCAAAGUUGUUUCUCCUCAGAUGUUGUUGCCUUAACUGAGGGCUGAAUCAAAACAACAAGUUGUGCUAGCAUGACACCUAGAACCUAUCCAACGUGGACUUAUUGAUUUAGAGUAGGGGCGACGGGAGUCUAAGAUCCUCCCCCAGUCCGUGAAGUAGCUGGUGCAACCAGAAUCAAUCUCUCCUGAGCCAAUGUACCAAACAUGCUCAAGAACUGUGCUAAAGUCUAGUAGGUGCUCUAGCUGUAAAACGGGCACGACCUCUGCCUAUGCCUUUUCACCGGACCCUAGCAACACCUGCUCCAGUGGCAUCCGCCAGUAAAUGCAACUCGUAUUAUCACCAUCUAUGGGAGAAUAAAAUGGCAAAAUCUCAAACUCGUACGAUAGGAAUGAAAGAAGUGAAGUUUCCCUAAUAAAUCUGUAGCCUCUCGAAGAUAAGUACGACGUCUCCAUACCGAUCUGCAAGACUCUACUAAACACGCUUAUGACUCAUAGAACCUAUGAACCUAGAGCUAUACCGAUCUGCAAGACUCUACUAAACUCACUUAUGACUCAUAGCACCUAUGAUCAUAGAGCUAUGAUACCAACUUGGCACGACCUAAAUUUCCUUCUUUUGGAUGUCGUGAUGGCACCCAGUCUCUAAGAUUAGGUAUGCCUAACACUUACUUUAAUGAUAGAAUUUAACCAAAACAUCUAUUAAACAUGAAACAGAUAAUUCUAUAAUAAGCCAACAAUCCCAGCAUGAUACAAUAUCCCAAAAUCGACAAUACAAGUUAUAAGUCUACUGAGUUCACUAGAAAUGUUUUAGGUACAACUGUUUCGGAAUAGAAAUAAAAUGUGCAAGAACAAUAUUAGAAGGUGGCUCUGAAGCCUGCAAAUGCGACGACAGGUAUACCUUGAGCCACCACAUCAAUGCACGAUCAGCUAGCUAACAAUCAACUAAUUCUGAAGUACCUGGAUCUGCACAAAAAUAUGUAGAAGAGUAGCAAUACCACAUCGGUACUAGUAAGUAUCAAGACUAACUUUUGUGGAGUAGUAACGAGGGACAGUCAAAACACAUACUAGAUGUAAUAACCUGUACAACUAUGGAUAUGAAACUACCAGAGAAUACUACAAAUCUAAACAUAGAAAGGAUAAUGUUAUGAUACUCGCGUUAAGAAUUGGAACAACAAUUAACAACAAGGAAAAACAAAUAAUAAUGCCAUAAAGUGAGCUGAAUACGGUAACAAUCUGGUGAAACAAAGUAAGGAGAAACAUGUAACAACCAAAUAACAACCGUUUCCCCUCAAGAUUUAUAUAAGUAUUUUCCCGAGGUGCUACACCUCAUAACCAUAAUUUGCGGGUCCCAAUUCACGGACCGUAAUUACUUGGUGAUACGCUCAAAUUACACUAUAAAUAAAUAGUGUAAGGCGGUCGGUGUCACAUAUAAUAACCCAACAAGGUUGGGGUCGAAUCUCACAGGGAAUAGGUGUGAAAAGGUUACUCGAUUAGUGUAUCACUUGACAUAAGUCGUAAUUCUAUCCGGUUAACUGUAACAAGAGUAUGGUAUGAUAGUGAGUUGAAGAAAUAACUAAUUGUGAUAUUGAGAAUGUAAUUAAUUUUAUUAAAGAAACCAAGGUUGUGUCCCCUUCAAUGAAGUGUAAUGCUAUCGGUGUUAAUAUGAUAUAUUUCUAAUGGAAGGUUCUUUUGAUAUGCAAAUUAUUUCUAAAUGACUACCCAAUAUUUUGCAAUAGUUGAGUAGUAUUUCCUCUUUAUGAAUUUUCCAAAUAUAAAAGAGUUACAAUUAAGAACAAUCAAUAUGUGCCAAAUAAAACCUACUUAUUCCUAAGCGAUUCUAUUAAGCAAGGUUUAAAGCCUUGAGUCUUUGAUAUUUACUUCUACCAAAAUCUAACCCACUUUUCCAAGCAAAGAAAGAAUUUAAUGGCACUUGCUAAUGUUAGCAACCACCUACAAUAAAUGAAUAAUGAGAAGUAAAUAAAUAUCAACCAACCAUUAUACAUAUAUUCAAUGUUAAACACCCAUUAACAUAACACCCAUUUAGGGUCCACAACCUUAGUAUUUAGAGUUAGCUACACAUACUAGAAUACAAAAGGGUGAGAAUAUUGAAUGCCAUAAAUGUUAUAAAGUGCAAUAUUCUUCAUUCAAAAACUUCCAAAAUAGAGUAAUUAUAAAGCCUUGGAUUGUAGCUCCAAAAUCUGAUAAGGUCCCCCCCCCCCACAAAAUCCCAAUAAAUCUAUUUAUAGUGGGUCAAAACUUGGAACAAAUUUUUGACAAAAAUACCCUUUCCGGUUAAAUAUGCGACCGAAUAUCUAUCGCAUAAUAGAUAUGCGGUCCGCAUUCUUGGCAUAGCCAUCACAUCUUCAAACCCUAGUUUCCAGGCCUUCAUCGCAUUGAUGUUUUGCAGUUCGCAUUGCAGAUAUGCGAUCGCAUUUCGCAUCGCAUUUUCUACCUUCAGCAAUCUUUAUGUCGAGUUUGCGGUCCAUUAUGAGGCUCGCAAACAGGUUUUGAGAGCGCAUAUUGGACUGCAUUUCUUGCACUGGACUUUGCCCAAAAAUCUGUUGUGGUUUGUGAUUCCCUUCCGCAUUCUGCGACUCGCAUGUUGGAUUUGCGAUCGCACAUCCACAUUUGAGAUGCCUUUUUGUUCUUUUCUCGUCUUUUUGUGUCUUUUUUAUUUCAUUUCCAUGCUCUUAAAUCCUUAAACCUCAUACACUACAAAAACACUAAAAUUACAUAAGUAUAAAAGAUAAUUGAAUCUAAAACAAGCUAAAAUCUGAGCAAUUUGUAUCAAAUGUGCCAAAAUUCUCCCGCACAUCAACACCCCCAACUUAAACCCUUGCUUGUCCUCAAGCAACUAAGACAACACUAUCUUAUUCUAGACUCCAUUUAAAAGAUAUGAAACAAUAGUGACCGUGGACGGUGUUUGUUGUUAGUACUACAAGCAUGCAUUUUUGAUUGUUUUAUCCUUCCUGACACAUCAAUAUUUAUAAAGAAACUACUCAACUUGUGAAACUUUGAGCGUCGAACAAUGUGACAAAAUGUUACCCUCAACUGAGUGCAAUUGCAUUUGACUCAAAAACUCAACAAUUGUCCAACCUCAAAAUUCAUGUGCCCUCACUAGAAAGAAAGUCCCAAAAUCACAAAAUUUACAAUGACAACAAAAAGGGACGAAUUCACGAAUACACUCAGUCUCAAAAAGACUUUCAAGUGUUACAACAUACCAUACCAUAGGCAUGCCCUUAUUUUAAUUCAUCGCUUUAUUCUAAUAACAUUCGGAUAGAGAUCCCAUAAGGACUUUUUAAACUUCUAAUGUAGGUUUAGGGAAGGGUCGGAUAAGCAUUUCGGUACAAGUGACUACACCCUCCUUAAACACUACUCACAUUUUUCUUUCCUGUUGCUCUUUGCUUCUUUUCAAACCACAUAGCCCUCAUUAGCUUCAACUUUUCCACCAUUUAGCUACCUCAACUACCUCUUUUAUUCUCUUCAAGACUCUUUAUGUAUAUAUACUCACAACUCUUAUAUGUUUUUUCUUUUUUUUUUUAUUUUGCUUUUGGAGCUUGAGUAGUUUCACAUUUUGAGGUACACUUUCCUUCGCUCAUUGCACAACCUUGCCAAUUUCCGGCUUGACACCACACCCCCCAAUUUAGGCUUUCAGCCUCAUUCUCAAUUCUCAAGGAGGGACAAGUUCAAAAGAGGGAAUUAUUUCACAAAAAGGGAAAGGCUUGUAAUGAGGUAGACAAAGAAAAGAUUAAAUGCUCAAAUGGGGUGACUAGUGAUAUUAUCUGUACAAUGGGUGGCUUGAAAGGCUAAGUGGUUUUUCAAAAAUCACAAAGACUGCCUAAGGUCAUUUCUCCAACCAAAUGUAAUUAUUAUAAGCAUCGAAAAAACCAACCGGGCCAGUUCUAGAUGGCAGAAGUAAACACAAGAGUUAUUUACAUAAAGACUCCCACACAUGGCACACGAACUAUUUGGCUUACGUAGUUUGAAGUCGUCGAGUCAACACUAGGCAACUCAAAGCUUUCAUCAUAUAUACAGGUAUAACUCUAGGUAGAAAUAUAGUCACAGAGCGAGCCUCAAGUUCACACAGUUGAUAUCUCUUUUUUUUAAUUAAUGGAAGGGUAUAGGCUAUAUACAGACACACAUGCUUGAAACUAGACAAUUACACCAAAUUGGUCAACAUGCUUCAUUCUACUUUCCGGGUUCUACUAUUACACCCUUGGAAAAGAACCCGGCGAAGAAAAACCAAGGGAAAUUCAUUGCUAAUUACUAAAUAUAGACAACUAUCUGCUUGUUUUUCUUUUUCUAUACACAAGGAUAACAUAACUUAUGUAAUAAAACAACAAAACACAAUUAUAUAGAGAAUCACGAACCACAAAUAAAUACAGAAUUUUGCAAAUAUAGCACAAAAAAGGAAAAAAUAAACAUGUACAACAGUUGCCAAUUUCACAAAAAUAUAUACAAGGCUACAACCUAUAUACAAGUCUAACCACACCCCCAACUAAAAAGCAUGCAUUGUCCCCAAUGCAUAAGAAUGUAAAGUAGAGUUUAGGGGCUCCCUAAGGCGCAAUAAGAGCUAUGGGAGUCGGAAGCCGACUGAGUGAUGGUGGGGUCACCCCCUAAUGCUGAAGCUGGGACCGAUGAGAUCUCGGCAUAAGGAGUGACCUCUACUGAUGGAGGAGGGAUAUUUGGCUGAUCCAAUAUUGGAGUUGGGGACUGUGAGCUGCUAGCCUCGCCUGUUGAUGGCUGAGUGGUUGAUGGAUCUGAUGGGGCGACCAUAUCUGCUAGCGAAUGUACUAUUACCACCUGAAUGGCUACUUUCUCCUCAUCCUCAACAAUCGAGGCAACAAUCUGCUUUCCCUUCUCCUAAGGGCCAUCAUCCUCCUCGGACCAUGAAGCCUCCUUAUCCUCUCCCUCGUCUGCCUCCUUACCCUCAGACUCUGUAGAAUGUCUGAAAUCCUCCUCAGAAGGAAUCGUAAUACGUGCAGGAGGAGGUGGAGGCUGGGAAGCCCUAGCAGUCGGGGGUGCAAUAUCCCUCAUCAGAGUGGAGAAGUCAAGAUCCAAGCAUGGUGUUGUUGUGUCUGCUCUCUGCUCACCUUUAUUGGGCAGGAAGGAUGAUAGAUCGAACUCCAAAGCCUACAUCUUGUAGAGACAAGUCUUCAUAGUGGAAACUUCCUCCCGGAGCCUAGGCAAGCCACUAACCUUACCUAACUCUAUCUUCUCAACUCUUAACUCAAGCUGCUGUAGAUGAUCCCCGUAAGAUGUUUGUUGUUGUUGGAGUGCUGUCACUGAGGAUUGAAUAGGAGUCAAAGCCUGUAUGAUGAGGGUGGGCAAGUUCUUCAGAACCUGGUCUACCUUAGCAUUGGCAUGCUGAGCUAUGAGACCACGCCUUAAAAUGGCUGGGAGUGCAGCAGGAGGCUGAGCAAUGGUAGACUUAGAGGCGGGCGUUGAAGUAGAAGUGGAGGCAACUAGAGCUUGAGGGGACACAAGAGUCUGGGAAUCUGAGGGCUCUACAUCAACUUGACCAUCAGUCUGAACCUCUGGGGAGCAACAACAUCAUUAAUGCGCGUGAUAUCAAUAUCCUUCAGCGCCUUCCUUGUCUUGUCAGUGUGUGGCAUGGUAGGGAUUUUCACAGCCUUACAGAGGGCUAUGAUCAAACAGGGGAAUGGAAGCGAAGUGGCUAUCUUCUUUGCCUGAAUCCCUAACUCUCGGAAGAUAAGAACACCCACAUCAAUCUUGAUUCCCGCCAUAAUGCAUGCAAUGAGACGAGCUUUCUCAAUGCCUAUAUCAGUCUCAUUUCUUGACGGUAUUAGUCGAGAGGUGACAAAGUUAAGCCAAAAUCUACCCUCCAGUGUGAGAUCCUCGUUGUAUAUUUUGUGCAUUAGGUUGAACCAGGCAGGGGUCCCUUUUGCUAUCACAGAUGCUAUCCAAGUUCGUUCAUUCUCCCGAUUUGUGCAUCUGGCGGCAUAUUGAGUUGUGCCCAGGCUCCAAUCAGGGAUGUAGAACUCAUUGAUAGUCUCAUCGCUACAAAACACACACUUCCCCCAAACAAACACACUGUCACAGAAAACCCUGUUGCGCUUGUGAUGAGUAGUCUUGGAGGCUCCAUAGGAUGCAUAAAAAUCACGGAUAAUGGUUUCAUUAUAUUCAUCAAGCAACUCUGUGAAGCUCUCCCACUUUCUUGCCUUGAUGUUCUCCCAGAUGUGGGGGUACUGCUCUUAUAUUCCAUUCAUACUCAGUUGUUUUUCGGCCAAGAUUUUUCGUUUGUUCAGCCCUUCUCUAUAAAGCUCCCUAGACCCUUCGACCCCAAACCUGAGCUGGAAGUCAUCUCCUCGUUUCCUUCAUGCCUCAGCUUGUAGGUCAACUUUGGGCAAAGUCUCCUCCUCAUCAGACUGAGAGGGAAGAGUAGUAGUAGGGUCUAGUCGCAGUCGUUUUGCUUGUUGAGUUUGGCUACUAAAGGAGGCCCUUUUUUGGGCAGAGGCUGGAUGUUUCCUGGGACCCAUAUCUACAUAGGAAUGAGACAUGAGAAACAUGGUAGGCAUUAAUAAAAAGAAAAUAGAAAAACUCAAGAAAAAAUUAAGAAUGCGACAGGUUAUGCGAUCGCAUAACCACUAUAUGGACCACAAACGUGUCACAAACUAUCAAGCUAGUCAAAUGAUCUAAGUGUGUGAUGGGUUAUGCAAUCGCAUAACCACUAUGCGGUUCGCAUAACCAUCGCAUACCUGAUUGCUAUAAAAACAAAAUCAGAAAAUGCGAUCUCAAAAUCCACCACAAAGUUGGAAAUGCGAUCGCAGAUAGCAUGGUAUUAAACUGGGUGUUCUAUGUCAGUAUGCGGUGACUUUGUGGUCCACAUAUCAAUUAUGCGAUCGCAAAGUCGCCGCAUUUUUUGUCAUCUUCCUCAACCAGCUAGGGUUUACUUUUGUGGAAAAAAUGCGGACCACAUUUUGAUUAUGCGAGCCGCAAAAUUCCUCGUCCCCAACAAUUGAACUUCACCAGCAACAAUGGUGGACCUAAUUUUUACUACCCAGCACCCCAAAACACACUACUUAACCCAAUAUAACAUUAUGAACAUACAUUUAACUACCAAACACAAACAAAAAGAAAAAGGAAACAUGAAGCAAAAAUAGGAGAAACAUGAGCAAGAACAAAUGUAAAAUUAAAGCUUGCAAGAAUGGAAUUAGGACAAGGAAAACAUACUUGUGACGGGUUUAUGAGCACACAUGGAAGAUUAGUUCACAGAUAUUGCCUUACGUACGUGAUGCUCUAGUCAUUUGCCUUCUCCGUUCCUUUUCACUUUUUUCAUUUUGUUUUGUUUCUGAUAAAAAAAAAUUCUUUUUGUUGUGAAUAAAGAGAUGCGAAGGGAUGCGAAUGACUUACCUACGAGGAUUGCAACGGGCAAGUCACCACAUAACACACCAUGCGAACGAAUAAGUGUUAUGCGGUGGAUUCAAUUGAGUUGCUGCAGGUCCAAAAAUGCGGUUCAGUAUGCGAUCGUAUAGUGGAAAUGCGGUCUGCAAAGUGCACCACCUUGUCGCAUUUUUAUCACCAAUUUUAGCCAAACACAUUGUCUGGUUUUGCGACCAAAAUGAAUUGCGCAUAGUGAAAAUGCGACCGCAUAUGUGUAACAAACUUCCCACUGUGAUUUUUCUUCCCUUUCUCAGGAUAUCUUACCUCGUGUUAUGAUCUUUUGAAUCCCCUGCACUCACACAUGGGUUGUCUCCCAUGAAGUGCUUGAUUUAACGCCGCAGCACGACGAAGUUGGCGUUCCUUAAGAUUCACUCAUUGGUCGGGCAUGGACUAUUUUUGAGAGCCAACUGCUCCACCAAAUGUUUUUCUCCGUCUAUCCCCAAGUAGUGCUUGACUCUCUGGUCAUUCACUUUUAAGGUUCAGAGCCCAUCCUCCGAUUCUAGUUCCAUAGCUCUAAAAGUAGAGACAUUGACCACCUUGAACGAACCGGACCAUUUUGAUUUGAGCUUGCCCGGAAACAAUUUAAGCCUUGAGUUAAAGAGAAAAACCAAGUCAUCCGACUUGAAAUCCCUCUUCAAGAUCUUUUUGUCGUGGACGAACUUCAUCCUUUCUUUAUACACAACUGGACUAUCCUAUGCAUGGAAGUAGAAUUCCUCCAUUUCAUUGAGUUGUGUUAACCUCAAAUUUGCAGCUUCAGCCCAGUCCAAGUUCAACCUCUUUAGAGACCACAUGGCUUUGUGUUCCGAAGACUAAACGAUAAGGAUAAGUGCUAAUAGGAGUUUUGUAUGUCGUGCGGUAUACCUACAAUGUGUCAUCUAGCUUCCUUGACCAAUCAAUCAUGUUUGCAUUAACAAUUUUUGGUAGAAUGCUCUUUAUCUCCCGGUUGGAAACCUCAACUUGACCACUUGCUUGGGGAUGAUAAGGUGUGGCCACCUUAUGCUUGACGCUGUAUUUCUCUAGUAGCCCCCUUAACUCCUUAUUACAAAAAUGAGACAUACAAUCACUAAGAAUGGCUCUAGGAGUGCCAAACUGAGUGAAUAUGCUUUUCUUUAAGAAUGUGGUCACACUUCUUGCCGCGUUGUUUGGUAAGGAAAUUGUUUCAACCCAUUUGUACAUAGAAUCCACAGCUACCAAGAUAUAUUUCAUCCCAUAAUAUCUUACAAAGGGACCUAUAAAAUCAAUUCCCCACACGUCGAAGAUUUCUAUCUCCAUCAUAAAGUGCAUUCGCAUUUCAUGGCUUUUGGAGAUUGAUCCUUUACAUUGGCAUUGGUCACAAGCCUUGACCAUUUGAUAGGCAUCAUGAUAGAUCGACGACCAAUAAUAAACACAUUCAAGCACCUUAGCCACCAUUCGAUUUCCCCCAUGGUGACCCCUAACCGGUGAGUCAUGGCAUGACUUUAGAAUUUGUAUAAUCUCUUCUUCUGGAACACACCUUCUGGUGAUGUUGUCAGCACAAACACGGAACAAGAAUGGUUCUUCCCAAUAGUAUUGCCGACAGUCUAUCAAAAAAAAAUUCUUUUGAUAGGAUUCCAAUCCAUCCAGAAUAAGGUCACCAACCAAGUAGUUAGCAAUAUCGGCAUACCAAGGAGCAAAUGUGCUAGAUAGUGCCAAUAUGUGAUCAUCCGGGAAUGCAUCAUUGAUUUCAAGAUCUCCCUUUGGCCUCCCUGCCUCUUCAGGCCUUGAUAAAUGAUCCGCUACUUCAUUUUGAGUUCCCUUGCGAUCCUUGACCUCGAAGUCAAUUUAUUGCAACAACAAGACCCAUCGAAUCAACCGAGGUUUUGCAUCCUUCUUUGCCAUGAGAUAGUGAAGAGCAGCAUGAUCUGGGUACCCUAUCACAUUAGAUCCCACCAAAUAAUCCCGAAACUUCUCAAAGGCAUAAACAAUUGUCAAAAGUUCUUGCUCAGUCACUUUGUAAUUCAUUUGCGCUCUAUUGAGUGUCUUGCUUGCAUAAUAGACCGGGUGGAGGACCUUGUUGUCAAUUUGGCCAAGCAUUGAUCCAAUAGUUACACCACUUAUGUGACACAUGAGUUCGAAAGGAAGAUACCAAUCGGGUGUGACAAGAAUAGGUGUCGUGGUGAGCCUUUGCUUCAAUUCCUCAAAGGCUCUGAGGCAUUUCUCCUCAGACACAAAUUUUGCAUCUUUCUCAAGGAGUUUGCACAUAGGAUUUGUAAUCUUGGAAAUAUCCUUGAUGAAACGCAUAUAGAAUUCGCCAUGCCCCUAGAAACUUCAGACACCUUUAACGUAAAUAGGUGGAGGAAGAUUGGAAAUAAUCUCGAUCUUUGCCCGGUCAACUUCUAUGCCAUGUUUUGAAAUUUUAUGCCCCAAUACAAUGCUUUCAUCCACCAUGAAAUGGUAUUUUUCCCAAUUGAGCACAAGGUUGGUCUCCUCACAUCUCUUAAGAACUUGUCUAAUAUUAUUAAGACAAUGCUCAAAAGAGUCACCUACCACCGAGAAGUCAUCCAUGAAACCUCUAGAAAAUCCUCCACCAUGUCGGAAAAAAUGGACAUCAUGCAUCUUUAAAAAGUACCCGGAGCGUUACACAAACCAAAUGGCAUCCGUCUAAAGGCAAAAGUUCCAUAAGGACAAGUGAAUGAUGUCUUCUCUUGAUCCUCAAAUGCUAUGUUGAUUUGGUUGUAGCCGGAAUAUCCAUCAAGAAAGUAAUAGAAUGACCUUCCCGCUAGGCGAUGAAGCAUUUGAUCAAUAAAAGGCAUAGGGAAAUGGUCUUUGCAUGUGACACUAUUGAGCUUCUGAUAAUCCAUACACACCCUCCAUCCGCUCACCGUUCUUGUAGGGAUGAGCUCAUUUUUAUCAUUUUCAACCACUAUCAUGCCUCCCUUUUUCAGCACACAUUGAACCGGGUUCACCCAAGAACUAUGGGCAAUGGGGUAGACUACCCCGGCAUCCAACCACUUGAUGAUUUCUUUCUUUACCACCUCUUGUAUGGAUGGGUUAAACCGUCGUUGAUGUUCCACACUUGGUUUCGUCUCACUCUCCAAUUAGAUGUUGUGUUCGCAAAUUUCGGGGGAGGGGGGGGGAUCCCUCGGAUAUCUACAAUUGUCCAUCCAAUAGCUUGCCUAUGCUCCUUCAAGACUUCCAACAAUUGUUCUACCUUCACAUCAUUCAACAAUGAAGAAACGAUUACCGGUAAAGUAUCAUUUGAGCCAAGAAAUUUAUACCUCAAGUGUGGUGGAAGUGGUUUGAGCUCUAGUUUGGUGGCUCGAUAAUAGAAGGCUUUGUGGGAGGAGUGGUUGUAUUCUCCAAGUCAAGAGAGAGCUUUGUCGGAGCAUAAGUGUAAGACCCAAGCCCCUCCAAUGCAUUUACCGAUUCCAUAUAUCCUUCCAUAUCUUCACCAUCAAAGUUCACCAAAAUAUCCACCAACGCCUCACCGAGGCAUUGUUCUUCCAUCUUCAUUUCAACCGCAUCUUCCACUUUAUCAACAACAUCAAUCACCAAGAUUCUAUCAUAUUCAUGUGGUAGUUUCAUACCCUUGCUUGGUUGGAAUGUAACCUCUUUAUCAUUCACACAAAAUUUGAUCUCAUUCCGUUCCGAAUCCAUUAAUGCUCUUCAUGUGGCUUGGAAUGGUCUCCCCAAAAUUAUAGGGAUCUCUUUGUCAACCGCACAAUCAAGGAUUACGAAAUCAGCGGGUGAAUGAAACUUUCCCACUUUAACAAGUUCAUAAUCAACAAUUCCCACCGGUCUUUUUAUGGAACCAUCAGCCAUUUGCAAUCUCAUACUUGUGGUCCUUGAUAUACUUAACCCUGCUUUCUUGUAAAUGGAAAGAGGCAUCAAGUUUAUAAUAGCCCCAUUAUCACAAAGGGCUCUUGCAAAAUCAUGUGUCCCAAUGGUACAAGGAAUGGUGAAAGCUCCCGGGUCUUCUUUCUUUUGAACGGUGGAUGUUGCAAUGAUGGAACUAACCCGGUAAGUCAGAUUCACCACUUUAUUUUUGGUGGUUCUCUUCUUGUUAAUAAAGUCUUUCAAAUCUUUAGCAAAACUUAGCAUCUCUUGAAAUACUUCCACAAAUGGAAUAUUCACCGAUAAUUGCUUGAUAAUGUCGUAGAACUUUUCGAGUAUGCUAUCAUCAACCGUCCUAGCGAGUCUUUCAGGGAAUGGAGGAGUAGGUCUAGGAAUAGGUGGAAGAGUUUUUUGUGUCUCUUUUACCCUUUUCUUUACCUCUUCCUGGUUCUCUUUUUGCACUUGCAAAUCUUCCGGAAUCUUCUCAACUUCGACCACAUUUGGCUCUUCAACCGCAACCCGUUGUUUGGACACUUCUACCUCAGCCACUUGUUCACCCUCUCCUUGUAGUACCUUCCCACUCCGAGAAGUAAUUGCCAUGACAUGAGAAGUUGGGCCACUCCCACUACACCUUUGGUUUGCAACUGUGUCACUAGGGAGUGUUCCCUUUUGCUUUGGAUUUUGUUCCCUAGAGAGGUCUCUCAUUUGCAUCUCCAAUUUUUGAAUGGAUGUGGCAUGAGAGCCAACAAGCUCGGUCAUGUUCCUCAUAGAAGUGUCAGAUUUCUCUUGAUUUUGCAAUACCUGUUCAAGCAUGCCUUCAAACUUAGAUUCACUCGAGGAACCUUGAUUUGAAUAUUGACCCUUUGGAGGAACAUAAGGGUUUGAACUCCGGUUUGUGAAGUUGUUGUUGUUGUUCCAAUAUCCUUGAUUUGAGUCACCUUGGUCCUUUUGCCAUUGUUGGUUGCCUUGCCCUUGCAGGUUUGGCCUCCAUUGAUUUUGUUGUCCUUGACCUUGGUAUUGUUGUUUUUGACACCCUCCUUGAGGGUUUUUGAUAUAGUUUGCUUCCUCAAAAUCAUCAUUUGAUAUAGGUUGCACAUCCUCCACCACAUUCACCUUUUUUGUUUGACUUUCCGUGAACAUUUUUGUCAACACGUUGACAUUUGUGGCAAGCCCUGCAAUUACUUGAUCUCUCUCUUGAUUCUCUUUAAUUAGGUUGGACAAGGAGGGAGAACCAUAUGCAAUUCCACCUGUGGUGUCCUCGGAGUGCCAAGCUUGAUUAUGUUGUGCCAUUUUGUCAAGGUUCUGUGUAACCCUUGUGAAUGCCUUGUCCAUAAAAGAUCUGUCAGCUGCAUUCUUGGCUAUAGAUUGGUUCAUCGGAUCUUGGCCCAUGUAGAAUUUUUCCAACAAGAUGGAAUCCUGAAAACCAUGAGUGGGAGACCUCACCAAAUAUAAUUUGAACAGACCCCAUGCCUCAUGUAGAUGUUCUCCGGGUACUUGCUUGAAAAAGAAGAUUUUAUCCCGGAGCUCAGAUUUCUUACUUUGAGGGAACCAUUUAGCUAAGAAUGCUUGGACAAGUUCGGCCCAAGAAUGAAUGGAGUUUUGUGGCAGAUUUUGAAGCCAUUUCCUUGUGUCCCCAACUAUUAAGUACUUGAAGCACCUCAACCUUAAGGCAUCAGCUGUGACAUUGUUUUUCUUGUGCAUCACACACACACCCAAGAAGUUUCUAAGAUGUUGUGUCAGAUCAUCAUCACUGGUAUUCCUGAAAAACCCCUCCGCUUUGAGCAUAAGGAUUAAACCAUGUUCCACCUUAAAAGUUGCAGCGCUAACGACCGGAGGUACAAUAGCAUUUGUAUCCUCAAUGUAAUCCUCUAUGUCAGCAAAAGGAUUUUAUUCCAUUUCCACCUCCAUUUCUUCUUCAUAUUUGGCCAUGUUUUCCUAUCAACGUCAAGCAAAACAAGCAAAGAGUGAUGGAAUAGAAUAAAUCGUAAAGUAAAGCACACACUAAUUAGUAAUUUCAAAAUCGUAUGCCCCGGCAAUGACGCCAAAAUUUGAUACGCUCAAAUUACACUUUAAUUAAAUAGUGUAAGGAAGUCGGUGUCAAAUAUAAUAACCCAACAAGGUUGGGGUCGAAUCCCACAGGGAAUAGGUGUGAAAAGGUUAAUCGAUUAGUGUAUCGCUUGACUUAAGUCGUAAUUCUAUCCGGUUAACUGUAACAAGAGUAUGAUAUGAUAGUGAGUUGAAGAAAUAACUAAUUAUGAUGUUGAGAAUGUAGUUAAUUUCAUUAAAGAAACCAAGUUUGUGUCCCUUUCAAUGACGUGUAAUGCUAUCAAUGUUAAUAUGAUAUAUUUCUAAUGGAAGGUUCUUUUGAUAUGCAAAUAAUUUCUAAAUGACUACCCAAUAAUUUUCAAUAGUUGAGUAUUAUUUCCUCUUUAUGAUUUUUCCAGAUAUAAAAUAGGUAAAAUUAAGAACAAUCAAUGUGUGUCAAAUAAAACUCACUUAUUCCUAAGCGAUUCUAUUAAGCAAAGUUUAAAUCCUUGAGUCUUUAAUAUUUACUCCUACCAAACUCUAACCCACUUUCCCAANNNNNNNNNNNNNNNNNNNNNNNNNACCCAUUAACAUAACACCCAUUUAGGGUCCACAACCUUAGUAUUUAGAGUUAGCUACACAGAUUAGAAUACAAAAGGGAGAGAAUAUUGAAUGCCAUAAAUCUUACAAAGUGCAAGAUUCUUCCUUCAAAAACUUCCAAAAGAGAGGAAUAAUAAAGGCUUGGAUUGUAGCUCCAAAAUCUGGCAAGAUCCCCCCAUAAAACCACAAUAAAUCUAUUUAUAAUGGGUCAAAACUUGGGACAAAAUUUGGACAAAAAUACCCUUUCCAGUUAAAUAUGUGACCGCAUAUCUGUCGCAUAACAGACAUGCGGUCCGCAUUCUUGACAUAGCCAUCACAUCUUCAAACCCUAGUUUCCAGGCCUUCAUCGCAUUGAUGUUUUGCGGUCCGCAUUGUAGAUAUGCGAUUGCAUUUCGCGUUGAAUUUUCUACCUUCUGCAAUCUUUAUGUCGAGUUUGCGGUCCAUUGUGCGGCUCGCAAACAGGUUAUGCGAUUGCAUAUUGGACCGCAUUUUUUGCACUGGACUUUGCCCAGAAAUCUAUUGUGGUUUGCGAUUCCCUUGCGCAUUCUGCGGCUCGCAUGUUGGAUUUGCAAUCGCACAUCCACAUUUGCAAUGCCUUUUUGCUAUUUUCUCGUCUUUUUGUGGCUUUUUGAUUUCAUUUCCAUGCUCUUAAGUCCUUAAACUUCAUACACUAAAAUUACAUAAGUAUAAAAGAUAAUUGCAUCUAAAACAAGCUAAAAUAUAAGCAAUUUGUAUCAAAUGUGCCAAAAUUCUCUGGCACAUCACUAGGCAUCUUGUGCCCACAUUACAAAUCACAAUCACACGGAAGACUCACGUGCUGCAUGGACUACUCAUGUGCCAAUACUUUUAAUUCCUCAUAUCUGCGCGGACAACCCACGUGCUAAGGGAUUGACAAUAUCUCAUAUCUACACGGACAGCUCACGUGCCAACAAUAACGAUAACUCAUUACCGCAUGGACAAUUCACGUGUCAAUAAUAACGAUACCUUAUGACAGCACGGACAACUACAACAACUCAUAAUCGCACGGAUAACUUGCGUGCCAAUAGUAAAACUCUCACACAGAAGGCAAGUAAACGAGAAUACAUGUAAAUGAUCAAUAACCUUCAGGAUUCAUCUUCUUAAUCUGAUAUGAGUGAUUAAUUACGUGUGUGCUUUGCAAGUGUUCUGUCACAACUCAAAUCAACAUGUAAGGGUAAAGACAGCGAAUGAUACAUAGGAAAGAACACAACGAAACAUAAAAUGCAUAACUCACACAAGGUAGGCACACUACUACCCAAAUAUCAUCAAUAACAAUUCCCUCGGGCAAUUACAAGUCAUUACAAAUCAUCCCUGACAUAUUCCCCUUGUCUCUCCACGUGCGUAACAAUAAAGUAAAUGCCCACCAUGUCUCGCUGCAUGCACAUAAUAAUAUUCCCGCUUUGUCUCGCCUCGUGUGUAAACACCCCCCCCCCCCCCACCACACACACAUAUAUAUAUAUAUUUCUUGCCUUUUCAUGCCCUAUGUACGAAUAUCAAUGAUAACAACACUAUACAACAACUCACACCCCAUGUGCAUGCAUGCCAUAAAAUCUCCUCACAAUAAUUCCAAUACCACAACCACACAUAGCCAUCGGCUCAAAGAAACUUAGUACAAUCAACAACAAUAAUAACACGAGAGUACGAUAAGUAAAUUAACACAAGUAUUACAAAACACAAGGAAACGGAAGUACUCACAAUGAAAGACAUGACAAGUAAUAAUGGUUCCAAGAAGAAUAAUUAAACAAUGAGAGAAAUGGUGUGUAACAACGAUAUCAAAUGAUAGUAACUCAACAAUAGAAGAGAUAACAUGUAACAAUGAUUCCAAUUAAGAAAAAACACAACAAUAAGAGAGAUAACAUGUAUCAAUGACAACAAAAUAAGGAUCAGUCAACAAUAGAAGAGAUUACAAUAACAUCAAUUAAGGAUAGUCAACUGCGUAAGAGAUAUCAACAACUUCAAUUAAUGAUAAUCAACUACGAAAGAGAUAACAUGGGUAUAAGACAUGAAAGGAGUACAUGAAAGGGUAGAACAUGAAUCAAUCAGCUUCAAAUAAGACACGGAAGGGUAAAUUUAGCAAUGGAGGAUUUAACAUGAUAAGACAACUUUGUUUUAAUGUACAUAAGAGCCUAAAAGUCUAUCCAGGUUAGAUUUUCACAUAUAAGUCAUGCACAUACUCAUUACCUCGUGUACAUGUCUUUCACAUAGUUCAAAUAGUCCAAACAAACCAAUACCUAGGGGUAGUUUCCCAUAUAACAUUAGGCAAGAUACAUACCUCAAAAGCCCUCAAUCAAUUCUCAAAAAUAGUUGUUCCUUUACAAUUCACCUCCGGUCGGCACAAAUCUAACAAAAAUCGACUUAAUAAUAUCAAAGAAUGUAAAAGAAAUCAAUUCCGAUAAUUAAAGCUAUGAUCUUUACACAUAUGCUCAAAACUCAACAAAAGUUAACCUGGGACUUGCCCGGAAAAAAACAGGAUCCAAUGGUAGAUUUUGUCUACCCAUUACCCCACGAGUUCAUAUAUGUUAUUAGUUUCAAAAUUCGAAUCCAAAUCGACUCUCAAAAUUUAAAUUCUUAUAUUUCAAAAACUUGCCAAAGUUUCACAUAUUUUUGCUUUGAAUCACAUGAUUUUGAGGUUAAAAUCUAAGAUAUAUUGAUGGAAUAUGAUUAGAAAUAUAUUAGACUCACCUACCCAUAUUUUGUAGAUAAAAUUCCCUCUUCAAAAUCGCUUCCUACCGAGUUUAGAUUUCCAAAAUACGAAGAUGAGACUAAAAUUUUGUCCCUCGGCACUUAUGUCCAGUCGUAGACAUCGCAGUUGCGCCAUGUUUCUAAACCCCUCAAAUGAGAAAAAACCAUCACAAAUGUGAGGUCAUUCACACCCCUUCUAUAGUCGCAAAUGUGACAUUACGAUCACAAUUGUGAACCAAAGACUCAUUGCAAAAACGACCAAGUUGGUUGCAAAUACGAAUAAAGCUUUCCAGCCCACCAUCACAAUUAGGAAAAUUUUGUUCGCAAAUGUGAACAUAGCAGUUUCCAACUAAAAUCACAAUUGUGACUCAAUCCUCGCAAUUGCAAGACCUGAAGCUUCUACACAAAACCCGCAGUGCUUAAACUCUACCAAAACAUUCUACAAUGCAUUUGAAACUCGUCCAAGCCCUUGGGCCUCCAAACUAAACAUCAAUAUAAGUCUAAAAACGUAACACAAACUUGUUUGCGCGAUCAAGUCAUCAAAAUUACAUCCAAAACCAUGAUUUGGACCUCAAAACACAAUGAUUUAACAUGAAACUCAAGAUCUUCUAAAAACACAAUGGCUUACAAUGAUGCCAAUGUUUGCGUACAAGUUCUAAAUGACAAAACGAACUUAUUCAAGUUCCGAAAAAGAAAUGCAAACAUGAUAGCUAUGAAGUCAACCUACGGUCAAACUUAUAAAAAUUCAAAGCCUUAAAAUUACUAACUUUCGGCAAAACAACACAAAUCAACCUAUGGACAUCCGAAUUUAAUUUCGAGCAUAUGCCCAACUCAAAAAUCACGAUACGAAUCUAUCAGAGCCAUCAAAAUGCCACUACGAGGUUGUUUCCACAAGUCAAAUCCUUGUCAUAUUUUCAACUUAUGCUUCUAUAGUUAGAAUCACUCAUGCAAAUCCAUUUUGAACCAUCCGAAAAUCAAAUCCGACCAUGCACACAAGUCAUAAUACACAAUAUGUAGCUAUUGAAAACCUCGAACCACUGAAAAGAGUGCUAAGGAUCAAAAUGAUUGGUCGGGUCGUUACAAAUUCACCUGAGCCCAUCGGGACCAACUAAGAACAUCCAUACAAGUAUAUAAACAUCGUACGAACUCGCUCAUACCCUCAAAAAAUCAAAAUAACAUCUAUAACCGCGAUCGAAGCACUAAAACACAUGUAGAAUACCUUCAAAUUCAAGACCUUAAAGAUUCACAACCAAGCGUCUAAUUCAUGCCUAACUAACUCGGAAUGCAACCACACUUUACAAAAAAAAUUCAAAUGACAAAACAGACCUAUUUAAUGUCUUGAAACAACAAUACAAACUAGAUAGCAUCAAAGUCAAACUCCCGAUAAAACUUAUGAACUUUACAAACCUACAAAUUACAUACGUCCGGUGAAUAGAGACAAAACAUCUUAUGAACCUUCACAUCCAUAUCCGAAUAUAUUUCUAAGCCCAAAAUGAUACUACGAACCUAUUGGAAUCAUCAAAUCAUGAAUCUAAGAUCAUUUAUACAAAAGGAUUUUUUUAGUAAAGUCUUACAACUUAAGCUUCCACAAAUGGAAGUAACUAUUUUAAUUCACUCCAAAGCCUUCCUGAAAUCAAAUCAACCAUCCCUGCAAGUCACAAUACAACUGUCAAGCGUACGGAAAAUAUCAAAUAGGAAUAUUGGGCUCAAAUCGGGUUGUAACAAGAUUUUAAGGGACUACUCCAAUCGGGUAUUACAUCAUAAUCCUUCCGUCCUAAUCUAUGUGGCCAAGUUCAAAUUUGUAGCUUAUAGUACUUUUUACGUUGUCUUUAAAUAUAUAAAUUUUAUUUAAGAAACUAAAGAGGCUAUGUUUGAAUAUUCAAUCAAGAUUUUCAAGAAUAAAACUGAAUUUUUCCAAACUUUUCACAUAAUGCAUUGAAACACCCUCGGGUCACCCGAUACACUUACCAAACAUGAGUACAAUUCUGAAAAUACCAUAUUACCUUCCGGAUUGUAAAAAUACUGAUCUGAGAUCGUUUAUCAAAUUGUUGACCGUGGUCAAGACUAUUCGUUUUUAAAUCUAAAUAUCACAUUUUCUUUAAAUUUUCACAUAUGAACUUUCUGAAAAUGGCACGGAGCAUGAACGUGUGAAUCAUAAAUUAUCACAUAAUGCUACAGAAAGUCUCAAAACAUAAAAAAAGAUAGAGUACACAAAACAAUCUAUCGAAUUGUCGCACUCUCCACCUCUAAAAGAAAAGUUGGACUUAGACUCCUACAUAACCUCCUCUUCAAUCACAUAUUUCGAACAUGCCGGUCUAAAAUAGCCACUAACACUUCCCCAUAUGUCAAAUUCUCAUCAAGAUGCACUGUACUGAAAUCAAAAACAUGAAACCUAUCUUCAUGGUACUUCCAAAUAAUAGAAAUGUGAAAUAUAGGAUGUACUCCUACUAGGCUAGGAGGCAAUGCAAGCAUAUAAGUAACCUCUCUAACUCUCUCCAACAUAUCAAAUGGGCCAAUGCAACUUGGACUCAACUUGACCUUCUGCCAAAACUGCAUCACGCCCUUCACUGGUGACACUCGGACAAUAUCCUUCUCCCCUUCCUUGUAAACCACAUCUCCAACCUUUCGGUACGCAUAACAUUUUUGUCUACACUAAGCUGUAUGAAGUCAUUCCCAAAUCACCUUAAACUUCUCGAAAGAAUCCCGAACCAAAUUGGUGCCCAACAAUCUAGCCUCACCAGGCUCAAACCAACAAACCAGUGAAAAUCAUCGUGUCCCAUAUUAGGCCCCGUACGGAAUCAUCUGGAUGCUAGAUUAAUAGCUGUUGUUUUAAGAGAACUCCCCUAGAGGCAAAAAAUAGUUUCACUGACCCCCGAAAUCCGUAGGUCAUGCUUGAAACAUGUCCUUCAAAAUAUGAAUAGGUUCAGAAUGUCCGUCCAUCUGAGGAUGAAAUAGGGCACUCAGCUUAACCGACGUGCCCAAAUUAUGCUGCAUGUCUAUUCAAAAGUAUGAUGUGAACUGCAUGCCCCAGUCAGAAGUGAUGGAAAUGGGCACAUAGUGUAGGCAGAUAAUCUCCCGGAUGUAAAUUUGAGACAACCACUCUGAAUAAUAGGAUUCCAUUAUCGGAAUAAAGUGUGCGAAUAAAUAAGUUUGUAAUUUACCAACUUAUCUCUUCUUAAUACUUAGGCUUUUGUAUGAUUUUGAUGAGAAACGAAGGCUUUUCCUGAGGUUUAUUGGCAUAUUUAAAGUAUCAUAUCAUUUGGAAAAGAUACGGAAGAAAACAAGUCGAAAGGUGCUAAAAAGAAAAAGGGACCACUGCCAGUGAUUACCCUAUGCGAUCGUAGAAACGUGUAUGCGAUCCUAGAAGUCCAUUAUGGCAAAGAGAUGUGAACGCGGUGAAUCAGUGCGAACGUGAAUAAGAAAUUCCGGUCAACGGUUAGUCAAGUAAGCUACACGAACAUGGGAUAGUGUACGCGAUCGCGUACCUUUGGAGAAGUUAUUAACGCGGGUGUCUGUACACGAACGCAUAGCACGUUUUCUGGGCAGUUCUGGGUAGCAAUGGAAUUUCACAUUUUUGAUCCCAAACUAUUUAAUAUACGACCUUGCUCAUUUGUAAAACAUCUUUGGACAUCUUUGGGCAGUCUUUGACCUAUUUUGAGAGAAUAACACAAGUUUUGGAGCUAGAGUUCUUGCACACACACUUGGGUCUUGAAGAUUUGAAGCUUUUGGUUGAGAAUUUCUUACCCAUUUAUGUUCAUUUCUUCAUUUCCUUGCUUUGUACUGAAUAUCUAAGUGUGUAAAAUUUAUUCCAACACUUGAAUCUUGUUUAUGAAAAUAUUCAUGUUUAAAGUGAGUAUUAAAUAUCUUGUUGUGUUUAUGUAUUGAAUGAUUUUUAUCUUUUAUGAAGCAAGUUAUUGUUUCAUUAAUUAUUCUUGAUCAUUAAUGUUUCCAAAGGGAUUAGCUAACCCUAGGACUCGCCCAUUAACUUCGAAUUAAUGUUGGAAAAUAUUAUUUGAGGUUGGGAAAGAUUAAUUAACAAGAACUUGAGGCUUUAACCCUAAUUUUAUAGAUUGUACCUAGGGAUAGGAUUGAACUACUUGUAGCCAAAAUUGGGUGUGCUUAAUCUCCUAAUUGUUUUAAUGAUAAUUCAAUUAGGAAGACUUGUUAGUCUUUGGAAGAAGCUAAUAUAGAAUUAUUACCCGAGGCUAAUUAAUAUAAACUCGCUCAUAUUUGUAAAAUCGUCAAAUACAUUGGAUCGUUACUUGAGUGUAAUUCCCCAUGUAUCCAUGCUUGUAGCCAUUGAUCAUUUUACUUGUGUCUAGGUUAGUAAAUUUCCGCAAUUAGAUAUAAAUAUUUUUUCACAACAAUUCCAAGUGUUUGGCAUUGCAUAACAAGUGAUAAUUUUCAUACAUUCCUAAUAGCCUACAUAUUGUUCUCUGUGGGAUUCGACCUCGACUAAUAGUUGGGUAAAUUAUAUUGCAUGAUACCGUGUCCAUUUCCUUUUUAGUAGUGGAUUUGGACGUCAUCACAAACUUAGACAACUGAUCCACAAUAACCCAAACAAUGUCAUACUUUCCCAAGGUUCGUGGUAAGCCUAUCACAAAGUCCAUAGUAAUGCACUCCCAUUUCAACUCUGGCAUCUCCAAUUCUUAGUCAACCCACUCAGUUUCUUAUGUUCAUACUUCACCUAAUGGCAAUCCAAACACUGAGAGAUGUGACCAACAAUAUAUUUCUUCAUCUUCUGCCAAAAAUAGUGCUGUUUCAAGUCAUGAUACAUCUUCUGCACACAUGGGGGAAUGAAAUACCUUGAAUUGUGAGCAUCAUCAAGGGUCAACUCUCUCAACACAUCAAUAUUUAGAACACAAAUAUGUCCCUGAAGCAGGAUAACACCAUGUUCUCCAAUCACAACCUCUUUGGCACCACCCCUACUGCAUCAUGUCUUUCAACAACAUGUGAGGAUCAUCAAACUAGAGAGCCUUGAUGUGCUCCAACAACAAUGAAUGUGCCACAACACAAUCAAGAACUCUACUAGACUUCGAAACAUUCAAUUUCAUAAUUGGCUUGCCAAAGCUUGAACAUCCAUGGCUAAUGGCCUCUCCACUACCAACAAAAUGCCAAACUGCCCAUGCUUUCUACCUUCCUAUUCAAUACAUCGACCACUACAUUGGCCUUCCUCAGUUGAUAUAUUAUGGUGAUAUUAUAGUCUUUUAGUAACUCUAACCAUCUCCACUGCUGCAAAUUAAGGUCCUUCUACUUGAAUAGGUGAUGGAGAAUCCAAGGAUCAAUAUAGCCCACACAUGGAACACCGUAUAGAUAGUGCCUCCAAAUCUUGAGCACGUGAACAAUGAUUGCCAACUAUAAAGCAUGCACAUGGUAAUUCUUCACAUGAACCUUCAACUGACGGGGUGCAUAGGCAAACAUCCUACUAUCUUGCAUCAAUACCCCACCAAGUCCAAUACGUAAUUCAUCACAAUAGAUGGUGUAAGAGCUUGAACCUAUGGAAAACACUAACACUAGUUGUAGUCAAGGCAGUCUUGAGCUUCUAAAUGCUCCCCUCACACUCGUCAAACCAUCUAAAAAGAGCGCCCUUCUAGAUCAAGUUUGUCAAUGGGGAUGAGAUAGAUAGAAAACCCCUCCACUAGCAAGCGAUAAUAACCUGCCAAACCUAAAAAGCUCUGAAUCUCUAUAGCUAAAGUAGGUCUAGGCUAGUUUUGAACUGCCUCAAUCUUCUUAGGAUCCACCACGAUACCUUCAAAAGAUACAACAUGACCAAAUAAGGCAACACAAUCUAACUAGAAUUUAUACUUCAAAUACUUGGCAUAUAACCGAUGAUCCUUCAAAGUCUGAAGUACUACCCGUAGGUGCUGCUCAUGCUACUUUCGACAGCAAGAGUAAACAAAAAUGUCAUCAAUGGAGACAAUCACAAAGGAAUUCAAAUAUGUAUUGAACACUUGGUUCAUCAAAUCUAUAAGGCUACUGAAGAAUUAGUCAAACCAAAUGACAUCACCACAAACUUGUAAUGACAAUAACGAGUCCGACAAGCUAUCUUAGGGACGUUCAAUGCCCUAAUCUUCACCUAGUGGUAGCUAUAUCUCAAAUCAAUCUUGUAAACACCUUGGCACCCAAAAGCUGGUCAAAUAAGUCAUCAAUCCUCAGCAGCGAAUACUUGUUCUUGAUAGUAACCUUGUUGAACUACCGAUAAUCUAUUCACAAUCUCAUCGAUCCAUCCUUUUUCUUCACAAACAUCUCGGGAACACCCCAAGGCGGGACACUAAGUAUAAUGAAUCCCUUGUCAAUCAAAUCUUGCAACUGAUCCUUCAAUUCUUUCAACUCAACUAGAGCCCUAAAGUACGGUGGAAUAGAAGUAAGUGGAAUGCCCGAAAUCAAAUCAAUGCAAAAGUUGAUACCCCUGUCGGGUGGAAUACCCAACAAAUCUGUAGGAAUGCCUCAGAAAUCUCGCUCACAACCAAUAUCAAAUCCAUAGAAGGGACAUACAUACUAGAGUCACAUAUAUAAGCCAAAUACGCCAAACACCCCUUCUCGACCAUAUGUCGAGCCUUCAAAUAUGAAACAUCCUCCUAGUGCAGCGACCAAGUGUCCCUCUACACUAUAAUCUAGGCCACCCCGGCAUGGCUAAAGUCAUAGUCAUGUCAUGACAAUCGAAGAUAGCAUGAUAUGGGGACAACUAAUCCAUACCAAGAAUGUCCUAAAAAUCUACCAUGUCCAAUAACAAAAGGUCAACUAGAGUAUUAUAACCAUUAAUAGUAUAAACACUAGUCCUGUACAACUAAUCAACUACUAUAGAAUCUUCAACUACUGUAGACAUAGAAUCAGGAACAUCAAGAGAAUCACAUGGCAUAUCUAAAUGCGCAGUAAAAUAUAAAGACACAUAAGAAUAUGUAGAACUUGGAUCAAACAACAUGAAAGCAUCUAUAUGACCUCCACCUCUUGGAUGACCUCUUACUGGUUGUCCUCCACCCCUGAUUAUUUGACCUCCACUCGAGAUGCCUGACCACCUCCUCUAGAUGGUUGAGUGAGUAGUAGAGUAACUGAUGCUAGAACUAUUGAAUGAGUCCCCUAUUGUGGCUGAGUGCUCUAAUGUCUGGGACAAUACCUUCUAAUAUGUACCGUAUCUCCACACUCAAAGAAUUUUCUAAGCUGGAGCAACUGCUAAAUUUGAGACUAACCAUGAUGAUUCGAUUAACCACUAUGAUAACUCAAAAUUAAUGGUGCAUUAAUGGGAGCUGAAGGUGUACUUAAUAGUAGCUUCUCAGAACGAGACCCAUAAGCACUAUGACUAGCUGAAGUACUAUCUACAUCCUACAGAGCUGAUUGAAUCAGGCGGAUAGGAUGUCCUCUACCAAAAGGAACCCCUACCUCCAGAUGAGGCACGACUGAAUCCCCCAAAAUGAUGGGGCCUCUUAUCAAAGGCUGUCUCCCUAGCCUGUCCCCUAAUAUGAUCGAUACUUAGGGCAAUCUCCAUUGCCCGGGUAAAAGAAAUAUCAUUCUCGACGCUCUGGCCAUCUAAAGCUUGAUGACAUCUGUAAGGCUAUCUAUGAACCUCCACACCUUUUCCCUCAAAUUAGCAACCAGGAUAGCUGCAUGGUAUGAUAAAUCCACAUAUCUAGUCUCAUAGUGAGUAAAGAUCAUGCUUAACUACUAAAGACACUCAAACUGGCUGCGAAACUCCUCUCUCUAAGUGAAGGGAGUGAACUUCUCCAAGAAAAACUGUGAGAAUUGAGCCCAUGUGAGAGGAGGUUAAUCGGCCGGCCUACCAUGAACAUACACCUGCCACCACCUCUUGGUAGAACCAUGCAUAUGAAACAAACAUAAAAUCAACUACGUUCCCAUGUUGCGUAGUAUCUCAUGAAAACGGUCCAAAAGAUCAUAGGGGGUCUCGGAAGGUGCACCACUAAAGUGGGGGGAAAUAACUUGGUGAACUUAUCAAACCUUUCCAUCCCCUUAGCUGACAUCACAAGUCUUUCCUCGGACUGUGUCACAAUAACAUGCUAAACUGCUCCAACUAGUAGAACUGAUAGGGUCUAAUACCCGUGAGUCAUCUUCUCUAGUAGCGGGAGUUUGGGCUCCUCCCCCAGUCUGAGAAAUAAUUGAUGCAAUAGGAAACACACCAGCAUGUGCCAUACUCUCCAUCAGGCCAACCAUGCAUAUUAAGGCAUCCGAAAGCACCGGGGUAGUAAUGAACCCCUCUAGGACAUGAGUUGGUCCUACUGGCUCAGUUGAAACAUUGAUCUCAUCAUCCUACUCUAUCUAACGCUCAAAAAUAGGUGCCACUACGCAUGCUCUACGUUGAGCUCGGGCUCUACCUCGGCCCCGACCUCUACCGCUAGUAGUGGCUACAACCUGGGGAACCGACUCUUGAUCACUUAUGGAUGUCGUAUGUGUACUCGCCAUCUUUGUGAGAACAAGAGUAGAAUGAUUCAAACUCAAUGAGAGAACAAAUUAUCAUGAUAGAGAAAGCAAGAAAGCAAAAUUUUCUAAUGCCUUAUAGCCCCUAGAAGAUAAAUACAGAUAUCUCUGUACCGAUCCACAAAACAUUACUAAGGUCACUUAUGACUCGUGAGACCAUGGAACACUAGUGCUCUGAUACCACCUUCUCAUGAUAAAAAAUCUAAAACACGAGGCCAUCAUGGCGCCUAACAUCCGCUAGCUAGGUAAGCAAACACAAGCUAAAUAGUUAAUCAAUUUAAAAAUUUAAAAGCAACAUUUUUAAGAAAAUAUGACUGAAAUUCCCUAAAAUAUAUAAUAAAUCCAUACACGACAAAGUCUAAUCUAAUCCCAAAAAUAGGUGUCACAAGUAUAUGGGCUGAAAGAAUACUACAAACAGAGUCUGAAAUGAAAUAUAAUUGUCCGAAAUGAAAUAAACAAUAAUAUAGAUAGGAAGGGGACUUUAGAGUCUACAAAUUCUGUGCAGUUCCAAGCAGUCUCUACUACGCGCCGUAGGGACCAACACCGGGAUAUGCAUAAGAUUUGCAUAUGUAUAGUAUGAGUACAACUGACCCCAUGCACUCUAUAAGUACCGAGCCUAACCUCGAUAAAAUAGUGAUGAGGCUUUGACAAGACACUCAUUAUAAACUCGUGCAUAUAUAAGUAGAAAACAAUAAAGGAAUAGAGAAACAACUAAGUAACAUGAUAACCUAAAUAAGAAAUACAUUAUAGAGUGCCCUAGAAUAACAUCACGACUCAGUUUCACAAAAUAAUAUGGUAAUGAAAACCAACAACUAAGAUUAACAAUAACCCAACUCCUCGGUUGUGGCGCGUAACUCGAUCCACAUACAUAAUACUAAUACAAUUAUAACGUGCAACCCAAUCAAUAUAUCUAUGUAAGACCGUUGCAGUGUUCAACCCAAUCCACGUAUAUAUAAUACAGUUUCAACAUGCAACCCAAUUCACAUAUAUGUAUAUAAUACAUUUGUGGCACACAACUCAAUCCACAUAUGUAUAUAAUACCAUUGCGGCGUGGAACCCAAUUCACACACACACACACACACACACACACAUAUAUAUAUAUAUAUAUUACGGCACGGAAACCGGUCCCCAUAUAGACAUAUAUAAUACAACCUACUCAACGUAUAUCACAACGUACAUAAAAAUAAACAACACCUAUAAUUUCUGUAAGAGAAUACAAUAUAACAAUUUAUAUUAAAAUAGAAAGCAAGUAAAAACAAAUGAAUAAGUAAAGGCACGAAACAAGUAAUAACAUCUAUUUAAUAACUUGUAGAGCAUCGAAUAAGUAAAUGCGGACAAUAACUAAAGGCAUGGAUACAUGGACCAUGUAGCAAAUAGAGGCAUGUAACAAGUAAAGACAUGUAUUUGACAAGUAUGGACAUGUAGUAAUUUAAACAUAAAACGAGUAAUAACUUUGAAUAAAAGAAGACAUAAUAUAAUUAAAAGCAUGUAAUUAAGUGGUCCUAUCCGAAUGCUUAAUCCCAUGACAAUGCAUAUACACUCAUCACCAUGCAUAUACGUUGUCCUACACAUAAAUCAAGUAGCAGAUAGACCAAUAAAGUCCUAAUUCUCUCAUGUCAAAAUUAACCACGACACUUACUUCUUUCUGGAAAUAAGUCAACAAUCCAACAUGGAUUUCCCUCUUUAACUAGCUUCCAAACCAAUCAAAUCUAGUCAAAUAUUAUUCAAACAUAUCAAAACAAUCUUUAGAAACUACCCUCGUAUGAUAAAUGUUCAAUCUUCAUCAUAAUUGAAAAAGUCAACAAAAAAUCAACUCCAACCCAUGUCGUCAAAAUCGGAGAUUAGCAUUUGUUUGUUUCGAAACAAAACAAUUGAAGGUCUAAAUCUGGAUUGGUGAUUUGUUUCGAAAUCUAACCACAAUUCGAGGUCUAAAUCUUAGUUUUAUAAAAUUUCUAACUUAUAUCCAUAAUUCCCAAUUGCUACUUUAAAAUUUAUUAAUUUAAUGAUAAAAUAAUUGAAAUUGAUUGGAAACAAAUUAAAGUUGCUUACCAAUGAAUUUGGAAAAAUACUGCUCUACAAAAAUCAUCUUUAUGGAGUUUAGGGUUCAAAGAUGGUGUAAAAUAUGCUAAGUACCCAACAUUCAUCCAGUUACGGAUGUCACAUUUGCGAACUCUUGUUCGCAAUUGCGACUGUCGCAAAAGGGAAUCACUAAUCGCAAAUGCAAUUAGUGUCUAAGCCCAUCUGUUAUCGCAAAUGUGACAAAACCCUCAUUAUUGUGAAGUCCGAAGCCAUCACAAAUGCGGUAAAAGCUUCACACUUUGCAAAACAGUACAUAGCCUCCAAUUAUUGCUGAAGCGACACCAGGUCACAAAUGCGAGUCACCCCUUGUUCGCAAAUCCGAUGAAUUCUUUACAAAUGUAAAGAUCCACCCCCCUGUUCUUCUUCGCAUUUGCGAGCCUAACAUUGUAAUUGUGAGAGAUGUAGAUCAAUACCCACAAAUUUUGCAUCAGCAGUUUAAAUAAUUCCAAAACACGUCUGAAACUUGGCCGAGCCCCCAAGCUCCAAUCCAAAUAUUCACACAAGUGUAAUAAUAUCUUGAAAGCCGCUCUCUAACUCAAAUCAUCAAAAUAACAUCAAAUAUCAAGAAUCGGUCAUCAAAACUCAAGAUUAAAAAGUUUAAAACUAAAUUUUCUAACUUUGCACAUAAUGCGCUGAAACGACCUCGGGUCACUCGGAACCCCAACCAAACAUACAAGUCCAAUAAUAACAUACAAGCCUACAAGAAUUGUCAAAAUAAUGAUAUGAUAUCGUUUACCAAAAAUAAUGACCAUGGUCAACUCUAGACAUUUUUAAAACAAAAAACUACAUUUUCUUUAAAUUUGUACAUUUGAACUUUUCAGAAAAUGAUACAGACCAUGCGCGCGAGUCAUAAAUCCUCAAAUGAAGCUAUUGUAGAUCUUGGAACACAAAUAAAGGAGUUAUUUCUCAAAAGAACCUAUUGACUCGUCACAUGAAAUUUCAUUUAUAGAAAUAGAUAUCAAUUUUGUUUUGGAAAUUUGUCAAUACCAUUUAAUUAUUCACAAAUAGUCGGAUUAGCAUGACCUUGCAUUACAUUUACUCUAUCCAAAUUAUUCAAUUGCUCACAAAUCCUACUGAAUUGGCAUGACUUUGUGAAUAUUCAAUUGUUCAUCCAAUUUACUAUAUUUUCAUCAUAUUGUGUUACUUGUAUUUGAUCUAUUUGUUAAGGUUUUCAUAAACUCUACUCAAUUGGCAUGAUUUUGUGAUUGUUCUAUUUUUCAGCAAACUAUAGCAUAUUAAUAUGACUUCUUUGUUAUCUACUUCACUCUAUUUGUUAUAUUAAUAAAUUCUAGCCAAUUGGAAUGGCUUUAUAGUUGUUCCAAUGUUAACCAAACUCUAACAUAUUGGCAUGAAUUUGUGUUAUCUACAUUUGACUAACUUGUUCGAUUUGUCCACAAACUCUACCAGAUCGGCAUAACUUUUUGAUUGCUUAAUUGUUCACCAAAUUCUAUCAUAUUGGCAUGACUUUGUGUUAUUUAUAAUCAUUCGACUUGAUAAAUUUUUUCACAAAUUUUACCCAAUUGGCAUGAUUUUGUGAUUGUUCAAUUAUUCUAUCAAAGUCUAUAAUAUUGGCAUGACUUUGUGCUAUGUGCAUUCGAUAACUUAUUCAAUUGUUCACAAACUCUACCAUUUCAGCAUGACUAUGUGAUUGAUCAAUUGUUAACCAAACAUUGGCAUGAUUUUGUGUUGUAUGCAUUCGGCUUAUUUGUUAAAUUAUUCACAAAUUCUGCUCGAUUAACAUGAGUUUUUGAUUAUUCAAUUGUUCUACCAAACUGUAUCAUAUUGGCAUGACUUUAGUGUUAUCUACGAAUUCUUCACAAACUCUAUCAGAUUGGUAUGACUUUGUGAUUGUCAAUUGUUUAACAAACUAUAUCAUAUUGUUAUGGCUUUGUGUUUCUGCAUUCAAUCUAUUUGUUAAAUCAUAAACAAUUUACUCGUUUGGUAUGAUUUACUUGUGUUGGUCAUGAACCAAAAUCGCACCAAAUGUCUUGAUGGAACUUAGCCCCAGUGUUAAGUAAGUCAAUAUCCAAACAUAGAGCAAAGUAAACAUAAUAAGAUAUAAUAUAAUGGUUAUAACAUAAAUACGUGAGAUGAGUCCUUCAAUGGAAUCAGACAUAGAAAUGCUAUGACAAUACUACACCAAAACCUAGUAUUACGGAGUUAUAAGCUCUAAAACAAGAUACAACAAAAUCUCUCAAUAAUACAAAUAUUAUCUUAAAUGUAAAUAACAGUAUGAUAAAAGAAAUAAGGGACUCCAAGGGUUUGCAGAUGACCAUGCAACACUACCUUAAGUCUCAUAUAUCUACUACUAGGCACCCUCUUGAGGUCCCCUCGAACCAAUGCCAAAAUCUGCUAAAAAAUAUACAUAAGUGUAGUAUGAAUACGAAACAACGUCUACUCAGUAAGUACCAAGGCUAACCUCAGUGAAAUAGUGACGAGGUUAAAUUCAUACGAUACCUACUAAUAAAUAAAUUUAUACAAUUCAUAUUUAUACACCAUAAGGUUAUGGAAAGAGAUAUGAUACUAUAAAAGAAUAAAUCAUAAGAUAUCAACUUAACAUGGAUAAUUCCAUCUCGUCUAUCAAGUCCAUAUCAUAUAUCAUAGGCAUGAAGUAGCAUGUCAGAAAAUAAACAUAAAAAGCAUACGGUAUGCAUGAUAUAGCACAAAUGAUUCAUUUGAAUGGUCAAAGCUACCACCCAUAUGCUCAAAACUCACCACAUCAUAUUUCAUAUCAUAAUCAACCAGAAAUGUAUCAAUUUCUCACAACAUGUGUGUAUGCUAUCAAGAGAGAAGCUUGAGAGGGCAAACCUAUAGGGAUGGAUCCAUAUUCAUACACUGCAGGAAAAAGAACUUGUGCCAUAACAAUAACAAUAUCACCAUAACUGGAUGACAAAAACCUCGUGCCACAUCAAAAUCAAUCCGCUCACCAUGUCUAAAUGUGCCAUAAUCAUAGCAAUCCGUAAUAAUAUUUCAUCUCCACAGAUUCAUAUGCUCAUAGAUAAUCAAUAAGACGAACAAGAAUAUGAUAAAUAAAAAUAUGGAUGUGUGCACAAGAUAGAAAGUAUGACUACGACUAAAUUGAGCAUACCAACAAUUUCACAAAUAGCUCUUUUUGGCAAAUUAAGAUGGAGUAAUUAUAAAUAUGGUUACUACCAUGAAGAAUAUGUUCAUGUAGUCAUACAAUCAAUUAAACAAAAUUAAUGAAAGACACAUAAACAAACAAGGGAUAAUGAAAGCCUAAAUUCUAACCCGGACAUAUAUAACCCUUAGCACCCAAAUAAACGCUCGUCAUCUCGCAUAUACAUUGCUCCCUCACAUAUUUUAAUUAAGCAAACAUGGUCAUAUCCUAAAAGUUAUUUUCUCAAACCAAGAUUAGGCAAGAUACAUACUGGCAUGACCUAAAUCCCAAUAUGUUGUAAUGGCGCCUACCAUAGUCUAGGCAAGCUGAUAAUCACAAAUAACUAUGCAUUUUAAAUUAAAAACAUGAUGGAAUAAGUUUAACAGGAAAAAUCUCAUAAAACCGAUAAGAUUAACUGCUACUCAAAUACAAAAUCUCCAAAAUCCGGGUGUCAUUGAGUUCAUGAGCUACUAAAUGAUAACAUAGUCAAAACUUCUAAUAAAACUAUCUAGAAAGAUAGAACAAUGCUAAAUCAACUAACACGAAGGAGAGUCGAGGUCCGCGGAUGCCAAAGCAACUACCUCAAUAGUCUCCAAGUAGGUAAUGUUCCAAGUCUAGCAACCACAGGGUCCAGAUGUACCUGGAUCUGCACACGAAGUGUAUAGUGUAAUAUGAUUACAACCGAUCCAAUAUACUCAAUAUGUAACAUGACUAUCCUUGGGUUGAAAGCGGUGACGAGCUCAAAAAGGCACAGUCCAAAUUCAGAUAAUAACAAUAUGGUAUAACGAGGAAAUAAUAGUACUACUCAGAUGAAAUCUCAAAAUCAAUUUAUACACAGUACGAAAAUAUUGACAUGCUUUCGAAUUCAACAAUUAAGCUAAAUACUGGUAAGAUAUGCCAAAUAUAGCUAGAAUGAGGAAUGUUACAUCUCUAUGCCUACAUAAACAAAUAUGGAUGUCAAAUCCAAUGCAUCACAAUGAUACUCACAUGUACUCACUCUUAGAGUACUCAAUCCUACUGUCACAACUCAUACUCAUCACACUCAGUCACUCAACACUAUACGGUACCUGUACUCACUGCUGGUAUGUCAAACUCUGAAGAGGCGGAUCCUGCCCAAGUGCUAAUAAAAUAUUGGACGGCGUGCAACACGAUCCUAUCAUGAAUCAAUAAUACCUAAUGCAGCGUGCAACCUGAUCCCAUCAUGAAUUAAUAAAACAUGUUGCGGCACGUAGCCUGAUCCCAUCAAUAACACUUGCAAUCCAGCCCUGAUGCCCCAACUCAGUCAUCAAACUCUGCAGCCUGUCGGGCUCAACAAUCUUAUACGAAUCAGCCCAAACAAUGAUGAUAUGAUGUAACAAUAAGUAACAACAAAAACUAAGAUAUGAAUGAUUCAACAACAUAAAUGACCUCAGCGGGUCCCAAUAGAAUAAGCAUAUAACAUAAACAUGAUUUCUAACAUGCAUUGCAGUUCAAUUACUCUAACAUGUAUGGAUUACAUGAAUAACAAUAAGGUUUGAUAUCUAUAUGGCACUACAUAAUCAACUAAGUCACAAUCACUGCGGUGCAAGACUACACGCCUAUUACCUAGCAUGCGUGUCACCUCAAUACCAACCACAUAACACGUAUUUCAAGGAUUCAUACCCUCAGAAUCUUUGACUAGUGAAUCUUUUGCUUUUCGGGUGGUGUCAAACAAAGGUGCUUGCAUUAAAGGAGAUGACCGCCUACAGGGCGUAGCUUGCUUCCCGCCUGAAAGAACCGCUCACUAACUAGCCGUUAGGUUGAUAACCCACAGCGGAAGGCAUUCUACCCAAUAAGGCCAUCCAGUUCCGUGCAAAUCCCUACUCCAACAAGCCUUUGCCUCACGAAUCGGUCCCCGAAUGACUCAAAUCUACCUACAAACAACUUAAUACAAUCAAUACAAGGUCUAGGAAUCAAUUCCAUAUUAUAAAGCUAGGUUCAUCAACAAAAGUCAAAAACUCAACCCGAAAAGUCAAUUCUAGGAUCACGUCUCGGAAUCCAACAAAAUUUAUAAAAUACGAACAUACAUUUAAUAACGAGUCCCACCAUACCAAAAUCACUGAAUUCCGACCUCAAAUCGACACUCAAAUCCCCAGAUCUUACUCUCUAUUGCAUGGGUAAAAAAUCCCCAAAUUCCAACUUAGAUUCAUAAUAAUUAAGUGAAAUAAACAAUGGGUAUUCAAAAUACAUGGAUAAAAGUGAUCAAAAAUCACUUACCUCUUCAGUCUAGGUGAAAACCUCUUAAACAAUCGCCUAAGUCCGCACCCCAAAGCUCUCAACAUGACAAGAAGACUCAAACCCUUGAUUUUAAAUAUCUGCCCAACCCUUUUCACUCCUGUGGACUCAACCGCCGCACCUGUGGCUCCAAUUCUGUGGAAAUCACUUAAGCACACGACCAACUGCAUCUGUGGACAAAUAUUCGCAUAUGCAAAACCGCUUUUGCGGUCCGUGCUUUGCUCAUACGAAUCCACGCUUGCGGAUUCCAAUCCCCUUCUACGAGUCCAGUCCUACCUAUCAAAAUAUGCAUCUACAGAGGCUCGUAGCAUCUGCGGGCCUGCAGAUGUGAAAAAUUCCUUGCACCUGUGACCACUGCCCAACACACACCGAACCGCUCAUGCAACCCCAUGCUCGCUUCUGCUGUCGUGCACAUGCGACACAUUCUUCGCCAGUGCAAUCGCACCUGACCUGAAAGUCUUAUGCAUUUUCCUCGAGUCAAAACAUUAAUCUGAUUACAGUUGAAUCACACUCGAGGCCUCGGGAACCCCAUCCAAACAUGCCAAAAAGUCCUAAAACACGUUACGAACUUAGUCGGCGAUUGAAAUCACAUCAAAUAACGUCAAAAACACAAAUCGCACUUCAAGCCUAUUCAAACUAAUGGAUUUCCAACUUCUACAAUCGAUGCAGAUACCUAUCAAGUCAAAUCCAACUGACCUCAAAUUUUGCACACAAGUCAUCAAUGACACAACGGACCUAUUCAAACUUUUGAAACCAAAAUCCGAGCUCGGUAAUGAAAAGGUCAGCUCUUAGUCAAACUUCUCAACUUUCCAAACUUUAACAUUCCCAACUUUAGCCAAUUCAAGCAAAAAUGACCUUCGGACCUCCAAAUCAAUAUCAGGACACAUUUCUAAGUCCAAAAUCAUCAUACGGAGCUAUCAGAACUAUCAAAACUCCAUUCUGGAGUAAUUUACAUAUAAGACAACAUCCGGUCAACUCUUCCAACUUAGGCUUCCAACCUUGGGACUAAGUGUCCCAACUGAUUCCGAAAUAUUCCUAGAACCAAACGAACUACCCCGUCUAGUCAAAUAACAAUAAACAAACAUAGAAUAAGCAAUAAAUAGGGAAAUAUGGCUUUAAUACUCAAAUCAACUAGCUGGGUUGUGACAUUCUCCCCCUCUCAAAUAGGUGUGGAUAUCUGCUCCGCAUCUUCCGCUCGGUCUCCCAAGUAGCCCCUUUGAUUGGCUGACCUCUCCACUGUACUUUCACUAAAGCUCCAUUCUUUGACCUCAACUUUCGAGCCUUUCGAUCCAAAAUGGCCACCGGCUCCACAUCAUAAGUCAAAUCCCUAUCUAAUAAAACUGUGCUGAAGUCCAAAACAUAAGACUAAUCAAUAAAUACUUUCGGAGCAUGGAAACAUGAAACACUAGAUGGACACUCGAUAGACUAGGUGGCAGUGAAAGCUUAUAAGCCACCUCUCCAGUCCUCUAAAGCACCUCAAAAGGGCCAAUAUAUUGAGGGCUCAAUGUGUCCUUCUUCCCGGCACUCAUAACACCAUUCAUGAGUGAAACUCUGAGUAAUGCCUUCUCUCUGACCAUGUAGGCAACAUCAAAAACCUUCUGAUGGGCAUAACUCUUUUGUCUAGACUAUACCGUGCGAAGCCGAUCCUGAAACAACUUAACCUUGUCCAAAGCAACCUGAACCAAGUCAGUAGCAAAUAACCUAGCCUCACCUGACUAAAACCAACCAAUAGGAGACCGACACUGCCUUCCAUAGAAGGCCUCAUACAGAGCCAUCUGAAUACUUGAUUGGAAGCUAAUUUUGUAGGCAAAUUCUGCAAGCGGCAUAAACUGAUCCCAAGAACUCCCGAAACCAAUGACACAAGCAUGUAUCAUAUCUUCAAAUAUCUAAAUAGUCCGCUCCUAUUAUCUAUCUAUCUUAGGGUGGAAUGUUGUACUCAUCUCAACCUGCAUGCCUAACUCUCGCUGCAUUCUCUCCAAAAUUGCUAUAUGAACUACGUGCCCUGAUCUUAAAUAAUAGACACCAGCACACCGUGAAGGCGAACAAUCUUGCUGAUAUAUAUAUAUAUAUCUUAACCAACCGCUCCAAAGAAUAGGUAGUCCCAACUAGAAUGAAAUGCAUAGACUUAGUCAACCGCCCCACAGUCACCCAAAUAGCAUUAAAACAUUUGCAAAGUUUGUAGGAGCUCAACUACGAAGUUCAUGGUUAUACGCUCCCAUUUCUAUAGAGGAAUCUCAAGCCUCUGAUGCAAACCAUCCCGCUUUUGGUGAUCGUACUUCACCUGCUAACAGCUCAAGCACCGGGCUACAAACUCCACUAUAUCUUUCUUCAUUAUCUUCCACAAUAGAUUACCCCAUGUCCUAAUACAUCUUUAUGGAACCUGGACGAAUGGCAUACCGCGAACUAUGGGACUCCUCUAGAAUCAACUCACGUAACCCAUCUACAUUGGGCACACAAAUCUGACCCUAUAUCUGCAAUACCCCAUCUUCUCCAAUAGAAACCUCUUUUACAUCACCGUGUUGAACUGUGUCCAUAAAUACAAGCAAAUGGGGGUCGACAUACUGACGCUCCCUGAUGCGAUCAUAUAAAGAAUACCGAGAAACCAUGCAAGAUAGAACCCGACUAGGCUCUAAAAUAUCUAACCUCAUGAACUGAUUGGCCAAGGCCUGAAUAUCUACUGCAAGUGGUCACUCACCAAUAGGAAUAUAUGCAAGACUACCCAUACUCAAUGCCUUCCUACUCAAGGACUUGACCCCACAUUGGCCUUCCUAAGAUGACACAAAAUGGUAAUAUCAUAGUCAUUUAACAGCUCCAACCACCUUCACUGCCUAUAAUUUAAAUCAUUCUACUUGAACAAGUGUUGAAGGCUCCGAUGAUUUAUAAAUACCUCGCAAGACACUCUAUAGAGAUAAUGCUUCCAAAUAUUCACUGCAUGAAUGAUGGUUGCCAACUUUAUACCAUGAACGAGGUAAUUCUUCUCAUGAGGCUUCAACUAACGUGAAGCAUAAGCAAUCACCCUACCCUCCUACAUCAAGACACACCCAAUACCAAUCCAAGAAGCAUCAUAGUACAACCUGAUGCUGAAGGUAAAACUAGAACUGGAGCGUUGGUCAAGGUAGUCUUGAGCUUCUAAAAGCUCUCUUCACACUCAUCCGACCACCUGAAUGGAGCACCCUACUAGGUCAACCUGGUCAAAGGUGCUGCAACCAGUGAGAAACCCUCGAUGAGCCGACGAUAAUAUCCGGCCAAGCCGAGAAAACUCCAAAUCUCAGGAGCUCAAGAUGGUCUAGGACAACUCUGAACCGCCUCAAUCUUCUUCAGUUCUACCUUGUUCCCCUCAUUGGACACCAUGUGCCCCAAGAACACCAUCGAAUUGACCCAAAACUCACACUUGGAGAACUUGGCAUAAAGCUUCUCCUCCCUCGACAUCUGUAGUACAAUCCUUAGAUGUUGUGCAUGCUCUUCCUGGCUAUGUGAGUACACCAGAAUAUUAUCAAUAAAUACUAUGACAAAUGAAUCAAGAUAUGGCUAAACACACUGUUCAUUAGAUGCAUGAAUGAUGUUGGGGCAUUGGUUAGCCCAAAAGACAUCACAAGGAACUCAUAGUGACAAUAGCGGGUCCUGAAUGCCAUCAUCAGAAUAUCAAAGCGCCGAAUCUUCAACUAGUGAUAGUUACUCCUCAAAUCAAUCUUAGAGAACACUUUAGCUCCAUGAAGCUAGUCAAAUAAGUCAUCAAUGCACGAAAAAGGAUACUUGUUUUUAAUUAUAACUUUGUUCGAUUGUCUAUAGUCAAUGCACAUCUGCAUAGUACCAUCCUUCGUCUUCACAAAUAGAAAUGGUGCACCCCAAAGAGACACACUAGGCCUAAUAAAACCCUUAUCAAGAAGCUCCUAAAGCUGCUCUUUCAAUUCCUUCAACUCUUCCUAUGCUAUACGAUAUAUUGGAAUAGAAAUGGGCUGAGCGUCCGGUACCAAGUCAAUACCAAAAUAAAUGUCCUUUUCGGGAAACAGGUUUGCAUAAAACACAUCCAGAAAGUCUCACACCACCAGUAUAGAAUCAAUGGUAGGAAUGUCGGCACCAACAUCCCUCACAAAGGCCAAAUAUGAUAAGACCCCUUCCCACAAACCAACCAACUUACUGCUAUGAAUAUAACAAAAUAAAGCCAUCACGUUAUCAUUAGGGCAUUUAACAUAAGAUAAUCUCACUUUAUGUGCAAUGCACCUAGCCACAGUUAUCGGUUCUAAAGUGACUUUGAGGGUACGAAGGUCAGUUGGCAUCAUCCCAUUUUGUUCAUUUCAAUCCUCUUUUUUCUUUGCUUUUCUAGCACUUUCUUGAUCAUUUUCCUUCCUCUUUUUCUAAUUUCACUAUUUUCUUUCCUUCAUUUCUCACAUCCCACAAUUUCAUCUCUUUUUUUUCUCUCUUUUCUCCUUUUUUUCUUUUCUUUUAACAGUAAAAAAAUGAUUCGAUCGAACCCUAUGUAGGUUUCUUACGCAUUAUGAUGCCGCAUGAAUCAGAUCUUUGCGUAGUUCUGGAAGAACGGGAAUAAAGUAAACAAACUAACGUUCUUUUUUCUUUUCUAAUUUUUUUUACCUUAAGGACUACUCUGAUGAGAAGAGAGAAAUAAAAGAAGCAAAUCCUUUUUUUUUUGAAUUUUCUAGGCUUAAUAUUCUAUAACUUAUUGUAAACUCAAGCUUAACGAGCAUAUAUUUCUUGCUUUUUUUCUUUUUGAGACAAACACUCUAUGGGAAAUUAUUAAGGAAAACCCUAGAAGAGAAAAAAAAAUAUUUUUGAUUCUUUUUUUUAGGAAGAAGAUCGAACGAAUAAACCAUAUAAAAAUAUUUUGAAUUUUCAAUUGAUAUCUUGAUGCAGGAUUUUGAAACAAGCAAUGAAAAAGAUAAAACAACAUGUUUUUGGAUUUCAAUUUGAUUGCCUAAAGGAAGAAACUUUAAACAAAAGAUAAAGUAUGUUUUUUUUCUAUGUACAAUUUCCUAAAGUUCUUGGGAAAAUAAAAGAAUAUUUUUUUUCAUUUUUCAUUAAGUUCCCAAAGAAGAACGUCAAAAGAAAAUCUUUUUGGAUUUUUAAGAUUAAUGCCUUAAAGAAAACUUUUUAAAAAGUACUAAAAGGAAUUUGUUUUUGAAUUUUGGUCAUAAUAUAGUAAAGGAAAUAUAAAAAUAAUUUUUAUUUAAAUCCUAGAUAUUAAUUGCCUAAAGGAAAAACCACCUCAAAAUACUUUUUCUCAUUCCUACAAUUAGUAUUCUAAAGAAAAUUCCUAACGGAAAUAUAAAACACAAUAUUUUAAUUUUUGUUUUGGAUUUUGAUUCAUUACACACCAUUUCAAAUGCAAAAUAGAAAGUACAAUAAUAAUAAUAAAGCACGACGACAUUACUAUACAAAACUAAAAGGUAAAAGACGAUAUAAAAUAAAAAAAACAGACUCAAAACAUAAAAAGAAAAGAAAAUCUUCUUUUAAUCCACUCCCAAAUGAGCGAUCCUGACUAGAUGUCCUGGGGCUCUGUCAUGCUCAAACUCCGAUAAGUAAAUCCACGUCUGUAUGAGAAAAUUUAAACCAAAUAGGUUAAAUACCUAGAGCGCUAUGUGAGACAAUAACCCUUCCUACUGGAAAUAUGCAAGACAUGACUUAGGCUAUUUUUGCAAAAUGACAUAUUUGGCUAAAAGACGGCUAGAAGUGCAAAAUUUUGGCUAAGACCCCGCAAAGCCAAGAACCUAAGAUUUACUAGGAAGACCAGACCCUAUGUGGGUUUCCUACGUAUCACGCCCCAAAAGACGAGAAUCAGGUAUGCGUAGUUCAGGCAGAUUGGAUACGGGCGAGAAUUAAAAAAAACAACUAAUUUAGAGAAAACAUAUUUUUUGUCUUCUUUUUUUAUAAAAGAAAAAUGAUGAGACAAGUAGCUAACAGUGCUAAAUUAUGCUCUCAAGGAGAAAAACUGAUCUAAGAAACCAUGGAAACAGACAGUGGCAUGUAACUCCUUAAACAUCCGGAUAAUUUGUCUUUCACUUGGCAAUCUAAAAAAAUCGAACGAUCUUCACAAUUUGGUUACAUAUAAAAAUCAGUUGAAGGAAAGCAAAUUAACAAUGCUGAAAAUCCCAUUUCUCUAAAAAUUAUGAAGUAUCAAACUCUGUCUCAUCCUUAAGAUCGACUCGGAAUAGUAUUUGCCAAAAACGAAGAUUUUAUAUAUAACUUCCUAAUAACUUUUGAAUUAACAUGAAGCAGAAUCUUAACAUUAAAGGGUCGGGAUAUGAAGACAGCUCAAACAGCAAAAUCCAGUUAGAUAGGUAAUCUGCCACGACAAACUUGAAUUAACCUUUCGAACACUGUUAGCAUUUACAAUAUUUCGAAAUCAGGCAACUCAUUCAACGUUGUUCACAAAUGAAAUCAGAAAAGUGGCAAAUCAAUGAACUUCUCAUUGAAACAGAUCUUACUAUAGCUUGAAAGAGAACGUACCUAAUUAUGCAAGGACGAGAUUUAGAAGACAAAGAAGCCAAAUAACGAUUGAAACAAAAAAUUGGAGCUCAGCUAGCAAUGUGGGAGCAACAACAACCAAACAACUCCCCUUUCCGAGUUAUAUCCAAACCCAAAACCCAGCUAAGCACUCCAAUUUCGAGCUUUUCGAGUGAUGAAAAAGUUCUUUGAAGGCUCAGCUCUCCAAUUGAAUUUUUAAGCUACUUUCAAUUCUCAACAGCUUUUCGUUACUGUAUUUUUUGAGAGAAGUGUAGUGUAAUAUGAUGAGAGAUUUUUGUGCUCGAGAGAAAAGCAAAAGAAGCGGCUGAGUUUUUCGUUUUGAUGAAGAAGAAGAUCAAGAUCCAAAGGAGUCCUUCUGCGUCGUUCUUCUAUAUGCGUCCCUCUCUCAUUUGUUUUAGCUC
rnacentral:lncRNA from 1 species